rnacentral:lncRNA from 1 species
ACUCCUCCUCCUUCUUCUCUUCUUCUUCUUCUUCUUUCUUUUCAUUUUUCCUAUUUCUUCUCAUCUUCUCCUCCUCUUGGAGCUAAAUUAGCUAACUAUGACUUUUUGGAGCUAAAUGGGUUAAUUAUCCCAUUUUAUAGGAAAACAAGCUGAGUAUAUAAAAUUAAUGAGCUAACCAAGGUUCUUAUGCCAUUUUGAGGUUAUUAUGGCAUUUUGGAGCUAAAUGGGCUAAUUAUGUCAUUGUUGGGGAAAUUAAGGCAAGGAGAAUAUGAAAGAGGAGAAGAAAGAGNNNNNNNNNNNNNNNNNNNNNNNNNNNNNNNNNNNNNNNNNNNNNNNNNNNNNNNNNNNNNNNNNNNNNNNNNNNNNNNNNNNNNNNNNNNNNNNNNNNNCAUGUCAUCUUGCUUAAAGCGUUACUCUGUUCGUCCUGAACUCAAUACACUAGAUGCAUGCUGGAUAGCAGUCGAUGUGUGGAGUAAUAGUAGUAGAUGCAGAAAGUGUCGGUCUACUUGUCUCGGACGUGAUGCCUAUAUGCAUGAUCAUUGCCUUAGAUCUCGUCAUGACUUUGCGCGGUUCUGUCAAUUGUUCGACAGUAAUUUGUUCACCCACCGUGAUAUUUGCUAUUAUGAGAGAAGCCUCUAGUGAACACUAUGGCCCCGAGGGUCUACUCCACACCAUAUUUUUAGCCUUACACUUUUUACUUUGUUGCACUUUCCGCCUUCAGAUCUCACUUUGCAAACAAUAUUGAAGGGAUUGACAACCCCUUUGAGGCGUUGGGUGCAAGUUUGUUUGUGUUUGCGCAUGUACUUUGGACUUGACGAGGCCCUCCUUCUGGAUCGAUACAUUGGUUCUCAAACUGAGGGAAAUACUUACUGCUCGUGUGCUGCAUCACCCUUUCCUCUUCAAGGGAAAAACCGACGCAAACCAGAGAAGUAACAAGAAGAAUUCCUAAGUGCCAGGGAAGGACUUUUGUUGCCGUAGCACGAUCCACGAGGGUAUGUAGAUCCAAUCUCCCUUCACGUAGAUGCUCAUUACCAUGGUUAGAUCUUGUAUGUGCAUAGGAAAAUUUUUGUUUCCCAUGCAACAUUCCCCAACAGUGGUAUNNNNNNNNNNNNNNNNNNNNNNNNNNNNNNNNNNNGGCGCCGUUGCCGGGGAGGAUCAAGUCAAGAACUCAUCCAAGUAGGUGUCGCAAACUCAUCUCUUGCAUUUACUUUGUUUGCUAGUUGCCUCUCGUUUUCCUCUCCCCCACUUCACCAAUUUGCCUUUUUUCGUUUGCCUUUUCGUUCGGCCUUUUUCUCACUGGCUUUCUCUUCACUUGUGUGCUAUGUGCCUUCAAUAUGCUUGCAUCUUCGCUUGCUGAAAAUCUAGUAAUAUGGAUCCUCAUCCACUUGCUAAUAUAUUUAAGAGAUCCAAUUAUGUUGAUCCAAUUGCUAGUGAGUUGAGUGCACUUGACUUUCUCUAUGGAGUUUUGCUUGAGAUGCGUGAAUCUGAAAAUCGUGAUGAAGAAAUUUAUGAAGUGAUUCACGUGAGCUCCUUGAAUUAAAAGCAUGAUUGCAAUGGUUUCACUAUAAAUUCUAUUAGUCACAAUCAUGCUAAAAAUAUGCAAAACACUAAGCUUGGGGAUGCUAGUUUUGCUAUGUCCACUACUUGUUGGAAUGAUCGUGAUUGGGGUAAUGAUUUUUCUUAUGAUCUUGAAAAUUUGUUUAAACCUCAUGAUGAUUAUGAUAUUUGCAAUAUUAUUGAAAGUGGGUUUGGAGAAGUCAUGACUUUAAUUGAUGAUAAUCCCACUAUUUUUGAAGAGCNNNNNNNNNNNNNNNNNNNNNNNNNNNNNNNNNNNNNNNNNNNNNNNNNNNNNNNNNNNNNNNNNNNNNNNNNNNNNNNNNNNNNNNNNNNNNNNNNNNNNNNNNNNNNNNNNNNNNNNNNNNNNNNNNNNNNNNNNNNNNNNNNAAGAGCGUCAACUUUGCAUGCAUGUGGAUCAUGAAAAGAAUAUCCAAUGGGAUAGCUAUAUUGUUGAAUUUGAUUAUGAUCCCACAUGUGAUUGCUAUGAGAGACGAAAAUAUUGUGGUAGAAACUUUCAUGUUACAAAAUUACCUCUCGUUAUGUUGAGAUUGCUAUUGUCACUUUCUUCUUCCUUGCAUUUGGUAACUAUUGGUUGUCUUGACAAUCUGUUUUCCUAUAAAAUGCCUAUGCAUAAAAAGUAUGUUAGACUUAGAUGUGAUUUUCACAUGCUUUAUGAUGCUAUCGUUGUGCUUCAAUUCUUGUCUUUUGUGUGAGCAUCAUUGAAUUAUCAAUGCCUAGCUAAGGGCGUUAAACAAUAGCGCUUGUUGGGAGGCAACCCAAUGAAUUUAUCUUUUUCUUUCUGUUUUGUUGCGUCCACACUUUCAUAAUUCUGUUUUGAUUGUGUUUUUUGUGUUUCUUUUUGUGUUUGAGCCAAACAAAACCUUUAUGACUAGUCUUGGUAAUGGUUGUUUGAUCCUGCUGGAAAAAGACAGAAACUUUUCGCUCACGAGAUGAUUUUUAAUUUUUAUUCCGAAAGAGCUUUUGAGUUGAUUCCUUUUGCUGCUGAUUGAUAUGCUGUUUCCCCAGGCCUUCGUAAUUUUUGAGAUUUUUGAGGUACCAGAAGUAUACGAAGUAUACAGAUUUCUACAGACUCGUCUAUUUUUGACAGAUUCUGUUUUUGUUGAGUUGGUUGCUUGUUUUGAUGAAACUGCGGUUAGUAUCGGGGGGGUAGUAGCCAUGGAAAAGUGAGAAUACAGUAGCCCAUCAUCAAUAUAGAUGGAAUUCAAGUUUUCUACAGUACCAAAAGAAGUGGUAGUUUGUUUUCUUGUACUAAUGUUAUCACAAGUUUCUGUUUAAGUUUUGUGUUGUGAAGUUUUCAAGUUUUGGGUGACGUUUUCAUGGACAAAGAGAUAAGGAGUGUAAAGAGCUCAAGCUUGGGGAUGCCCAAGGCAUCCCAAGCCAAAUUCAAGGACACCAAAAAGCCUAAGCUUUGGGAUGCCCCGGGAAGGCAUCCCCUCUUUCGUCUUCAAUCCAUCGGUAACAUUACUUGGAGCUAUAUUUUUAUUCACCACAUGAUAUGUGUUUUGCUUGGAGCGUCUUGUAUCAUAGGAGUCUUUUCUUUUUGUUGUGUCACAAUCAUCCUUGCUGCACACCUUUUUGAGAGAGAGAGAGACAUGCACUCAUCGUGAUUUUGCUAGAAUGCUCAUAGUGCUUCACUUAUAUCUUUUGAGCUAGAUACUUUUGCUCUUGUGCUUCACUUAUAUCGUUAGAGCACGGCGGUGCGUGAUUUGGUAGUUGGCUUAUGCUAUGAAGGUAGUCCCAAAUGUGAUAGGUACCCAAAGAAGAUGCAAAAACCUCCAUCUUCAUGUGCAUUGAAUAGAAAGAGAAGUUUUGGUUCCUCUCAAUUAGUUUUGAGACGUGGAUUCGGUAAUAUUGAGAGUUAUGAUUAGUAGGGUGUUGUGAAUCUAGAGAUACUUGUGUUGGAGUUAGUGAUUCCCGUAGCAUGCACGUAUGGUGAACCGCUAUGUUAGGAAAUCAGAGCAUAAUUGAUCUAUUGAUUGUCAUCCUUUGUGUUGAGGUCGGGAUCGUGCGAUGGUUUAUACCUACCAACCCUUCCCCUCGGCGUAUGCGUUUAGCACUUUGUUUCGAUUAAUAAUAAAAACUUUCGCAACAAGUAUGUGAGUUCUUUAUGACUAAUGUGAGCCCAUGGUAUAUAUGCACUUUCACCUUCCACCAUUGCUAGCCUCUCUAGUGUCGCGCAAUUCUCGCCGGUGCACAAACCCACCAAAUUCCUUCCUCAAAACAUCCACCAUACCUACCUACUAUGGCAUUUUCAUAGCCAUUCCGAGAUAUAUUUCCAUGCAACUCCCACUAUUCCGUCUCAUGACUUGUGUCGUCACUCUAAUAUUGCCAUUGCAUGAUCGUAAGAUAGCUAGAGAGAUGUUUCAACGUCAUACGCCAUGCUAGAUUGUUGCACAUCCCGGUACACUGCCGGAGGCAUUUCCUAUGGAGUCAUCAUCAUUGUGAUCUUUGAGCUUUGAGUAAAUAAAACGUGUGAUUAUCAUCAUUAUUAGAGCAUUGUCCUAUGUGAGAAAAAAAAGAGGCCAAAGAGCCCAAAAAAGAGAAAAGAAAAGAAAAGAAAAAAAGAGGCCUAAGAGCCCAAAUAAAAAAAGAGAGAAAAAGAGAGAAGGGACAAUGCUACUAUCUUUUUCCACACUUGUCCUUCAUGUUAGCGCCAUGUUCUUCAUGAUUGAGAGCUUCUUGCUUUGUCACUACCAUAUGCUAGUGGGAAUCUUCGUUUUAUAACUUGGCUUGUAUAUUCCAAUGAUGGGCUUUCUCAAAAUUGCCCUAGGUCUUCGUGAGCAAGCAAGUUGGAUGCACACCCACUAGUUUUCCUCUUGAGCUUUCACAUACUUAUAGCUCUAGUGCAUCUCUUGUAUGGCAAUCCCUACUCAUUCACAUUGAUAUCUAUUAAUGGGCAUCUUCAUAGCCUAUUGAUACGUCGAGUCAGUGUGACCAUCACCUCCUUUUUGUCUCACAACCACCACCACACUCUAUUCCACCUAUAGUGCUAUAUCCAUGGCUCGCGCUCAUGUAUUGCGUGAUAGUUAUAAAAAGUUUGAGAAAGUAAGAGUGCAAAAACAAUUACUUGGACAAUUCCGGGGUUGUGCAUGAUUUACAUUAGUUGUGUGAGGAUGAUGGAGCAUAGCCAGACUAUAUGAUUUUGUAGGGAUAACUUUCUUUGGCCUUGUUAUUUUGAAAGUUCAUGAUUACUUUGCUAGUUUGCUUGAAGUAUUACUGUUUUCAUGUCAAUAGCAAACUAUUGUUUUGAAUCUUACGGAUCUGAACAUUCAUGCCACGUGAAAAAAGUUGCAAAUGACAACUAUGCUAGGUAGCAUUCCACAUCAAAAAUUCAUUCUUUAUCACUUCCCUACUCGAGGACGAGCAGGAGUUAAGCUUGGGGAUGCUUGAUACGUCUCCAACGUAUUUAUAAUUUUUGAUGGUUUCAUGCUAUUAUCUUGUCAAAUUUUGGAUGUUUUGCAUGCUUUUUAUUUAUUGUCUGGGACUAACUUAUUAACUCAGUGCCAAGUGUCAGUUCCUGUUUUUUCCAUGUUUUUGACCCCUUUCAGAGGAGAUUUUGAAACGGAGUCCAAACGGAAGAAAAUCCCCGAAAAGAUUUUAUUUGGAACGGAAGAAGAUCGGAGAACUUGGGAGCCAAGCUAGAGGAGUGAUACGUCCAUUUUGCAUCAUGCUUUCAUGUUGAUAUUUAUUGCUUUUUGGGCUAUCAUAUUACUUGUGGUACCAUAUUUAUGCUUUUUCUCUCUUAUUUUGCAAGGUUUAUUUGAAGAGGGAGAAUUCACGCAGCUGGAAUUCUGGACUGGAAAAGGAGCAAAUCUUAGUCCACUAUUCUGCACAUCUCCAAAUGCCCUGAAAAGUUAAGUGGAUUUUUUUAGGAUUAUAUAAAAAAUACUGGGUGAAAGAACUACCGGAGGGGGCUGCCAGGGCGCCACAAGCCGUGACACCGCCACCCCCCUGGUGGCAGAGUGGGGGCUUGUGGGCUCCCAGACGGCCCACUAGCCCCCCUCUUUUGCUAUAUGAAGCAUCUUGGUCCAGAAAAAAUCAGAAGGGAGCUUUUUCGUGGUUUCGCCACCGCCACGAGGCGGAACUUGAGCAGAUCAAAUCUAGAGCUCCGGCAAGACGAUCCUGCCGGGGAAACUUCCCUCCCGGAGGGGGAAAUCGUCGCCAUCAUCAUCACCAACACUCCUCUCGUCGGAGGGGAGGCAUCUUCAUCAACAUCUUCAUCAGCACCAUCUCCUCUCCAAUCCCUAGUUCAUCUCUUGUAACCAAUCUUCGUCUCACGAUUUCGAUUGGUACUUGUAAGGUUGCUAGUAGUGUUGAUUACUCUUUGUAGUUGAUGCUAGUUGGAUUACUUGGUGGAAGAGUUUAUGUUCAGAUCCUUGAUGCUAUUCAUUACACCUCUGAUCAUGAUUAUAAUUAUGCUUUGUGAGUAGUUACUUUUGUUCCUGAGGAUAUGGGAUAAAUCAUGUUAAUAGUAGUCAUGUGAAUUUGAUAUUCAUUCGGUAUUUUGAUAUGUUGUAUGUUGUCUUUUCCUCUAGUGGUGUUAUGUGAACGUCGACUAGAUAAAACUUCACCAUACUUGGGCCUAGAGGAAGGCAUUGGGGAGUAGUAAGUAGAUGAUGGGUUGCUGGAGUGACAGAAGCUUAAACCCCAGUCUAUGUGUUGCUUCGUAAGGGGCUGAUUUGGAUCCACUAGUUUAAUGCUAUGGUUAGACGUUUUCUUAAUUCUUCUUUUGUAGUUGCGGAUGCUUGUGAGAGAGGUUAAUCAUAAGUAGGAUGCUUGUCCAAGUAAGGGCAGUACCCAAGCGCCGGUCCACCCACAUAUCAAACUAUCAAAGUAACGAACGUGAAUCAUAUGAACAUGAUGAAACUAGCAUGACAGAAAUUCCCGUGUGUCCUCGGGAGCGUUUUUUCCUCCUAUAAGACUUUGUUCAGGCUUGUCCCUUGCUACAAAAGGGAUUGGGCCACUUGUUGCACCGUUGCUACUACUUGUUACUUCUUACUUUUCGCUUGCUACGUUUCACCUCACUACACCAUCACUUGUUACCGCUACUUUCAGUGCUUGCAGUUAUUACCUCGCUAAAAUCCAUUUAUCAGAGCCUUCUGCUCCUCGUUGGGUUCGACACUCUUACUUAUCGAAAGGACUACGACUGGUCCCCUAUACUUGUGGGUCAUCAAGGAGCACCAGGGGCCCCACAAACCCCCACCCCGCGGCCAGGGGGCCGGGCCAUCCAAGCUUGUGGGCCCCCUGGAGGUCCCCUGACCUAGAUCUUGCACCUAUAUAUUCCCAAAUAUUCCCAAAAAAAUCAAGAGACGAUCGCAAUCACUUUUCCGCCGCCGCAAGCUUCUGUCUCCGCAAGAUCCCAUCUGGGGCACGUCCUGGUGCCCUGCCAGAGGGGGGAUUCGGACACGGAGGGCUUCUUCAUCAACACCAUGACAUCUCCGAUGAUGCGUGAGUAGUUCACCAUAGACCUACGGGUGCAUAGCUAGUAACUAGAUGGCUUCUUCUCUCUCUUGGAUCUUCAAUACAAAGUUCUCCCUGAUCUUCAUGGAGAUCUAUCUGAUGUAAUCUUCUUUUGCGGUGUGUUUGUCGAGAUCCGAUGAAUUGUGGAUUUAUGAUCAGAUUAUCUAUGAAUCUUAUUUGAGCUUCUUCUGAUCUCUCUUAUGCAUGAUUUCAUAUCCUUGUAAUUCUCUUCGAGUUGUGGGUUUUGUCUGGCCAACUAGAUCUAUGAUUCUUGCAAUGGGAGAAGUGCUUGGUUUUGGGUUCAUACCGUGUCGUGACCUCACCCAGUGACAGAAGGGAUAGCGAGGCACGCAUCGUGUUGUUGCCAUCAAGGCAAAAAAGAUGGGGUUUUCAUCAUUGGUUUGAGAUUAUCCCUCUACACNNNNNNNNNNNNNNNNNNNNNNNNNNNNNNNNNNNNNNNNNNNNNNNNNNNNNNNNNNNNNNNNNNNNNNNNNNNNNNNNNNNNNNNNNNNNNNNNNNNNCCCACCCAAGUUAGGGUUCCCCCCCCCUCUUUUUCUUUCCCCUACGCCAUGGGCUGAGUGGGGAGGCAUACCAGCCCAACUAGGGGCUGGUUCCCACCCCCACUUAGCCCAUCUCACCUCUUGGGGUAGCAGCCCCCCUUCGGUGGUCCCGGUGGUCCCGGUACGUUACCGGUGAUGCCCGAAACACUUCCGGUGUCCGAAACCAUCCGUCCUAUAUAUCAAUCUUUACCUCUGGACCAUUCCGGAGCUCCUCGUGACGUCCGGGAUCUCAUCCGGGACUCCGAACAACUUUCGGUAAUCUCGUAUAACAAUUCCCUAUAACCCUAGCGUCAUCGAACCUUAAGUGUGUAGACCCUACGGGUUCGGGAGACAGGCAGACAUGACCGAGACACCUCUCUGGCCAAUAACCAUCAGCGGGGUCUGGAUACCCAUGGUGGCUCCCACUAGCUCCACGAUGAUCUCAUCGGAUGAACCACGAUGUCAAGGAUUCAAUCAAUCCCGUAUAAGAUUCCCUUUGUCUGUCGGUAUAGAACUUGCCCGAGAUUCGAUCGUCGGUAUACCUAUACCUUGUUCAAUCUCGUUACUGGUAAGUCUCUUUACUCGUUCCGUAGCACGUCAUCGUGUGACUAACUCCUUAGUCACAUUGAGCUCAUGAUGAUGUUCUACCGAGUGGGCCCAGAGAUACCUCUCCGUCAUACGGAGUGACAAAUCCCGAUCUCGAUUCGUGCUAACCCAACAGACACUUUCGGAGGUACCCGUAGUGCACCUUUAUAGUCACCCAGUUACGUUGUGACGUUUGAUACACCCAAAGCACUCCUACGGUAUCCGGGAGUUGCACAAUCUCACGGUCGAAGGAAAAGAUACUUGACAUUAGAAAAGCAUUAGCAUACGAACAAUACGAUCUAGUGCUAGGCUUAGGAUUGGGUCUUGUCCACCACAUCAUUCUCCCAAUGAUGUGAUCCCGUUAUCAAUGACAUCCAAUGUCCAUGAUCAGGAAACCAUGAUCAUCUAUUGACUGACGAGCUAGCCAACUAGAGGCUUGCUAGGGACACCUUGUGAUCUAUUCAUUCACACAUGUAUUACUGUUUCCUGUUAAUACAAUUAUAGCAUGAACGAUAGACGAUUAUCAUGAACAAGGAAAUAUGAUAACAACCAUUUUAUUAUUGCCUCUAGGGCAUAUUUCCAACAGUCUCCCACUUGCACUAGAGUCAAUAAUCUAGUUACAUUGUGAUGUAUCGAACACCCAUAGCAUCAUGGUGUUGAUCAUGUUUUGCUCGUGGAAGAGGUUUAGUCAACGGGUCUGCAAUAUUCAGAUCCGUGUGUACUUUACAAAUAUCUAUCACUCCACUCUGGACAUGGUCCUGGAUGGAGUUGUAGCGGCGCUUGAUGUGCUUCAUCUUCCGGUGAAACCUGGGCUCCUUGGCUAUGGCAAUGGCUCCAGUGUUAUCACAGAAGAGUGUCAUAGGACCCGACGCGCUUGGAACCACUCCAAGGUCGGUGAUGAGCUCCUUCAUCCAAAUUCCUUCAUGAGCUGCUUCUGAAGCAGCUAUGUACUCCGCUUCACAUGUAGAUGCUGCCACGACUUCUUGCUUGCUGCUGCACCAGCUCACUGCCCCACCAUUCAACACAUAUACGUAUCCGGUCUGUGACUUAGAGUCAUCCGGAUCUGUGUCAAAGCUAGCGUCGACGUAACCCUUUACGACGAGCUCUUCGUCACCUCCAUAAACGAGAAACAUUUCCUUAGUCCUUUUCAGGUACUUAAGGAUAUUCUUGACCGCUGUCCAGUGUUCCGCACCGGGAUUACUUUGGUACCUCCCUACCAAGCUUAUCGCAAGGUUUAUAUCAGGUCUGGUACACAGCAUGGCAUACAUUAGAGAGCCCACGGCUGAAGCGUAGGGGACAGAACUCAUCUUCUCUCUAUCUGCUGCCGUGGUCGGCGACUGAGUCUUACUCAAUCUCAUACCUUGCAAAACUGGCAAGAACCCUUUCUUUGAGUUUUCCAUAUUGAACUUCUUCAGUAUCUUGUCAAGGUAUGUACUUUGCGAAAGACCUAUGAGGCGUCUCGAUCUAUCUCUAUAGAUCUUGAUGCCUAAUAUGUAUGCAGCUUCUCCAAGGUCCUUCAUUGAAAAACUCUUGUUAAAAUAGGCCUUUAUGCUCUCCAGCAUCUCUAUAUCAUUUCCCAUCAAUAAUAUGUCAUCCACAUAUAGUACGAGGAAAGCUACAGAGCUCCCACUCACUUUCUUGUACAGACAGGCUUCUCCGUAAACCUGUAUGAACCCAAACGCUUUAAUCACCUCAUUAAAGCGAAUGUUCCAACUCCGAGAUGCUUGCACCAGCCCAUAGAUGGAGCGCUGGAGCUUGCACACUUUGUUAGCACCCUUAGGGUCGACAAAACCUUCUGGUUGCAUCAUAUACAACUCUUCCUUAAGGUUCCCGUUAAGGAACGCUGUUUUGACGUCCAUUUGCCAGAUUUCAUAAUCAUAAAAGGCGGCAAUUGCUAACAUGAUUCGGACUGAUUUCAGCUUCGCUACGGGAGAGAAAGUCUCUUCGUAGUCAACUCCUUGAAUUUGUCGAAAACCCUUUGCGACAAGUCGAGCUUUGUAAACGGUUACAUUACCGUUUGCAUCAGUCUUCUUCUUGAAGAUCCAUUUAUUUUCUAUGGCUCGCCGGUCAUCGGGCAAGUCCACCAAAGUCCAUACUUUGUUCUCAUACAUGGAUCCUAUCUCGGAUUUCAUGGCCUCAAGCCAUUUGUUGGAAUCCGGGCCCGCCAUCGCUUCUUCAUAGUUCGAAGGUUCACCGUUGUCUAACAACAUGAUUUCCAUCACAGGGUUGCCGUACCACUCUGGUGCGGAGCCUACCCUUGUGGACCUUCGCGGUUCAGUAGUAACUUGAUCCGAAGCUUCAUGAUCAUCAUCAUUAACUUCCUCUUCAGUUGGUGUAGGCACCACAGGAACAACUUCUUGCGUUGCGCUACUUUCCUGUUCGAGAGGGGGUGUAAUUACCUCAUCAAGUUCUACGUUCCUCCCACUUACUUCUUUCGAGAGAAACUCUUUCUCUAGAAAGGAUCCGUUCUUGGCAACAAAGGUUUUACCUUCGGAUCUAAGAUAGAAGGUAUACCCAAUAGUUUCCUUAGGGUAUCCUAUGAAUACGCAUUUCUCCGCUUUGGGUUCGAGCUUUUCUGGUUGAAGUUUCUUCACAUAAGCAUCGCAGCCCCAAACUUUAAGAAACGACAACUUAGGUUUCUUGCCAAACCACAGUUCAUACGGUGUCGUCUCAACGGAUUUAGACGGUGCCCUAUUUAAAGUGAAUGCUGCAGUUUCUAAUGCGUAUCCCCAAAAUGAUAGCGGUAAGUCGGUGAGAGACAUCAUAGAUCGUACCAUAUCCAAUAAGGUGCGAUUACGACGUUCAGACACUCCGUUGCGCUGCGGUGUGCCAGGCGGCGUUAGUUGUGAAACGAUUCCACACUUUCUUAGGUGUGUGCCAAACUCGUGACUCAAAUAUUCUCCUCCACGAUCAGAUCGUAGACAUUUUAUUUUUCUGUCACGUUGAUUCUCAACCUCACUCUGAAAUUCCUUGAACUUUUCAAACGUCUCAGAUUUGUGCUUCAUCAAGUAGAUAUACCCAUACCUACUCAAAUCAUCGGUGAGAAUGAGAACAUAACGAUAACCACCGCGAGCUUCAACGUUCAUUGGACCACACACAUCAGUAUGUAUUAUUUCCAAUAAGUCGGAGGCUCUCUCCAUUAUUCCUGAGAAUGGAGUCUUAGUCAUCUUGCCCAUGAGGCACGGUUCGCAUGUGUCAAAUGAUUCAAAGUCAAGAGACUCUAGCAGUCCAUCAGUAUGGAGCUUCUUCAUGCGCUUAACGCCGAUAUGACCAAGGCGGCAGUGCCACAAGUAUGUGGGACUAUCAUUAUCAACUUUGCAUCUUUUGGUACUCACACUAUGAAUAUGUGUAACAUCACGAUCGAGAUUCAUCAAGAAUAAACCAUUCACCAGCGGAGCAUGACCAUAAAACAUAUCACUCAUAUAAAUAGAACAACCAUUAUUAUCUGACUUAAAUGAGUAGCCGUCUCGCAUUAAGCAAGACCCUGAUACAAUGUUCAUGCUUAAAGCUGGUACUAAAUAACAAUUAUUAAGGUUUAAAACUAAUCCCAACGGUAGAUGUAGAGGUAGCGUGCCGACGGCGAUCACAUCGACCUUUGAACCAUUCCCGACGCGCAUCGUCACCUCGUCCUUGGCCAGUCUCCGCUUAUUCCGCAGUUCCUGCUUUGAGUUGCAAAUGUGAGCAACAACACCGGUAUCAAAUACCCAGGAGCUACUACGAGCGCUGGUAAGGUACACAUCAAUAACAUGUAUAUCACAUAUACCUUUAACGUUGCCGGCCUUCUUGUCCGCUAAGUAUUUGGGGCAGUUCCGCUUCCAGUGACCUUUUCCCUUGCAGUAGAAGCACUCAGUCUCAGGCUUGGGUCCGUUCUUUUUCUUCUUCCCGGCAUCUGGCUUACCGGGCGCGGCAACAGCUUUGCCGUCUUUCUUGAAGUUCUUCUUACCCCUGCCUUUCUUGAAACUAGUGGUCUUGUUGACCAUCAACACUUGAUGCUCCUUCUUUAUUUCUACUUCUGCAGACUUGAGCAUCGAGUACAACUCGGGAAUGGUUUUCUCCAUCCCUUGCAUGUUGUAGUUAAGCACAAAGCCUUUGUAGCUUGGUGGGAGAGACUGGAGGAUUCUGUCAAUGAUAGCAUCAUCCGGAAGUUCGACUCCUAGUGAAGUCAGACGACCGUGUAACCCAGACAUUUUGAGUAUGUGCUCACUGACAGAACUGUUCUCCUCCAUCUUACAGCUGAAGAACUUGUCAGAGACUUCAUAUCUCUCGACACGGGCAUGAGCUUGAAAAACUAGCUUCAGCUCUUGGAACAUCUCAUAUGCCCCGUGUUGCUCAAAACGUCUUUGGAGCCCCGUUUCUAAACUGUAUAACAUGCCACACCUAACCAGAGAGUAGUCAUCACUCCGCGCUUGCCAGACGUUUAGAACGUCCUGGGCUGCUUCGGGAGCGGGAGGGUCACCUAGCGGCGCAUUAAGGACAUAAGCCUUUUUAGCUGCUUCAAGGAUGAGCUUCAGGUUGCGAACCCAGUCCGCAUAGUUGCUACCAUCAUCUUUCAGCUUGUUUUUCUCUAGGAAUGCGUUGAAGUUGAGGUUGACGUUGGACAUCUACAAUAUUUAUAAAGACAACUUUUAGACUAAGUUCAUGACAAUUAAGUUCAUUUAAUCAAAUUAAGUAUGAACUCCCACUUAAAUCGACAUCCCUCUAGUCAUCUAAGUGAUACAUGAUCCAUGUUGACUAACCCGUGUCCCAUCAUCACGUGAGACGGACUAGUCACCAUGGUGAGCAACUUCAUGCUGACCGUAUUCAACCAUACGACUCAUGUUCGACCUUUCGGUCUCUUGUAUUCGAGGUCAUGUCUGUACAUGCUAAGCUCGUCGAGUCAACCUAAGUGUUUCGCGUGUGUAAAUCUGGCUUACACCCGUUGUAUGCGAACGUUAGAAUCUAUCACACCCGAUCAUCACGUGGUGCUUCGAGACAACGAACCUUCGCAACGGUGCACACUUAGGGGAAUACGUUCUCGAAAUUUUUAAGAGGGAUCAUCUUAUUAUGCUACCGUCGUUUUAAGCAAUAAGAUGUAAAACAUGAUAAACAUCACAAUGCAAUCAUAUAGUGACAUGAUAUGGCCAUUAUCAUCUUUGCUCAUUUGAUCUCCAUCUUCAGGCAUCGCAUGAUCAUCAUCGUCACCGGCGUGACACCAUGAUCUCCAUCAUCAUGAUCUCCAUCAUCGUGUCUCCAUGAAGUCGUCACGCCAACUACUACUACCACUACUACUAUGGCUAACCGUUAGCAAUGAAGCAAAAGUAGCAAGCACAUGGCGUUGCAUCUUAUACAAUAAAUUAAGACAACUCCUAUGGCUCCUACCAGUUGUCAUACUCAUCGACAUGCAAGUCGUGAAACCUAUUACAAUAACAUGAUCAUCUCAUACAUCAUACAUGCAACAUCACAACUUUGGCCAUAUCACAUCACAUGUCAAACCCUGCAAAAACAAGUUAGACGUCCUCUAAUUGUUGUUGCAAGUUUUACGUGGCUGAUUUGGGUUUCUAGCAAGAACGCCUUCUUACCUACGUGACAGCCACAACAAUGAUAUGCCAAAGCUAUUUACCCUUCAUAAGGACCCUUUUCAUCAAAUCCAAUCCGACUAGAGUAGGAGAGACAGACACCCGCUAGCCACCUUUAUGCACGAUGUGCAUGUUUGUCGGUGGAACCAGUCUCACGUAAGCGUACGUGUAAGGUCGGUCUGGGACGCUUCAUCCCACAAUACCGCCGAAAAAGAAUAAGACUAGUAACGCCAAGCAAAUUGACAAACCAUCGCCCACAACUUUUGUGUUCUACUCGUGCAUGGAAUCUACGCAUAGAAAACCUGGCUCGGAUGCCACUGUUGGGUUACGUAGCAUAAAUUCAAAAAAAAUUCCUACGCAUGUUCAGAUCUUCCUAUGGAGAGACCAGCAACGAGAGAGGGGUAAGAGCAUCUUCAUACCUUUGAAGAUNNNNNNNNNNNNNNNNNNNNNNNNNNNNNNNNNNNNNNNNNNNNNNNNNNNNNNNNNNNNNNNNNNNNNNNNNNNNNNNNNNNNNNNNNNNNNNNNNNNNAGAAAUAUCGACUUGCAUGUCGAUGGUACGGCAACCGGCAGGAGCCAUAGGGUUGUCUUUAUACUAACAUAUGUGCUUGCAGAUGCGUUUACUAUUUUGCUAGGAUGUAGCUUUAGUAGUGAUAGCAUGAGUAGCACGACAACCCCGAUGGCAACACGUUGAUGGAUGAUCAUGGUGUGGCGCCGGUGGCAAGAAGAUCGUGCCGGUGCUUUGGUGAUGGNNNNNNNNNNNNNNNNNNNNNNNNNNNNNNNNNNNNNNNNNNNNNNNNNNNNNNNNNNNNNNNNNNNNNNNNNNNNNNNNNNNNNNNNNNNNNNNNNNNNNNNNNNNNNNNNNNNNNNNNNNNNNNNNNNNNNNNNNNNNNNNNNNNNNNNNNNNNNNNNNNNNNNNNNNNNNNNNNNNNNNNNNNNNNNNNNNNNNNNNNNNNNNNNNNNNNNNNNNNNNNNNNNNNNNNNNNNNNNNNNNNNNNNNNNNNNNNNNNNNNNNNNNNNNNNNNNNNNNNNNNNNNNNNNNNNNNNNNNNNNNNNNNNNNNNNNNNNNNNNNNNNNNNNNNNNNNNNNNNNNNNNNNNNNNNNNNNNNNNNNNNNNNNNNNNNNNNNNNNNNNNNNNNNNNNNNNNNNNNNNNNNNNNNNNNNNNNNNNNNNNNNNNNNNNNNNNNNNNNNNNNNNNNNNNNACCGAAAGGUCGAUCAUGAAUCAUAUAGCUGAUAUGAUUAGCAUAGAGGAUGCUUACCACUGAAACUACUCUUGACUCACGUGAUGAUCGGACUUGGGAUAGUGUAAGUGGAUCAUGAACCACUCAAAUGACUAGAGAGAUGUACUUUUUGAGUGGGAGUUUGGCAUAUAAUUUGAUUAAGUUGAACUCUAAUUAUCUUGAACAUAGUCUAAGUCCACUUUGAAUGUAUUUGUGUUGUAGAUCAUGGCUCACGCAAGUGUCAUCCUGAAUUUUAANNNNNNNNNNNNNNNNNNNNNNNNNNNNNNNNNNNNNNNNNNNNNNNNNNNNNNNNNNNNNNNNNNNNNNNNNNNNNNNNNNNNNNNNNNNNNNNNNNNNNNNNNNNNNNNNNNNNNNNNNNNNNNNNNNNNNNNNNNNNNNNNNNNNNNNNNNNNNNNNNNNNNNNNNNNNNNNNNNNNNNNNNNNNNNNNNNNNNNNNNNNNNNNNNNNNNNNNNNNNNNNNNNNNNNNNNNNNNNNNNNNNNNNNNNNNNNNNNNNNNNNNNNNNNNNNNNNNNNNNNNNNNNNNNNNNNNNNNNNNNNNNNNNNNNNNNNNNNNNNNNNNNNNNNNNNNNNNNNNNNNNNNNNNNNNNNNNNNNNNNNNNNNNNNNNNNNNNNNNNNNNNNNNNNNNNNNNNNNNNNNNNNNNNNNNNNNNNNNNNNNNNNNNNNNNNNNNNNNNNNNNNNNNNNNNNNNNNNNNNNNNNNNNNNNNNNNNNNNNNNNNNNNNNNNNNNNNNNNNNNNNNNNNNNNNNNNNNNNNNNNNNNNNNNNNNNNNNNNNNNNNNUCAAACCGUCUAGCUGAACUGGGGAUUGAACUCCCGCAAGAAGCUAUCACUGACAGAAUCCUUCAAUCACUGCCGCCAAGCUAUAAAGGCUUUGUGUCGAACUACAACAUGCAAGGGAUGAACAAGUCUCCCGGCGAGUUGUUUGCGAUGCUGAAAGUCGCAGAGUCUGAACUCCGUAAAGAGCAUCAAGUGUUGAUGGUGAGCAAGACCACUAGUUUCAAGAGAAACAGCAAAGGCAAGAAGGGCAAUUCGAAGAAGAGCGGCAAGCCUGUUGCCAAUCCGCCAAAGAAACCCAAGGCUGGACCUAAGCCUGAAACAGAGUGCUUCUAUUGCAAGGGUAUGGNNNNNNNNNNNNNNNNNNNNNNNNNNNNNNNNNNNNNNNNNNNNNNNNNNNNNNNNNNNNNNNNNNNNNNNNNNNNNNNNNNNNNNNNNNNNNNNNNNNNACGCUUACGAGAGACUGUUUUCGUCAUUACGAAUAACCCCGUUGCUCAAAGAUGACUGGCAAGUGUCGGUUUCUCCAACUUUAGUUGAAUCGGAUUUGACCGAGGACGUCCUUGGAUGAGGUUAAAUAGCAACUCAUAUAUCUCCGUUGUGGUGCUUGCGUAAGUAAGAUGCGAUCCUACUAGAUACCCAUGGUCACCACGUAAAACAUGCAACAACAAAAUUAGAGGACGUCUAACUUGUUUUUGCAGGGUCUGCUUGUGAUGUGAUAUGGCCAACGAUGUGAUGUGAUAUAUUGGAUGUAUGAGAUGAUCAUGUUGUAAUAGAAAAUAUUGACUUGCACGUCGAUGGUACGGCAACCGGCAGGAGCCAUAGGGUUGUCUUCAUACUAACGUUUGUGCUUGCAGAUGCGUUUACUAUUUUGCUAGGAUGUAGCUUUGGUAGUAAUAGCAUGAGUAGCACGACAACCCCGAUGGCAACACGUUGAUGGAGAUCAUGGUGUGGCGCCGGUGACAAGAAGAUCGUGCCGGUGCUUUGGUGAUGGAGAUCAAGAAGCACGUGAUGAUGGCCAUAUCUUGUCACUUAUGAAUUGCAUGUGAUGUUAAUCCUUUAAUGCACCUUAUUUUGCUUAGAACGACGGUAGCAUUAUGAGGUGAUAUCUCACUAAAAUUUCAAGACAAAAUUGUGUUCUCCCCGAUUGUGCACCGUUGCUACAGUUCGUCGUUUCGAGACACCACUUGAUGAUCGGGUGUGAUAGACUCAACGUUCACAUACAACGGGUGCAAAACAGUUGCGCACGCGGAACACUCGGGUUAAGCUUGACGAGCCUAGCAUGUGCAGACAUGGCCUCGGAACACAUGAGACCGAAAGGUCGAUCAUGAAUCAUAUAGAUGAUAUGAUUAGCAUAGGCAUGCUUACCACUGAAACUAUACUCAACUCACGUGAUGAUCGGACUUGAGUUAGUGUAAGUGGAUCAUNNNNNNNNNNNNNNNNNNNNNNNNNNNNNNNNNNNNNNNNNNNNNNNNNNNNNNNNNNNNNNNNNNNNNNNNNNNNNNNNNNNNNNNNNNNNNNNNNNNNAGGAUAUUCUUGACCGCUGUCCAGUGAUCCACUCCUGGAUUACUCUGGAACCUGCCUGCCAUACUUAUGGCCAGGCUAACGUCCGGUCUAGUGCACAACAUCACAUACAUGAUAGAACCUAUGGCUGAAGCAUAGGGGACGGAGCGCAUAUGCUCUCUAUCUUCAUCAGUUGCUGGGCACUGAGUCUUACUCAAUCUUGUACCUUGUAAAACCGGCAAGAACCCUUUCUUGGACUGUUCCAUUUUGAACCUUUUCAAAACUUUAUCAAGGUAUGUGCUUUGUGAAAGUCCUAUCAGGCGUUUUGAUCUAUCCCUAUAGAUCUUAAUGCCUAGAAUGUAAGCAGCUUCUCCUAGGUCCUUCAUAGAGAAACUUUUAUUCAAGUAACCUUUUAUGCUCUCCAAAAGCUCUACGUUGUUUCCAAUCAGUAAUAUGUCAUCCACAUAUAAUAUUAGAAACGCCACAGAGCUCCCACUCACUUUCUUGUAAAUACAAGAUUCUCCAACCACUUGUAUAAACCCAAAUGCUUUGAUCACCUCAUCAAAGCGUUUGUUCCAACUCCGAGAUGCUUGCACCAGUCCAUAAAUGGAUCGCUGGAGCUUGCACACCUUGUUAGCAUUCUUAGGAUCGACAAAACCUUCGGGUUGCAUCAUAUACAANNNNNNNNNNNNNNNNNNNNNNNNNNNNNNNNNNNNNNNNNNNNNNNNNNNNNNNNNNNNNNNNNNNNNNNNNNNNNNNNNNNNNNNNNNNNNNNNNNNNGGUUGCAUCAUAUACAACUCUUCCUUAAGGAGAUCGUUAAGGAACGCCGUUUUGACAUCCAUCUGCCAGAUUUCAUAAUCGAAAAAUGCAGCUAUUGCUAACAUGAUUCUGACGGACUUAAGCAUCGCUACGGCUGAGAAAGUCUCAUCGUAGUCCACUCCUGGAACUUGUGAAAAACCCUUUGCCACAAGUCGAGCUUUAUAAACGGUCACAUUACCGUCAGCGUCCGUCUUCUUCUUAAAGAUCCAUUUGUUCUGAAUAGCCUUGCGGCCCUCAGGUAGUAUCUCCAAAGUCCACACUUUGUUCUCAUACAUGGAUCCUAUCUCGGACUUCAUGGCUUCUAGCCAUUUGUUGGAAUCUGGGCCCACCAUUGCUUCUUCAUAAUUUGUAGGUUCAUUGUUGUCCAACAACAUGAUUGAUAAGACGGGAUUACCUUACCACUCUAGAGCAGCGCGUGAUCUCGUCGACCUGCGUGGUUCAACAGAAACUUGAACUGGAGUUUCAUGAUCAUCAUCAUUAACUUCCUCCUCAACCGGCGUCGCAACGNNNNNNNNNNNNNNNNNNNNNNNNNNNNNNNNNNNNNNNNNNNNNNNNNNNNNNNNNNNNNNNNNNNNNNNNNNNNNNNNNNNNNNNNNNNNNNNNNNNNUUUGGCCGUGGAAGAGGUUUAGUCAGCGGGUCUGCUACAUUCAGAUCCGUGUGCACUUUGCAUAUAUUCACGUCCUCCCCUUCGACAUAGUCGCGGAUGAGGUUGAAGCGUCGUUUGAUGUGUCUGGUCUUCUUGUGAAACCGUGGUUCCUUUGCUAAGGCAAUGGCACCCGUGUUGUCACAGAACAAGGUUAUUGGAUUCAGUGCGCUUGGCACCACUCCAAGAUCCGUCAUGAACUGCUUCAUCCAGACACCCUCCUUAGCCGCCUCCGAGGCAACCAUGUACUCCGCUUCACAUGUAGAAUCUGCUACGACGCUUUGCUUGGAACUGCACCAGCUUACCGCACCCCAUUAAGAAUAAAUACGUAUCCGGUUUGCGACUUAGAGUCGUCCGGAUCUGUGUCAAAGCUUGCAUCGACGUAACCUUUUACGGCGAGCUCUUCGUCACCUCCAUACACGAGAAACAUCUCCUUAGUCCUUUUCAGGUACUUCAGGAUAUUCUUGACCGCNNNNNNNNNNNNNNNNNNNNNNNNNNNNNNNNNNNNNNNNNNNNNNNNNNNNNNNNNNNNNNNNNNNNNNNNNNNNNNNNNNNNNNNNNNNNNNNNNNNNCGGGUUACGGUCGGGUCGGGUAGGUCCCGGACGGGKUMGUCGGGGGUCGGUCGGGUCGGKCGGUCGGUAGGCSUGGUUCCGGGGACGGGUGCGGGGGUCGGGCGGCGGCGKKGGAGCGGGGAGGGUGUKGGGGGCGUCGGUGGCGGUGGAGCGGGCCAGGGAGGGUGCGGGGGGUCGUCAGCGGUGGUGGAGCGGGGGAGGGUGCGGUGGGUGCUCGGCGGCGGUGGAGCGGGGGAGGGUGCGGGGGGACACUAUUGGGACACUAUGAUGCAAAUGAGGUGAGGAGGAGGAGGCACCCGAGACAAGCUUGGAGGAGGAGGUGGAGAGAAUGAAAGUGGGGAAAGUGAGUGUGGUAGGUGGCUGUCCAAAAUAUCUAGCUGGUCCCAGGUUACUAAUAGCCCUUUUUCUAGUAGUGAACCGCAGGACGAUCAUACCCCCGAUGGUCAUCGUGCGGACCAUGGUCGCCUCGGGGUAGAGCAAAACGAUAUUUUAGAACCAAAUUUUUUUUGGCAUGACUUUGCCUAAAAAUAGGACAAAAAAGAAUGCAUAGUGCCAAAUUCUCGCCGAAACGGAAAUGAAUCAACAUUCCGGGAAAAUAUUGGCAACUAUCGCAUUUCAAAUACCGGUACCUGCAAACACAAACAUAUAUGCAACACCACAAACAUAUGCAACACCACAAACAUACGUAGAUCUAGCUAGGCCAUAAAAAGUGCAUGUGCACGUUGUUGGAGGGAGAAAAAAGUAGAUCUACAACAUAAAAGCUUUCCCCUUACUUACCUAUCAAAAAAGGUAAUUUAACCAAAUUUGGGUGAAUCUAUGAUGCAAAUGAGGUGAGGAGGAGGAGGCACCCGAGACAAGCUUGGAGGAGGAGGUGGAGAGAAUGAAAGUGGGGAAAGUGAGUGUGGUAGGUGGCUGUCCAAAAUAUCUAGCUGGUCCCAGGUUACUAAUGGCGCACCACCUACAUAUGCGCCAUUAGUAACCCUGGUUACUAAUGGCGCACCUCCUCUGGUGCGCCAUUAGUAGUUCUGCAAAAAAAAAAGUAGUAGCGCACCACCAACAGAUGCGCCAUUAGUAACACUGGUUACUAAUGGCACACUAGAUGUGGUGCGCCAUUUGUAGUUUGCAAAAAAAACCCAAAAAAUUUUUAUAGUAGUGGCGCACUACUAACAGAUGCGCCAUUAGUAACCCUGGUUACUAAUGGCGCACCAGCUGCUGGGGCGCCAUUAGUAGUUUUGCAAAAAAAAUAAAAAAAAUAUAGUAGUGGCGCACCGAGUGUGUGGUGCGCCAUUAGUGUCCAUCACACUAAUGGCACACCUCACAUGGUGCGCCACUACUAAUAGUAGUGGCGCACUGCUUGUGUGGUGCGCCAUUAGUAUCUAUAUCAUCUAUAGCCCUUUUCCUAGUAGUGAUAUCUAAUAAAGUAUGAUUACGAUGUUCGGACACACCAUUACGCUGUGGUGUUCCAAGUGGUAUCAACUGUAAAACAAUUCCACAUUGUCUUAAGUGAGUGCCAAACUCAUAACUCAGAUAUUCUCCUCCUCGAUCAGAUCGUAGGAAUUUAAUCUUCUUGUUAUGAUGAUUCUCUUCACUCUGUAAUUGCUUGAACUUUUCAAACAUUUGUGACUUGUGUUUCAUUAAGUAAAUAUACCCAUACCUACUUAAGUCAAUUGUGAAGGUGAGAAAAUAACAAUAUCCAUCGUGCGCCUCAAUGCUCAUCGGUCCGCACACAUCAGUAUGUAUGAUUUCUAAUAAGUCACUUGCGUGCUCCAUUGUUACGGAGAACAGAGUCUUAGUCAUCUUGCCCAUGAGGCAUGGUUCACAUGUGUCAAGUGAUUCAAAAUCAAGUGACUCCAAAAGUUCAUCAAUAUGGAGUUUCUUCAUGCGAUUUACACCAAUAUGACCUAAGAGGCAGUGCCACAAGAAAGUGAUACUAUCAUUAUCAACUCUACAUCUUUUGGCAUCAAUGUUAUGAACAUGUGUGUCAUCACUAUCGAGAUUCAAUAAGAAUAAACCCCUCACAUUGGGUGCAUGACCAUAAAAGAUAUUACUCAUAUAAAUAGAACAACCAUUAUUCUUUGAUUUAAAUGAGUAACCGUCUCGCAAUAAACAAGAUCUAGAUAUAAUGUCCAUGCUUAGCGCAGGCACUAAAAACAAUUAUUUAGGUUCAUCACUAAUCCCGAUGGUAAUUGAAGUGAGAGCGUGCCGACGACGACCACAUCAACCUUGGAACCAUUUCCCACGCGCAUCGUCAUUUCGUCCUUCGCCAACCUUCGUUUAUUCGUAGUCCCUGCUUUGAUUUGCAAAUGUGAGCAACUGAACCGGUAUCAAAUACCCAGCACUACAAAGAGAGUCGGUGAGGUACACAUCAGUAACAUGUAUAUCAUAUAUACCUUGUUUGGCGUUGGUCACCUUCUUGCUGGCCAGAUACUUGUAGCAGUUCCGCUUCCAGUGACCAGUCCCCUUGCAAUGAAAGAACUCAGUUUCUGGCUUGGGUCCAACCUUGGGUUUCUUCAUGGCUGGGGCAACUGCUUUGCCACUCUUCUUGGAGUUACCCUUCUUGCCCUUGCCAUUUUUCUUGAAACUAGUGGUUUAUUGACCAUCAACACUUGAUGUUCUUUCUGAAUUUCUAACUCAACGAAUUUCAACAACACAAACAGCUCGGCGACUGAUUUAUUCAUCCCUUGCAUGUUGUAGUCCAACACAAAGCCUUCAUAGCUAGGUGGAAGCGAUAGAAGAACUCUGUCAGUGAUUUCCUCCGGCAGGAGAACAAUUCCCAAUUCAGGCAGACGGUUAGAAUACCCAGACAUUCUGAGUAUGUGUUCACUAACAUACCCUUUCUCCUCUAUCUUGCAAGCAUAGAACUUAUCGGGGGCCUUGAUAACCCACAAGUAUAGGGGAUCGCAAUAGUUUUCGAGGGUAGAGUAUUCAACCCAAAUUUAUUGAUUCGACACAAGGGAAGCCAAAGAAUACUCUUGAGUAUUAGCAGUUGAGUUGUCAAUUCAACCACACCUGAAAGACUUAGUAUCUACAGCAAUGUUUUAGUAGCAAAGUAGUAUGGUAGUAACGGUAGCGGCGGUAACAGUAGCAGUAGUAAUUUGUAUAGCAAGUGUGACAACAGUAGUAGUAAAGUAAUUUAGCAAGGACCAGUAUAGGAAAAGCUCGUAGGAAUUGGAUCAGUGAUGGAUAAUUAUGUCAGAUGGCAUUCAUCAUGUAAUAGUUAUAACAUAGGGUGAUAUGUAACUAGCUCCACUUCGUCAAUGUAAUGUAGGCAUGUAUUCCGUAUUUAGUCAUACAUGCUUAUGGAAAAGAACUUGCAUGACAUCUUUUGUCCUACCCUCCCGUGGCAGCGGGGUCCUAAUGGAAACUAAGGGAUAUUAAGGUCUCCUUUUAAUAGAGAACCGGAACAAAGCAUUAACACAUAGUGAAUACAUGGGAUCCUCAUACUAUGGUCAUCUCCGGGAGUGGUUCCGGCUAUUGUCACUCCGGGGUUGCCAGGUCAUAACACAUAGUAGGUGACUACAACUUGCAAGAUAGGAUCAAUUAACACACAUAUAUUGAUGAAAACAUAAUAGGUUCAUAUCUGAAAUCAUGGCAGUCGGGCCCUAGUGACAAGCAUUAAGCAUAGCAAAGUAGUAGCAACAUCAAUCUUAGAACAUAGUGGAUACUAGGGAUCAAACCCCAUCAAAACUAACUCGAUUACAUGAUAGAUCUCAUCCAACCCAUCACCGUCCAGCAAGCCUACGAUAUGAUUGCUCACGAACGAUGGAGAGCAUCAUGGAAUUGGCGAUGAAGGAUGGUUGAUGAUGACGACGGCGUCGAUUUUCCCUCUCCGGAGCCCAGAACGGACUCCAGAUCUGCCCUCUGUAUCGUGAAACGCGAUGAACUCUUCUCUCCUCUUUUUUUCCGGGUGAGAGGGGUUAUAUGGAGUUGGAGAUGAAGUCGGGGGAGCCACGUGGAAAAAUCCUCAUAAGUUUCCAGGUCAUUCCUAGAACUUUUAUUUCUGCAAAAAAACAACACCAUGGCAGUUCUGCUGAAAAUAGCGUCAGUCCGGGUUAGUUUCAUUCAAAUCAUGCAAAUUAAAGUCCAAGACAAGGGCAAACAAGUUUGGAAAAGUAGAUACGUUGGAGACGUAUCAACUCCCCCAAGCUUAAAGCCUUGCUUGUCCUCAAGCAAUUCAGUUGAUAAACUGAAAGAGACAAAAGAAAAACUUUUACGAACUCUGUUUGAUCUUGUUGUUGUAAUUAUGUCUAACUCAUAUUCAGAUUUUCAGCAAGAUCAUAAGCUAACCACAUAAGCAAUGACAUUUAGGUAUCACGGUAUACUCAUAUCAAUGGCGUAAUUAACUAGCGAGCAAUAAUAAUAAGUAUCAAACGUCAACACUUCAAUCAAAAUAAUCAUGAUACAAUAUGAAUAAAUGGUAUCUCGCUAGCCCAUUCUGAGAACGCAAAACAUAAAUGCAGAGCACCUUGAAAGACCAAAGGCCGACUGGAAAUUGUAAUUCAUGGCAAAGAAAAUCCAGUCAUAGUCAUACUCAAUAUCAAUUAAUAGCAAAACAUAUAAAUGACGGAGGUGCUCUCUAACUGGUGCUUUUUAAUAAGAAGAGGAUGACACAACAGAAACGUAAAUAGAUAGGCCCUUCGCAGAGGGAAGCAUUGAUUUGCAGAGGUGCCAAAGCUCAAGCUUUUUAAAACAGAGAUAAAUAAUUUUGGGUGGCAUGCUUUCAUUGUCAACGCAAUGACCAAGAGUUUUCACCAUCUUCCAUGCUACACAUAUUAUAGGCGAUUCCCAAACAGAAUGGUAAAGUUUUGACUCCCCCACCACCGAUCAAUCACACUCCACGAGUAGCCGAAUCCUCGGGUGCCGUCCAUAUCAACAACAAUCCAGGGGGAGUUUUGUUUGCAAUUAUAUUUUUGAUUUGAUUUGAGCAUGGAACCGGGCAUUUCGAUUACCGGCCCAUUUCUCGUGAGUGAUAGUGAAUAAACAUGUAUCAAGGAUAACACACCUAGCAUGGAAGAUACUGACCGCCCCUUGUCACCACAUGAGCGGUUCGGGCAUACAAAACAUAUUAUUAUUUGAAGAUUUAGAGAGUGGCACAUGCAAAUUUACUUGGAACAGCAAGUAGAUACCGCAUAUAGGUAGGUAUGAUGGACUCAUAUGGAACAACUUUGGGUUUAUGGAAGUGGAUGCACAAGCAGUAUUCCCGCUUAGUACAAGUGAAGGCUAGCAAAACACUGGGAAGCGACCAACUAGAGAGCGACAAUAGUCAUCAAUAUGCAUUGAAAUUAACCAAUGUUGAGUGCAAGCAUGAGUAGGAUAUAAAUCACCAUAAACAUGAAUAUCAUAGAGGCUAUGUUGAUUUUGUUUCAACUACAUGCGUGAACAUGUGCCAAGUCAAGCCACUUGAAUCAUUCAAAGGAGGAUACCACCCUAUCAUACUACAUCAUAAUCAUCUUGAAAUUCAUGUUGGCAUCCAAGACAAACCAUUAUAAGUUCCUAGUUAAUUAAGCAUGGCAUCAGAAACUAUGAUCUCUAAGUUGUCAUUGCAAACAUGUUUCUCUCAUAACAAUGUUGAAUUAGGAACGAUGAGCUAGUCACAUUUACAAAAACAAAAUAUGUAGAGUUUAUACCAGCUUUUCCAGGCUUAGUCACUUCAUCAUAUAUCAUCAUUAUUGCCUUUCACUUGCAUGACCGAAUGAUGUGAAUAUUAAUAAGAGUGUUCGUGCAUUGGACUAAGCUGGAAUCUGCAAGCAAAUUCAUAGGAGAAGACAAAGUAAUAUGGCUCUUUGACGGAUAAACAAUAAUGCAUAUGAGAGCCACUAAUCAUUUUAAUCAUGGUCUUCUACCUCGACCCAAAGAAAAAGAAAACUAUUUACACGGGAAAGCUCCCAACAAGCAAAAGAAGAAUGGGAAAUAUUUUUGGGUUUUCUUUUUAGUUACCACUAAGCAUGCUGGAAAGUAAACUUACAACUAUUUUUUUCCUCAUUUUUAAACAAACACACGAGAAGAAUGCAAGAAAAAGAAAUAAACUAGCAUGGAUGAUACAAUGGAAGUGUGUGAACACCGACUGUCAAAGUGAAUGUGUGAGCAUGAAUAUAAAGUUGGUGAGAUACACGUACUCCCCCAAGUUUAGGGUUUUGACCUAAGUUGGUCUAGUUCCACGGCUGGUCCGGGCGAUAUCCAAAAUCAUAAUGGGGGUUGUACUGGGACGCGGUAGCUACCGCCUGAAUAGUUGCCUCACGGAGGCGAGUAGCCUUCACCUUCCUCUCAUACUCCUCUGCCUCUCCUCUGGUUAUGUAAUAUCUCUGUUUUCCCUGAAAGUCAAAGAAGGCAGGAGCAGAAAGGGUAAUAUGGAAAACACGAUGUCGGUUAAAUAUUAACCUGUAUAGGAGGGAUUCAUUAUCCCUCUCAAGGAACUGAUAACGUAUCAUAGCGGCGCGAUCAAGGAAAGCUGUGUGGACCGGGGGAUCUCCUGUGCGGAUGGGUAUUCCAAGAGAAUUUUCUAUGCAAGUGGCAUAGAUCCCACCGAAGAAAUCCCCUUCAUUAGCAUUAUUAUUUAGCCUCCUAGCAAUUAUAGCUCCCAUGUUGAAACUUCUAUCACCCGUUACUGCGCUCUUAAGAAUACUAAGGUCAGGUGCGCAGAGGUGACUAUGGUCAUGCUUGCCGUUAAUGCAUCUACCUAUGAAGAGGGGAAAAUAAUGUAAGGCAUGAAAAUGAAUGCUUUCCAUGGUAGCUUGUGUAAUAUCUCUAGUUUCUCCAACAGUUAUACUAGAAAUAAAAUCUCUGACCGAAGACUUAGGAGGGUCAUUGGGACUACCCCAAUCAGGUAUCCUGCAUAAUCUAUUAAAAUCCUCUAAAUCCAUAGUAUACGAUUUGUCAUAAAGAUCAAACAGUAUGGAUGUGUCACGGCCAACUGAAAAUUUGAAUCUACGAACAAAAGAGGCAGUGAAUGUAGCAUACUAUUCACAUUUAUUGGAGAUGAAUUCUUCAAGCCCGGUGUUGCGAACAAAUGUAUCAAACUCGUCCUUGAAACCUGCAUCAAUCAUGAAUUUGUCGGAAGGCCAUUCACAUGGUUGCACCGGUGCGUUCCUCGGCUGAUAAGGACCGGGCUCCCGAAUUGCGAGACGGGGACCCCUUUUGCUUGAGGAACCACCAUGAUAGUUCUUCCUAGACAUCUUUCUUUUUCUGAAAUAAUUCUGAAAUUUUUAGUGACUCAAAAUAAAAGUGAACAAAGUUUAACAAAACUCAUAGCAACUACCCCUACAAGUGCCUAGAGGCCAUAUCAUGCAUCAAAACUACUUGGGACCAACUAAAAUUAACAUGCAAAGCUCAAGAACAGGGUCACCAAGGAAGCAAUAAUGUGCAAUGAAUAAAGCACUAGAAUAAAAACUAAUUGGACUAAUGGAGGGGUCACAUACCAAGGAACAAUUCCCCAAAACAGUUUGGUGAUUGGGGCUUUGCACAAGGAGAUCGAAAAAUGCAGCAAAAUGAUCAAGAACACGGGUUUGAGCUGUGGAAUGAUUUUUUUUGGAGGUAGACGAAGAAGAUGGGUGCUGGAAUAAGUGGAGGGGGGCCAUGUGGGACCCACGAGCCUGCCACGCGCGCCGAGGGGGGUGAGCGCGCCUCCUGGGUUCGUGGCCCACUGGUGCAUCCCCCUGACUAGUUAUCUAUCUCAGAAAUUCUUAAAUAUUCCAGAAAAAAUCAUACUUGAAUUUCAGGGCAUUUGAAGAACUUUUAUUUUCAGGUCAUUUUUUAUUGAACGGAUAAUGCAGAAAACAGGAAAAUAAUGCUAGAUUUAUUAUUUUUCUACUAAAUAAAAGAAAGUAAAAGUUGGGAAUAGAAGGUUGUGACUUCUAGAUUCAUCCAUCUCAUGGUCGUCAAAAGAAAUCCGUCAAUGAGGUUGAUCAAGUCUCCUUGACAAACUUUUUUUUGAAUCACAUAAAACCGGAGAAUUUUCGAAUAAUCACUAGGUUACCUCAACGGGUGUGUGCAUAUCCCCAAUAAUAAGUAUAUUAUAUUUCAUCUUGAAAGUAGGUAUAGGGAAUUCAAAGCGUCCAAUAAUAAUUGAUGAAGAUUUUUCAAUAGCAUUAAUGCAAUGAACUCGAUAUUGUUUCUUCGGAAAGUGCACCGUGUGCUCAUUACCAUUAACAUGGAAAGUGACAUUGCCUUUGUUGCAAUCAUUAACAGCCCCUGCAGUGUUCAAAAACGGUCUUCCAAGGAUGACCGCCAUGGCAUCAUCCUCGGGAAUAUCAAGAAUAACAAAGUCCGUUAAGAUAGUAACGUUCGCAACCACAACAUGCACAUACUCGCAAAUGCCGAUAGGUAAAGCAGUUGAUUUGUCGGCCAUUUGCAAAGAAAUUUCAGUAGGUGUCAACUUAUCCAAUUCAAGUCUACGAUAUAAAGAGAGAGGCAUAACACUAACACCGGCUCCAAGAUCACAUAAAGCAGUUCUAACAUAAUUUCCUUUAAUGGAGCAAGGUAUAGUGGGCACUCCGGGAUCACCUAGUUUCUUAGGAGUCCCACCCUUAAAAGUGUAAUUAGCAAGCAUGGUGGAAAUCUCAACAUCAAGUAUCUUUCUUUUAUUAGUCACAAUAUCUUUCAUGUACUUAGCAUAAGGAGACAUUUUAAGCAUAUCAGUCAAACGCAUUUGCAAAAAGAUAGGUCUAAUCAUUUCAACAAAGCGCUCAAAAUCCUCAUCAUCCUUUAUCUUGGAUGGUUUGGGAGGAAAGGGCAUGGGUUUCUGAAUCCAUGGUUCUCUUUCUUUACCAUGCUUCCUAGCAAUAAAAUCAUUCUUAUCAUAUCUCUUGUUCUUAGGUUGUGGGUUAUCAAGAUCAACAACAGGUUCAAUCUCCACAUCAUUAUCAUUACUAGGUUAAGCAUCAACAUGAACACCAUUAUCAAUAUUAUAACUAGGCUCGUGUUCAUCACCAGAUUGUGUUUCGGCAUCAGAAAUAGAAACAUCAUUUGGAUUCUCAGGUGUAACAGCAACAGGUUUACUAGCAUGCAAGUUCCUAUCAUCUUUCUUUUUCUUCCUAUUACCAGGAUGACUAGGUGCAUCAGUAUUAACUCCUUGAGAAUCUUGUUCAAUUCUCUUAGGAUGGCCCUCGAGAUACAUAGGUUCCUGAGUCAUUAUACUACCUCUAGUAACAACUCUAACAGAAUUAUCAUUCAAUUCAUUAAGAAAGUCAUUUUGUGCCUUAAGUACUUGUUCUACUUGAGUAGUGACCAUAGAAGCAUGUUUACCAAUAAGCUUAAGAUCAUUAACAUUUCUACCCACACAAGCACUUAUAUGAUUAAUCAUACGAGCAUUUUGUUUCACUUGUCUGCUAACAUAAUCAUUAAAACUUUGUUGUUUGGCAACAAAGUUAUCAAAUUCAUCUAAGCAUAAGCUAGCAGGUUUAUCAUAAGGAAUAUCACUCUCAUUGAAUCUACGAAGAGAAUUUACCUCUACUACCUGUGUCGGGUUAUCAAGACCAUGUAUUUAUUCAAUAGGUGGUAGAUUCUUAACAUCUUCAGAUUUAAUACCUUUCUCUUGCAUAGAUUUCUUGGCUUCUUGCAUAUCUUCAGGACUGAGGAAUAGAAUACCUCUUUUCUUCGGAGUUGGCUUCGGAGGUGGUUCGGGAAUAGUCCAAGCAUUAUCAUUGCUCAAGAUAUUAUUCAAUAGAAUUUAAGCUUGUCCCACAGUUCGUUCCCUGAAAACACAACCAACACAACUAUCUAGGUGGUCCCUAGAAGCAUCGGUUAGUCCAUUAUAAAAGAUAUCAAGUAUUUCAUUUUUCUUAAGAGGGUGAUCAGGCAAAGCAUUCAGUAACUAGACAAGCCUCCCCCAAUCUUGUGGGAGACUCUCUUGUUCAAUUUGCACAAAGUUAUACAUAUCCUGCAAGGCAGCUUGUUUCUUAUGGGCAGGAAAAUAUUUCUCAGAGAAGUAGUAUAUCAUAUCCUGGGGACUACGCACACAACCAGGAGCAAGAGAAGUAAACCAAGUUUUAGCAUCACCCUUUAGUGAGAGAGGAAACAACUUAAGGAUAUAGUAAUAGCAAUUUUUUCCUCAUUAGUGAAUAGGGUGGCUAUAUCAUUCAGUUUAGUAAGAUGUGCUACAACAGUUUCAGAUUCAUAACCAUGAAAAGGAUCAGAUUCAACCAAAGUGAUUAACUUAGGAUUGACAGAGAAUUCAUAAUCCUUAUCAGUAACAAAGAUGGGUGAAGCUAGCAAACUUAGGAUCAUAUUUCAUUCUAGCAUUCAAAGAUUUUUCUUUCCACCUGCGUUAUAAAUUCUCAAGAUCAUAGCUAUCCUUACAAGCAAGAAAGUCUUCCGAUACCUCUCCACUAUUGGAAAACAGUUUUUUGCCAUCUGCCAAAUCUUUGCCGUCUGCUAGCUGAUGGCAAAGAGUGUCUUUGCCGUCAGCUUCCACAAAGCGGACGUCAAAGCACUGGCUGAUGGCAUAGAGUGUUUUUGCCAUCAGUCACCUCUUUGCCGUCAGCUAGCAGACAACAAAGAGUCUCACAGCAGACGACAAACAUGUAGAUGGGCCCACCUGACCGCGGGAACGUUAGGGCAAACUGAAGUCCCUUCUUUGCCGUCUGCUAGCGGACGGCAAAGAGUCUAGACUCUUUGCCUGUUGGGGAACGUCGCAUGGGAAACAAAAAUUUUCCUACGCGCACGAAGACCUAUCAUGGUGAUGUCCAUCUACGAGAGGGGAUGAGUGAUCUACGUACCCUUGUAGAUCGUACAGCAGAAGCGUUAGAGAACGCGGUUGAUGUAGUGGAACGUCCUCACGUCCCUCGAUCCGCCCCGCGAACAAUCCCGCGAUCAGUCCCACGAUCUAGUACCGAACGGACGGCACCUCCGCGUUCAGCACACGUACAGCUCGACGAUGAUCUCGGCCUUCUUGAUCCAGCAAGAGAUACGGAGAGGUAGAAGAGUUCUCCGGCAGCGUGACGGCGCUCCGGAGGUUGGUGAUGAUCUUGUCUCAGCAGGGCUCCGCCCGAGCUCCGCAGAAACACGAUCUAGAGGAAAAACUAUGGAGGUAUGUGGUCGGGCAGCCGUGAGAAAGUCGUCUCAAAUCUGCCCUAAAAGCCCCAUAUAUAUAGGAGGAGGGAGGGGGACCUUGCCUUGGGGUCCAAGGGAUCCCCAAGGGGUCGGCCGAGCCAGGGGGGAGGACUCUCCCCCCCAAACCGAGUCCUACUUGGUUUGGUGGGAGGGAGUCCUUCCCCCUUCCCACUUCUUCCUUUUUUUUUUCUUUCCUUUGAUUUUUUCUUCCUUGGCGCAUAGGGGAUUGGUGGGCUGUCCCACCAGCCCACUAAGGGCUGGUGUGACCCCCUCAAAUGCCUAUGGGCUUCCCCGGAGUGGGUUGCCCCCCUCCGGUGAACUCCCGGAACCCAUUCGUCAUUCCCGGUACAUUCCCGGUAACUCCGAAAACCUUCCGGUAAUCAAAUGAAGCCAUCCUAUAUAUCAAUCUUCGUUUCCGGACUAUUCCGGAAACCCUCGUGACAUCCGUGAUCUCAUACGGGACUCCGAACAACAUUCGGUAACCAACCAUAUAACUCAAAUACGCAUAAAACAACGUCGAACCUUAAGUGUGCAGACCCUGCGGGUUCGAGAACUAUGUAGACAUGACCCGAGAGACUCCUCGGUCAAUAUCCAACAGCGGGACCUGGAUGCCCAUAUUGGAUCCUACAUAUUCUACGAAGAUCUUAUCGUUUGAACCUCAGUGCCAAGGAUUCGUAUAAUCCUGUAUGUCAUUCCCUUUGUCCUUCGGUAUGUUACUUGCCCGAGAUUCGAUCGUCAGUAUUCGCAUACCUAUUUCAAUCUCGUUUACCGGCAAGUCUCUUUACUCGUUCCGUAAUACAAGAUCCCGCAACUUACACUAAGUUACAUUGCUUGCAAGGCUUGUGUGUGAUGUUGUAUUACCGAGUGGGCCCCGAGAUACCUCUCCGUCACACGGAGUGACAAAUCCCAGUCUUGAUCCAUACUAACUCAACUAACACCUUCGGAGAUACCUGUAGAGCAUCUUUAUAGUCACCCAGUUACGUUGCGACGUUUGAUACACACAAAGCAUUCCUCCGGUGUCAGUGAGUUAUAUGAUCUCAUGGUCAUAGGAAUAAAUACUUGACACGCAGAAAACAGUAGCAACAAAAUGACACGAUCAACAUGCUACGUCUAUUAGUUUGGGUCUAGUCCAUCACGUGAUUCUCCUAAUGACGUGAUCCAGUUAUCAAGCAACAACACCUUGUUCAUAAUCAGAAGACACUGACUAUCAUCGAUCAACUGGCUAGCCAACUAGAGGCAUGCUAGGGACGGUGUUUCGUCUAUGUAUCCACACAUGUAAAUGAGUCUUCAUUCAAUACAAUUAUAGCAUGGAUAAUAAACUAUUAUCUUGAUACAGGAAUUAUAAUAAUAACUAUACAUUUAUUAUUGCCUCUAGGGCAUAAUUCCAACAUUGCCGUCCACCGGCAGACGGCAAAGAGGUAACUCCGUUAACAGCUCUUUGCCCCCACCCCCAACACCACCGGCCCCGCCACAGCCGCCCCUCCCGGUGAGCCCCCCACCCCCCACCCCCCCCCGCACCCGCAUGAUUUUUGUUCUUGCCAGUAGUUUUAGUGGUAGUAGUUUUAGUAGUUGUUCUUGUUAGUAGUUUUAGUAGUUUUUCUUGUUAGUAGUUUUAGUAGUUGUUCUUGUUAGUAGUUUUAGUGGUAGAUUUAGUUAGUUGGUAGAUUUAGUAGGUAGUUUAGUGGUAGAUUUUGUUUUGUUAAUUAGUGGUAGCUUGUUAAAUUAGUUAGGUUAGUUAGUUAGCUUGGUUAGUUAGGUGGAGGAGGAGAAGAGGAGAAGAGGAGGAGGUGGAGUACGAGAAGAGGAGAAGAAGAAGAGGAGUAGGAGGAGGAGGAGGAGAAGAAUAAGAAGAAGAAGAAGAAGAAGAAGAAGAGGAGAAGAAGAAAUAAUAAUAAUAAUAAUAAUAAGAAUAAGAAGAAGAAGAGAAGAAAAAAAUAAGAAGGAGAAGAAGUAAAGAAGAAGAGAAGAAGAGAAUAGAAAAAAUAAGAAGGAGAAGAAGAGAAAAAAGAAGAAGAAGUUGAUUUUUUAUUAUUUGGUAUUUAGUGGUAGCUAGAUUCUUUUUUAGUUACUUAGUGGUAGAUUCUGUUUUUGUUAUUUUUUUGCUGUUUAGUGCUAUAUAGGUUUAGCGAUAUGUUUAGUUAGCUUGGUUAGUUAGGUUAGUUAGUUAGUUAGCUUAAAAGAAAGAAUAGGAAGAAGAAGAAGAGGAGAAGAGGAGAAGAGGAGGAGGAGGAGGAGAAGAAGAAGAAGAAGAAGAAGAAGAAGAAGAAGAGGAGGAGGAGGAGGAGAAGACRAAAAUAAGAAGUAGAAGAAGGAAAGAAGAAGAAAGAAGAAGAGAAGAAGAAGAGAAGAAGAGAUAAGUACUCUCCUCCCUCUCCUCUUCUCCUCCUCCUUCUCCUCCUCCUCCUUCUCCUUCUUCUUGAUUUCUUCUUCUUCUUCUCCUCCUCCUCUUUCUUCUCCUCUAUCUUAUUCUCCUUACCUUAUUUUCCCCAACAAUGAGAUAAUUAGCCCAUUUAGCUACAAAAUGGCAUAAAAACCUUGGUUAGAUCAUGAAUAUUAUAUUCUUAACUUGUUUUCCUCUAAAAUGACAUAAUUAGAAUAUUUGUGUUGAUCGGGUGGAUUUACAUGUGAUAGUUGUCUCGUCGCUGUGAGGUCUGCUGUGCGAAGACCUCCCCAUGCGUUGUACGAGCUCCGCCCCUACAUUCGUGGGUCAGUACAAAUUUCAUCACCUCCUCGCCCCUUCAUUUACUGUGGCUCGGUUUCCGGAUGAAGCUUUCUAGAUUUAGGUAAUUAAAUUAAUUUAUCAAUAUGCGUGACCAGUAUGCGUCUCCCGUUCGAAAGGGCAACAUCUAUAAAUAUGCAUGUCUUUGCAUAUUUAUAACCGCCAUCCUUUCGAAUUGUCCAACAUUAUCCAUGGACAGCCCGAGUAUGUGUAGAUUGGGUUCGUUUUCCCGUAUGCUGUGCUCUGGAACCGAUGCGGAAUUUCGUCAGUGCCUCCCUGUUGUUCUCCGGAUACACAUCUGUUGGGGAACGUCGCAUGGGAAACAAAAAUUUUCCUACGCGCACGAAGACCUAUCAUGGUGAUGUCCAUCUACGAGAGGGGAUGAGUGAUCUACGUACCCUUGUAGAUCGUACAGCAGAAGCGUUAGAGAACGCGGUUGAUGUAGUGGAACGUCCUCACGUCCCUCGAUCCGCCCCGCGAACAAUCCCGCGAUCAGUCCCACGAUCUAGUACCGAACGGACGGCACCUCCGCGUUCAGCACACGUACAGCUCGACGAUGAUCUCGGCCUUCUUGAUCCAGCAAGAGAGACGGAGAGGUAGAAGAGUUCUCCGGCAGCGUGACGGUGCUCCGGAGGUUGGUGAUGAUCUUGUCUCAGCAGGGCUCCGCCCGAGCUCCGCAGAAACACGAUCUAAAGGAAAAACUAUGGAGGUAUGUGGUCGGGCAGCCGUGAGAAAAGUCGUCUCAAAUCAGCCCUAAAACCUCCGUAUAUAUAGGUGGGAGGGAGGGGAGGAGGCAGCCUCAAAACCUAAAGGUUUGGCCGAAAUUGGAGGUGGAGGAGUCCUACUCCAAUCCUACUUGGAGUAGGAUUCCACCUUCCCACUUGGAAACUCUUUCCACCUUGUGUUUUUUCCUUCUCAAACCUUAUGGGCCUUAGUGGGAACUUAUUCCAGCCCACUAGGGGCUGAUUUAUCUCUUCCCAUAGCCCAUGAGACCCCUUGGGGCGUGACACCCCUCCCGAUGGUCCCCGGCACCCCUCCCGGCACUCCCGGUACACUACCGAUGAGCCCGAAACUUUUCCGGUAAUGCACGAAAACCUUCCGGUAACCAAAUGAGGUCAUCCUAUAUAUCAAUCUUCGUUUCCGGACCAUUCCGGAAACCCUCGUGACAUCCGUGAUCUCAUCUGGGACUCCGAACAACAUUCGGUAACCAACCAUAUAACUCAAAUACGCAUAAAACAACGUCGAACCUUAAGUGUGCAGACCCUGCGGGUUCGAGAACUAUGUAGACAUGACCCGAGAGACUCCUCGGUCAAUAUCCAAUAGCGGGACCUGGAUGCCCAUAUUGGAUCCUACAUAUUCUACGAAUAUCUUAUCGUUUGAACCUCAGUGCCAAGGAUUCAUAUAAUCCCGUAUGCCAUUCCCUUUGUCCUUCGGUAUGUUACUUGCCCGAGAUUCGAUCGUUAGUAUCCGUAUACCUAUUUCAAUCUCGUUUACCGGCAAGUCUCUUUACUCGUUCCGUAAUACAAGAUCCCGCAACUUACAUUAAGUUACAUUGCUUGCAAGGCUUGUGUGUGAUGUUGUAUUACCGAGUGGGCCCCGAGAUACCUCUCCGUCACACAGAGUGACAAAUCCCAGUCUCGAUCUAUACUAACUCAACGAACACCUUCGGAGAUACCUGUAGAGCAUCUUUAUAGUCACCCAGUUACGUUGUGACGUUUGAUACACACAAAGCAUUCCUCCGGUGUCCGUGAGUUAUAUGAUCUCAUGGUCAUAGGAACAAAUACUUGACACGCAGAAAACAGUAGCAACAAAAUGACACGAUCAGCAUGCUACGUCUAUUAGUUUGGGUCUAGUCCAUCACAUGAUUCUCCUAAUGAUGUGAUCCCGUUAUCAAGUGACAACACUUGCCUAUGGCCAGGAAACCUUGACCAUCUUUGAUCAACGAGCUAGUCAACUAGAGGCUUACUAGGGACAGUGUUUUGUCUAUGUAUCCACACAAGUAUUGUGUUUCCAAUCAAUACAAUUAUAGCAUGGAUAAUAAACGAUUAUCAUGAACUAAGAAAUAUAAUAAUAACUAAUUUAUUAUUGCCUCUAGGGCAUAUUUCCAACAGUCUCCCACUUGCACUAGACUCAAUAAUCUAGUUCACAUCACCAUGUGAUUUCAACGAAUCCAACACCCAUAUAGUUCUGGGGUCUGAUCACGUCUUGCUCGUGAGAGAGGUUUUAGUCAACGGUUCUGAAACUUUCAGAUCCGUGUGUUCUUUACAAAUCUUUAUGUCAUCUUAUAGAUGCUGCUACUAUGUGCUAUUCGGAAAUACUCGGAAUAUCUACUCUACUAUACGAACCCGUUUCACUACUCAUAGUUAUUCGGAUUAGUGUCAAAGCUUGCAUCGACGUAACCCUUUACGACGAACUCUUUAACCACCUCCAUAAUCGAGAAAAAUUCCUUAGUCCAUUAGUUACUAAGGAUAAAUUUUGACCGCUGCUAGUGAUUCAAUCAUGGAUCACUCUCUGUACCUCUCAACAUACUUUGAGUCAAGGCACACAGAGGUGCGGUACACAGCAUGGCAUACUUUAGAUUCUACGGCUAAGGCAUAGAAGACGACCUUCGUCUAUUCUCUUUAUUCUGCCGGGGUCGGGUUUUGAGUCUUACUCAAAUUCACACCUCACAACGCAACCAAGAACUCCUUCUUUGCUGACCUAUUUUGAACUCCUUUCAAAAACUUGUCAAGGCAUGCAUCUUGUUGAAACUUCCGUUAAGUGCUUUUCGAUCUAUCUCCAUAGAUCUUUGAUGCUCAACGUUCAAGUAGCGUAAUCCAGGUACUCCUUUGAAAACUUCUUUCAAAACAACCUUGUAUGCUUUACAGAAAUUCUACAUUACUUCUGAUCCACAAUAUGUCAACCACAUAUACCUAUCAGAAAUUCUAUAGUGCUCCCACUCACUUCUUUGGAAAUACAAGUUUCUCAUAAACCUUGUACAAACCCAAAAUCCUUGAUCAUCUCAUCAAAGUGUAUAUUCCAACUCCGAGAUGCUUGCACCAGUCCAUUGAAGGAUCACUGGAGCUUGCAUACUUGCUAGUAUCUUUUAGGAUCGACAAAACCUUCUGGUUGUAUCACAUACAAUGUUUGCUCAAGGAAACCGUCGAGGAAACAAUGUUUUGACAUCCUACGUGCAAUAUUUCAUAAAUAAUGCAUCAACAACUAACAUAAUUCUAACAGACUUUUAGCAUCGCUACGAGUGAGAAAGUCUCAUCAUAGUCAACUGUUUGAUCUUUUCGAAAACAUCUUUCCGACAAGUCGAGCUUUUCUUAAUAGUGACUUAUCACCAUCAUCGUCUGUCUUCUUUUAAAGAUCCAUCUUUACUCAAUAGUCCUAUGACCAUCAAGUAGUUCUUCCAAAGUCUACACUUUGGUUUCAUACAUGGAUCCUCUCUCGGAUUUGAUGGCUUCCAGCCAUUUGUCGGAACCCGGGCCCACCAUCGCUUUCUCCAUAACUCGUAGGUUCACUGUUGCUCAACAACAUGACCUCCAAGACAGGGUUACCGUACUACUCUGCAGCAGUACGCGACCUUGUCGACCUACGAGGUUUUGUAGUAACUUGAUUCGAAGCUCAAUGAUCAUCAUCAUCAGCUUCCACUUCAAUUGGUGUAGGCGCCACAUGAACAACUUCCUGCGCCCUGCUACACACUGGUUGAAGUGAUGGUUCAAUGACCUCAUCAAGUUCUACUACCCUCCCACUCAAUUCUUUCGAGAGAAACCUUUCCUCGAGAAAGGAUCCGUUUCUAGAAACAAACACCUUGCUUUCGGAUAUGAGAUAGGAGAUGUACCCAACUGUUUUGGAUAUCCUAUGAAGAUGCAUUUAUCCGCUUUGGGUUCGAGCUUAUCAGACUGAAACUUUUUCACAUAAGUGUCGAAACCCCAAACUUUCAAGAAACGACAGUUUAGAUUUCUCUAAACCUCAGUCUAUACCGUGUCAUCUCAACGGAAAUACGUGGUGCCCUAUUUAAAGUGAGUGCGGUUGUCUCUAAUGCAUAACGAUAGUGGUAAUUCGAUAAGAGACAUCAUAGUAUGUAUUAUACCAAAUAGUGCGUGGCUAUGAUGUUCAGACACAUCAUCACACUAUGAUGUUCCAGGUGGCAUGAACUGCGAAAUAACUUCCACAUUGUCUUAACUGCGUACCAAAACUCGUAACUCAGAUAUUCAUUUCUAUGAUCAUAUCGUAGACAGUUUAUCCUCUUGUUACGACGAACUUCACUCUGAAACAGAAUUGAACUUUUCAAUAUUUCAGACUUGUGAUUCAUUAAGUAAAUACUCUAGUAUCUACUCAAAUCGUCAGUGAAGUAAGAACAUAAUGAUAUCCACUGCGUGCCUCAGCACCCAUUGGACUGCAUACAUCAAAAUGUAUCACUUCCAACAAGUUACUAUCUUAUUUCAUCUUAAUGAAAACAAGGCCUUGCUCAUGUGGUAUGAUUUGCAUGUCACUAGUGAUUCGAAAUCAGGUGAGUACAAAGAUCCAUCAGCAUGGAGCCUCUUCAUGCAAUUUAUACUAACAUGACUCAAGCGGCAGUGCCACAAGUAAGUGGUACUAUCAUCAUUAACUCGUAUCUUUUGGCACCAAUAUCAUGAACAUGUGUGACACUACGAUCAAGAUUCAAUAAACCAUUGAAGGUGAAUAUUCAAGAAAAUAGAGUAACCAUUAUUCUCCUUAAAUGAAUAAUCGUAUUGCAAUAAACACGAUCCAAUCAUGUUCAUGCUUAACGCAAGCACCAAAUAACAAUUAUUUAGGUUUAACACCAAUCCCGAUGGUAGAGGGAGUGUGCGACGUUUGAUCAUAUCAACCUUGGAAACACUUCCAACACGUAUCGUCACCUCGCCUUUAGCUAGUCUCCGUUUAUGUCGUAGCUUUCAUUUCGUGUUACUAAUCACUUAGCAACCGAACCGGUAUCUAAUACCCUCAUGCUACUAGGAGUACUAGUAAAGUACACAUCAACAUUAUGUAUAUCAAAUACACUUCUUUCGACUUUUGCCAGCCUUCUUAUCUACCAAGUAUCUAGAGUUGUUCCGCCUCAGUGACUGUUCCCCUCAUUACAGAAGCACUUAGUCUCGGGUUUGGGUUUAAUCUUGGGUCUCUUCAUUAGUGCAGCAACUACUUUGCCGUUUCACGAAGUAUCCCUUCUAGCCCUUGCCUUUCUUGAAACUCAGUGGUUUUACAAACCAUCAACUAUUGAUGCUCCUUCUUGAUUUCUACUUUCGCAGUGUCAAACAUCGCGAAUCGCUCAAAAGAUCAUAGUAUCUAUCCUUGAUAUGUUAUAGUUCAUCACGAAGCUCUCAUAGCUUGGUGGCAGUGACUUUGGAGAACCAUCACUAUCUCACCUGGAAGAUUAACUCCCACUUGAUUCAAGCGAUUGUCGUACUCAGACAAUCUGAGCACACGCUCAACGAUUGAGCUUUUCUCCUUUACUUUGUGGACAAAGAAUCUUGUUUGGAGGUCUCGUACCUCUUAACAAGGGCACAAGCAUGAAAUCACAAUUUCAUCUCUUCGGAACAUCACUUAUGUUCCGUGACGUUUUACAACGUUUUCGGCGCCUUGCUUCUAAGCCAUCAAGUAUCUUGCACUGAACUAUCGUGUAGUCAUCAGUAACGUGUAUGUCGGAUGUUCAUAGCAUCCACAGACGACGCUCGAGGUGCAGCACACCAAGUGGUGCAUUAAGGACAUAAGCCUUCUGCGUAGCAACGAGGACAAUCCUCGGUUUUACAGACUCAGUCUGCAAAGGUUGCUACUAUCAAUUUUCAACUAAAUUUUCUCUAGGAACAUAUAAAAACAGUAGAGCUAUAGCGCAAGCUACAUCGUAAUUCGCAAAGACCAUUAGACUAUAUUCAUGACAAUUAGUUCAAUUAAUCAUAUUACUUAAGAACUCCCACUCAAAAAGUACAUCUCUCUAGUCAUUUGAGUGGUACAUGAUCCAAAUCCGCUAUCUCAAGUCCGAUCAUCACGUGAGUCGAGAAUAGUUUCAGUGGUAAGCAUCCCUAUGCUAAUCAUAUCAACUAUACAAUUCAUGCUCGACCUUUCGGUCUCAUGUGUUCCGAGGCCAUGUCUGCACAUGCUAGGCUCGUCAAGCUUAACCCGAGUGUUCCGCGUGUGCAACUGUUUUGCACCCGUUGUAUGUGAACGUUGAGUCUAUCACACCCGAUCAUCACGUGGUGUCUCGAAACGAAGAACUGUCGCAACGGUGCACAGUCGGGGAGAACACAAUUUCGUCUUGAAAUUUUAGUGAGAGAUCACCUCAUAAUGCUACCGUCGUUCUAAGCAAAAUAAGGUGCAUAAAAGGAUUAACAUCACAUGCAAUUCAUAAGUGACAUGAUAUGGCCAUCAUCACGUGCUUCUUGAUCUCCAUCACCAAAGCACCGGCACGAUCUUCUUGUCACCGGCGACACACCAUGAUCAUCCAUCAACGUGUUGCCAUCGGGGUUGUCGUGCUACUUAUGCUAUUACUACUAAAGCUACAUCCUAGCAAAAUAGUAAACGCAUCUGCAAGCACAUAUGUUAGUAUAAACACAACCCUAUGGCUCCUGCCGGUUGCCGUACCAUCGACGUGCAAGUCGAUAUUUCUAUUACAACAUGAUCAUCUCAUACAUCCAAUAUAUCACAUCACAUCAUUGGCCAUAUCACAUCACAAUCAUACCCUGCAAAAACAAGUUAGACGUCCUCUAAUUUUGUUGUUGCAUGUUUUACGUGGUGACCAAGGGUAUCUAGUAGGAUCGCAUCUUACUUACGCAAACACCACAACGGAGAUAUAUGAGCUGCUAUUUAACCUCAUCCAAGGACCUCCUCGGUCAAAUCCGAUUCAACUAAAGUUGGAGAAACCGUCACUUGCCAGUCAUCUUUGAGCAAAGGGGGUUACUCGUAACGAUGAAACCAGUCUCUCGUAAGCGUACGAGUAAUGUCGGUCCAAGCCGCUUCAAUCCAACAAUACCGCGGAAUCAAGAAAAGACUAAGGAGGGCAGCAAAACGCACAUCACCGCCCACAAAACCUUUUGUGUUCUACUCGAGAAGACAUCUACGCAUGAACCUAGCUCUGAUACCACUGUUGGGGAACGUCGCAUGGGAAACAAAAAUUUUCCUACGCGCACGAAGACCUAUCAUGGUGAUGUCCAUCUACGAGAGGGGAUGAGUGAUCUACGUACCCUUGUAGAUCGUACAGCAGAAGCGUUAGAGAACGCGGUUGAUGUAGUGGAACGUCCUCACGUCCCUCGAUCCGCCCCGCGAACAAUCCCGCGAUCAGUCCCACGAUCUAGUACCGAACGGACGGCACCUCCGCGUUCAGCACACGUACAGCUCGACGAUGAUCUCGGCCUUCUUGAUCCAGCAAGAGAGACAGAGAGGUAGAAGAGUUCUCCGGCAGCGUGACGGUGCUCCAGAGGUUGGUGAUGAUCUUGUCUCAGCAGGGCUCCGCCCGAGCUCCGCAGAAACACGAUCUAAAGGAAAAACUAUGGAGGUAUGUGGUCGGGCAGCCGUGAGAAAAGUCGUCUCAAAUCAGCCCUAAAACCUCCGUAUAUAUAGGUGGGAGGGAGGGGAGGAGGCAGCCUCAAAACCUAAAGGUUUGGCCGAAAUUGGAGGUGGAGGAGUCCUACUCCAAUCCUACUUGGAGUAGGAUUCCACCUUCCCACUUGGAAACUCUUUCCACCUUGUGUUUUUUCCUUCUCAAACCUUAUGGGCCUUAGUGGGAACUUAUUCCAGCCCACUAGGGGCUGAUUUAUCUCUUCCCAUAGCCCAUGAGACCCCUUGGGGCGUGACACCCCUCCCGAUGGUCCCCGGCACCCCUCCCGGCACUCCCGGUACACUACCGAUGAGCCCGAAACUUUUCCGGUAAUGCACGAAAACCUUCCGGUAACCAAAUGAGGUCAUCCUAUAUAUCAAUCUUCGUUUCCGGACCAUUCCGGAAACCCUCGUGACAUCCGUGAUCUCAUCUGGGACUCCGAACAACAUUCGGUAACCAACCAUAUAACUCAAAUACGCAUAAAACAACGUCGAACCUUAAGUGUGCAGACCCUGCGGGUUCGAGAACUAUGUAGACAUGACCCGAGAGACUCCUCGGUCAAUAUCCAAUAGCGGGACCUGGAUGCCCAUAUUGGAUCCUACAUAUUCUACGAAUAUCUUAUCGUUUGAACCUCAGUGCCAAGGAUUCAUAUAAUCCCGUAUGCCAUUCCCUUUGUCCUUCGGUAUGUUACUUGCCCGAGAUUCGAUCGUUAGUAUCCGCAUACCUAUUUCAAUCUCGUUUACCGGCAAGUCUCUUUACUCGUUCCGUAAUACAAGAUCCCGCAACUUACAUUAAGUUACAUUGCUUGCAAGGCUUGUGUGUGAUGUUGUAUUACCGAGUGGGCCCCGAGAUACCUCUCCGUCACACAGAGUGACAAAUCCCAGUCUCGAUCUAUACUAACUCAACGAACACCUUCGGAGAUACCUGUAGAGCAUCUUUAUAGUCACCCAGUUACGUUGCGACGUUUGAUACACACAAAGCAUUCCUCCGGUGUCCGUGAGUUAUAUGAUCUCAUGGUCAUAGGAACAAAUACUUGACACGCAGAAAACAGUAGCAACAAAAUGACACGAUCAGCAUGCUACGUCUAUUAGUUUGGGUCUAGUCCAUCACAUGAUUCUCCUAAUGAUGUGAUCCCGUUAUCAAGUGACAACACUUGCCUAUGGCCAGGAAACCUUGACCAUCUUUGAUCAACGAGCUAGUCAACUAGAGGCUUACUAGGGACAGUGUUUUGUCUAUGUAUCCACACAAGUAUUGUGUUUCCAAUCAAUACAAUUAUAGCAUGGAUAAUAAACGAUUAUCAUGAACUAAGAAAUAUAAUAAUAACUAAUUUAUUAUUGCCUCUAGGGCAUAUUUCCAACAACAUCCUCUCUGUUUAUUGCAGAGACGUGUAUGAGGAGAACAUCGGGGAGGUGCUGCCGAAAUUUUGCGUUGGAUCUGGAGCAGAGCAUGGGAAAACGAACCCAAUCUACACAUACUCGGGUGGGAUUAGGACCUAUCUUUACCUAUUAACGUGUAGGUUGCCUGGACGUAAUAAAAAUGGCGAACCCGAUUAACCGAUGAAUAUAAAUGCUAAAUUAUAUAUAAAUAUAUUUCUUCUGUCUUUAGUAGCUAGGCAAGAUGAGUGAUCGUGCGUGGAUGUAUACCGGUCACCCUAGUCAGAAAGAGAUGACGAAAGAAUGGUUUGUAAAAACAAAGGAAUUUGUGAAAGUCGCAUUCGCAAAUGGCCAGGAAAGAAACUAUUGCCCCUGUCCUGGAUGCGACAACUAUAAAAAGACGACAGAGGCUGUAAUGAUUAAACACCUGUAGAGGAGGGGUUUUAAGCCUAGUUAUACGGUGUGGACAUUUCAUGGUGAGUCUAUACAACGCACAAGAGCUGAGGUGGUCCGUCGUCGCACGGACGAGCAUGGUACCGGGAUCGUAGACAUGGUGCAAGACUUUGAUGAUGCUCGGGAUUUGGAAGAUGAGAUGGAGGAAUCUGCAAAGGCCUUUUAUGAAAUGUUGGAGUCUUUAAAAUGUCCUCUCCAUGAGUACACUGAGCUCUGUCAGCUGGAUGCAAUUGCACAAGUAAUGGCUCUGAAGGCUGAGUUCAACUUGGGAAGAGAAUGCUACGACGCGAUGAUGACACUAUUUGGACGCUUCCUACCCAAAGGCCAUGUCAUGCCUGCAAACCUGUACCAGUCGGACAAAAUACUUCGUGUACUUAAGAUGCCCUAUGAGAAGAUAGAUGCAUGUGAGAAAGGAUGUGUCUUAUUUAGGAAGGAGUAUGCACACUUGGACUAUUGUCCCAAUUGCGAGUCUUGCAGGUAUCUUGUGGUAGACAACGAUAUGGGUGAGAAGAGGCAGACCAAAAUCGUAGUUAGUGUUCUUCAGUAUAUGCCAAUCGUACCAAGACUUCAACGUCUUUUCAUGGUCGAGGAGACAGCCAGACAGAUGACAUGGCACAAAUUGGGCAAAAGAACCGGACUAGAUGCGGAUGGAAAUAAGAUGGUGGUACACACAUCAGAUGGGGAAGCGUGGAAACAUUUCGAUGGAUUGCAUCAGGAUAAAGCGGCAGAUCCAAGGAAUCCUCGAGUGUGCAUCGCCACGGAUGGUUUUAAUCCCUUCGGCAUGACGACAACCAAAUAUAGUUGUUGGCCUGUAUUUGUCAUUCCACUCAAUCUCCCCCCGGACAGAUUAUGCAAAGAAAGAACAUAUUUCUGACAUUGAUAAUUCCAGGGCCCAAUUAUCCGGGGAAGAAUAUGAAUGUGUACCUGCAGCCGCUUAAGGAUGAAUUGGAAGACGCUUGGGAUAAUGGGGUCAAGACAUACGAUGCCGCUAGAAAACAAAACUUCAAAAUGCAUGUGUGGUACAUGUACUCUAUGCAUGACUUGCCGGCGUAUGCACUAUUCUCUGGAUGGUGUAUGCAUGGAAGGGUCCCGUGCCCCCAAUGCAAGGCAGCUCUUCAGUUUCAUUGGUUGCAGGAGGGUCAGAAGUAUUCUUGCUUUGACUUGCAUAGACAGUUCCUGGAUCCUGACCAUUAGUUCAGAAAAGACAAGAAGAACUUUACCAAAGGUAAAGUUGUCAAAAACUUGGCACCACCUGCGUUGACAGGCCAACAGAUCCUGGAUCAGUAAAACGCCCUCGAGCCUGAUCCAGAGCGUCCAGGGUAUUUCAAGGGGUAUAAUUCAAAACACGCCUGGACUCACAAGCCAUGCUUCUGGGAUCUGCCUUACUUCAAAGACCUCCUUCUUCCACACAAUAUCGACAUGAUGCACACUGAAAGGAAUAUCAGAGAGGCUAUUUUUGGUACAUUGUUCGACAUAGAUGGGAAGACAAAGGAUAAUACUAAGGCUAGAGUCGAUCAAGAUACACUAUGUCAUAGACCGUUACAAAACAUGCGAGAAGGCAAAGGAAAGCAGAAGUGGUCGAAGCCAAAGGUGUUGGGGAACGUCGCAUGGGAAACAAAAAUUUUCCAACGCGCACGAAGACCUAUCAUGGUGAUGUCCAUCUACGAGAGGGGAUGAGUGAUCAAUGUACCCUUGUAGCCCGUACAGUAGAAGCGUUAGUGAACGCGGUUGAUGUAGUGGAACGUCCUCAUGUCCCUCGAUCCGCCCCGCGAACUAUCCCGCGAUCAGUCCCACGAUCUAGUGCCGAACGGACGGCACCUCCGCGUUCAGCACACGUACAGCUCGACGAUGAUCUCGGUCUUCUUGAUCCAGCAAGAGAGACAGAGAGGUAGAAGAGUUCUCCGGCAGCGUGACGGCGCUCCGGAGGUUGGUGAUGACCUUGUCUCAGCAGGGCUCCGCCCGAGCUCCGCAGAAACGCGAUCUAGAGGAAAAACCGUGGAGGUAUGUGGUCGGGCUGCCGUGGAAAAGUCGUCUCAAAUCAGCCCUAAAACCUCCGUCUAUAUAGGUGGGAGAGGGGGGCCUUGCCUUGGGGCUCAAGGAGCCCCAAGGGGGUCGACCGAGCCAAGGGGGGAAGGUCUCCCCCCCCAAACCGAGUUGGACUUGGUUUGGUGGGUGGGAGUCCUUCCUUCCCUUCCCACCUCCUCCUUUUUUUUCUUUCUCUUUGAUUUUUCUUCCAAUGCGCAUAGGGCCCUUUUGGGCUGUCCCACCAGCCCACAAAGGGCUGGUGCGCCACCCUCAAGGCCUAUGGGCUUCCCCGGGGUGGGUUGCCCCCCCGGUGAACUCCCGGAACCCAUUCGUCAUUCCCCGUACAUUCCCGGUAACUCCAAAAACCUUCCGGUAAUCAAAUGAGGUCAUCCUAUAUAUCAAUCUUCGUUUCCGGACCAUUCCGGAAACCCUCGUGAUGUCCGUGAUCUCAUAUAGGACUCCGAACAACAUUCGGUAACCAACCAUAUAACUCAAAUACGCAUAAAACAACGUCGAACCUUAAGUGUGCAGACCCUGCGGGUUCGAGAACUAUGUAGACAUGACCCGAGAGACUCCUCGGUCAAUAUCCAAUAGCGGGACCUGGAUGCCCAUAUUGGAUCCUACAUAUUCUACGAAGAACUUAUCGUUUGAACCUCAGUGUCAAGGAUUCAUAUAAUCCCGUAUGUCAUUCCCUUUGUCCUUCGGUAUGUUAUUUGCCCGAGAUUCGAUCGUUAGUAUCCGCAUACCUAUUUCAAUCUCGUUUACUGGCAAGUCUCUUUACUCGUUCCGUAAUACAAGAUCCCCCAACUUACACUAAGUCACAUUGCUUGCAAGGCUUGUGUGUGAUGUUGUAUUACCGAGUGGGCCCCGAGAUACCUCUCCGUCAUACGGAGUGACAAAUCCCAGUCUUGAUCCAUACUAACUCAACUAACACCUUCGGAGAUACCUGUAGAGCAUCUUUAUAGUCACCCAGUUACGUUGUGACGUUUGAUACACACAAAGUAUUCCUCCGGUGUCAGUGAGUUAUAUGAUCUCAUGGUCAUAGGAACAAAUACUUGACACGCAGAAAACAGUAGCAACAAAAUGACACGAUCAACAUGCUACGUCUAUUAGUUUGGGUCUAGUCCAUCACGUGAUUCUCCUAAUGACGUGAUCCAGUUAUCAAGCAACAACACCUUGUUCAUAAUCAGAAGACACUGACUAUCUUUGAUCAACUGGCUAGCCAACUAGAGGCUUGCUAGGGACAGUGUUUUGUCUAUGUAUCCACACAUGUUAAUGAGUCUUCAUUCAAUACAAUUAUAGCAUGGAUAAUAAACGAUUAUCUUGAUACAGGAAUUAUAAUAAUAACUAUAUUUAUUAUUGCCUUUAGGGCAUAAUUCCAACAGUCUCCCACUUGCACUAGAGUCAAUAAUCUAGCCCUCACAUCAUCAUGCGAAUUACAUUGUAAUAAAUCUAACACCCAUACAGUUCUGGUGUUGAUCAUGCUUUGGCCGUGGAAGAGGUUUAGUCAGCGGGUCUACUACAUUCAGAUCCGUGUGCACUUUGCAUAUAUUCACGUCCUCCCCUUCGACAUAGUCGCGGAUGAGGUUGAAGCGUCGUUUGAUGUGUCUGGUCUUCUUGUGAAACCGUGGUUCCUUUGCUAAGGCAAUGGCACCCGUGUUGUCACAGAACAAGGUUAUUGGAUUCAGUGCGCUUGGCACCACUCCAAGAUCCGUCAUGAAUUGCUUCAUCCAGACACCCUCUUUAGCCGCCUCCGAGGCAGCUAUGUACUCCGCUUCACAUGUAGAAUCUGCUACGACGCUUUGCUUGGAACUGCACCAGCUUACCGCACCCCAUUAAGAAUAAAUACGUAUCCGGUUUGCGACUUAGAGUCGUCCGGAUUUGUGUCAAAGCUUNNNNNNNNNNNNNNNNNNNNNNNNNNNNNNNNNNNNNNNNNNNNNNNNNNNNNNNNNNNNNNNNNNNNNNNNNNNNNNNNNNNNNNNNNNNNNNNNNNNNGCAUGCAAGCUUUCAUGAACUGUAAAUCCUUGGAACCAUACCUUCGAACAUCAUAUAUCACUUGCCUUGGCACACGAGCAAUAAGUUCAAGCAACAAGCAUUGCAACACACAUACAACAAGCAAUGAAGAACUCCAGGAGUAAGCAGUGUAGCAUAAGAGCAUUAGUAAGCAUGCGUUAUCAUAGCAAGCUCAACCUACACUACUUUGGUGUCAUCCUAUCACCACAUCCAAAAGAGGAUGUAUUCCUACCACCGCAUGUUUGUGAUCACCGCGAGGAUCACCGUGAGGGGUUAGUAUAUACCACCUCAUCAAAAUGUCCAGACCAUAAGAUUGUUUUUAAGCCCUAACCACACAAAAUUCAUCGUCAUCGUCGUCUUUGUCGCCAUCGCCGUCGAGGAUCAUGCACGCCGCCGCCACAACAUAAGCACCACUAGUAGUAGUGCUUGCCCAACCAGGUCCUCAGCCAGAGCAUCCUGUGGGCUGUGGUCCCAUGGCAACAAACCAAACGCCCUUGGCUUUGUUGUCCAGCAGGUGGCUGAGAGCCACCAUGAGAGCCUCUCGGAUGAAGCCUGUGUGAUCCAUCACGGCGCCGUAGAGCUGAGGGUGGACGUCCAUAAUCUUCCUCUCCCUCAUGGCGGUGGCCACCUCCUUUACUGCCUCAGUCAUGUUGCUUAAGACGUUGAGCUCCUCGUCCAUGAAGCUUGCCCUCUUCCUCUUCCUAUCAAGCACAACAACAUGCUCACCAUACUUCUAGUGAGCAUCAACGUUGAUGGUGUGUGACUCCUGGGUGUCUGGAUACUCGGGCAUCGGCGAGCCCAGCGGCUGACCAAAGCCCAUGGCAUGCUUGCCGGUUCCCAACCCGAAGGAGAAGAUCUGCUGCAUCUGGUGGGAGUUUUAUAUAGGGGCGUUGAGGAACUCUGCGUUCUUUGGCUGAGCCUAAGAAGAAACAGGGCAUACAUGUUAGUUAGUAUGGCAAUGGUUCAUAGGCAUGGGUUGUUAGAAUGGCAUGGUUUCUGAGCUAACCACGACAUGGCCUUGGUAGUGCUCUGCCUCCAGAAGGAUCGAGCAGGUGUCCUCAUCCCAUGAAGCACCGGUGAUGGAAUGAAGAAGGGGGGAGAUGAUGGCUCGAGUGAUCGAAUGGAGGAGGGGGAGAUGACUCCAAAGUAAGUAGUACUAGCUAGUUCCGCGCAUCUCUCAUUCAUUCUAGUUUCAAUACCAUUAUCAUGCUUGAUUAUUAUUUUGAUUGAACUCUAUUCUCUUAAAGUACUGCUUGAGGCACGAAGCCGGAAAUAAUUUUUGUGGAUACUACGUUUGCGAGUGGAUUCACCAGACGACCCGUGGGAGGGGCAGAUCUUUUCAAUAGUACGUAAACAAUAUUCAUAUUUUAUUUAUUACCAUCAAUUUUGUUGAGUUUCAUUCAUAUAUAUAUAUAUAUAUAUAUAUAUAUAUAUAUAUAUAUAUAUAUAUAUUGACCUCCUUCUUUAAAUUAGAUCGAACGGCAGCGGAAAGAACUCCUACCAACUGAUCGCAUACAAGCAAUUCAAGAGGAAUUGGCGGAUGAGCAUGUCAUACCUACAGAUGGAGAAUACUAUCUGGAUUUCGAUAGAGAUGCUGGUAAUAUAUAUAUAUAGCUGGGUUAUGAAUUGACAAAAGAUAAUUGUAUAUAUGCGUGAGCGUGUACUAUAUGUAAUAGUGUCGAAUAGAUAUAAGGAACUUGUUGUUCGAGCAAGAACAAAGAAAGAGAGGCCACUUCUCUUUAUAUUCAUGACGAUGUCGUGUAACAGUUUCUUCAUCGCUAUAUUUACGUACUAUCUAGCGUCUAGUUGGCACCGGCCGGCAACAUCAACAGGCAUAAGGAACCAAAGAUGAUGGACAAAAAAAAGGGGAACACAAUAUGAAACCCCUAAACCCCUCCUAAAAAAAUAAACCCAGCUCCUGGCUGCUGCUGACGCUUGGCCGCCUUUUAGUCCCGGUCGGUAUUACCAACUGGGACUAAAGGUCAUCCUGCCCUUGCGUCCCAAAGAGGCCACGUGGAGCACCUUUAGACCUAGUUUCUAACACAACCGGGACUAAAACUUUUGGCCUUUAGUCCCGAUUGUUUACUCCCGCUUGCAGAACCGGGAAUAAUUACAGGCCCUCUGGAACCGGGACUAAUGACCCGUUUUCCACUAGUGCACAUCCGAAUCAUCGACCGGACGAGUGCCGACGGUGGCGGGUAUAAAAAAUAUGGCACUAUAUAAUAAAAAACAACAAUACAAGUAAAAAAUUUAUAAAAGUAACUAUCUAAAUCAUACAAGAUUUAAAAAAAGAUAAAAACAAGACACUUAACAUGGUGGUGUCGACGACGAGAUCGGCGCGGUCGAUAGACGGCGACGGGGACAGGGACGGGACGACACCCUAAACCACACCUACACAUAUGCAAACUAAGAAGUUAAUUUGAGCUCAAAAUGGAUCGAAAUCAAAUAAAUCCCCACAUACACUCCUCCACAAAACCCACAAAUCACUCUACUUCUAGAGCAUGAAAUGUGCUAAACUAUUAAUGAGAGAUGAAAUGUUGGAAUUGCUAACCUUUUAGAACACUUGGAUAGUUGGUGCACCACCAAAUCUGGACAAAUCUUGGGGAAAUGGAGCUUUGAGGAAGAACAGAGGACAAGAAUGGAUUGUGUGGCUCGGGCACGAUGACAUAUAUGCAGGAAACCAUUAGUCCCGAUUAGUCCCGAUUAGUGUACAUCGACACAUGCAUUAUAUCAAUGAGAGAUGAAAUGAUAAAGUUGCUAACCUUGAUCGAAGAGGAAAGAAAGAGGAGAAAGUUUAAGUGUGGCUUCCGCACCUCAUAUCAUGUUUCUUUUGUGUGAACUCAAGUUGCAUCAUUCUCUCAAGCAUUUCAUCGAGCACAUCUUAUGCAUAGGAAGGGAAAACAAACUAGCACACACCUCCCACCUUCUAUGACCUAAAAACAGAGGAGAGGGCGGGUAGGGGUGAGCGAAUAUAUAUAGGCAAAUGUUUAGUCACGGUUGGGUUCUAAAACCGGGACUGAAGGCAGACCUUUAGUCCCGGUUGGAGACACCAACCGGGAAUAAAGGGUAUUGCGCCUGCCGCAACCCCGUUAGUCCUGGUUGGUGUCUCCAACUGGGACUUAAUUAAGGACCCAUUCGACCCUAGACUCAUGUCUGCCGAGCCCCGUCCGGUGUCCUAGCUGCUUGAACUGAGACUAAUGCUCACAUUAGUCCCGGUUCUUAACGCAACCGGGGCUAUUGGCUAGAACGAAAGCCCUGUUUACUACUAGUGAAUGUGGGGGCCUGGCAUGUGUCUUGCGAUGGCCUCCUUUGAGAGCACGAGAAGCUUUGAGGUCAAUGGAGCAACAGGACCCAAACUUUACUCAAAAUCAGACAUGUUCCCUCUCGAUAUCCAGAGACUACCUCGGAGAUGGUGCGGUUUACAAGGGACUAAGGGGAUACGUUAUUUAAAACGUGUCCAAACUUUUACCACACCCUACAGGGUCAUGUGAUGUCACCGUGCCAGCUCUCAAGAAAUUCUGGCAUCGUGCGAUUUUUCAAGGAUUUAAACGGUUGCUUCAUGCAUGCCAUCGAAGUACUUUCGCCCCCGGUGGUAGGGCAUGCCCCUCCCUUGCCUGCACAAGGCCUAUGCAUGUCGCGAGGACAUCACAAAGUAUUUUUCAUGCCUCUUCCUGGCAUGAUUUCAUGCGCCACCUUGCAGAUCCGGAAUUUUCGGCGCUGAAACUCUAGCAGAGCAAUAAAUGACUCAAAUAUUUCACACGGGUCCAAAAAAUGUGGGGGCGUGUCACGUAUCAUGUGAUGGCCUCCAUUUAGAGAACGAGAAGUUUCGAGGCCAAUGGAACAACAUGACUCGCACUUUCCUCACAGACCGGUUAUGUUCCCUCUCGAAGUACAAUAAAUGACUCAAAAUAAUAAUAAUUGAAUUAAUAAAAAUGAAAAGCGUUGUUAUCCAUCAUUAGGAAGAUGGCCUAUCACCUUGAAUCUUCCCUGCCCGAAACAAGUGAAGAUUCAAAGUUAAAGUCCAUCUUCUUAGUAGGUGAGAAUGAAUACCGAAGCUUACUACAUUUGGAUUGUCCCACUGUUUAAACAGGUCAUCUUGCCUUUCUCUGGGCGAUGUGGGACUAAAGAUUGAUGGGAACCUUGUCUCUACCAAGAGCUUCACCCGGCAAGAGUUCUAUUUCCAAGAGUUGCACUCGAUAAAGGUACAAUUCGAUCAUAUUCUUAAUAACGAACACCAAUGCUUAAUGCAGUUGGACUAUCGGACAAUUUAAACAUGUUUUUUUUGUUGCUAGGCGAGGUGGCAUAAAAUCUAUGCCAAACAUUUUCCGAAUGGCCCUCUCGGUAUAGAAACUAAACUGUGACCAUCACGUUAUCCGCCCACGGAUGUGUAAUGUGGCAAAACUUUCCCGAGUGUAGCCAUUUUGCUGAACCUACUUUCAACAAUAUCCUGUGUUUGUCGAGAUGCCUCUGUUGCUGAGUGUCCCUCUCGACGUCAAUUAGUUUGCCGAGUACCCGUGAGUUGGCUCUUGACGAUGAGCCCGGCACACCCGACGUAUAUAUAGAAAAAUUCUAGUACUGGUUCCUGCCUUCUAAGAUUAGUGACAAAAAAAAAGGAUCAUUGUGGAUGUUAGGCCGUAACCGUGGGGUCAUCCUCCCGUGUCCCAACAGAAUUAGCUAGCUAGGUGAGCAAGCUGUGGUUGCGAGAGGCAGGCAGCUUUGCUAGCUAGCCAACGACUUUGCGAGCAAUCUAAGGCUAGCGUCAAGGCCGCAAUCUCAUCUCUGCGGCGGGUGAGCAUGCAAUCAUCUCUUUAUGUAGCGCACUAUCUAAGGCGCAGCGUGUUAUUUCUUGGUGCGUGGAAGCGCAAACAGUGGAUACAAAUGUCAAACACGUACUCACUUUGUAAAGUGAUAUAAGACUUCUUUUAGACCACCAUUUGUCCCUCGGAUCAUAUCGCGGAUUAUUAUUAGAAUUUGGAGAAGAGUUUGUGACGUGACACCCAGUUUGGCGCCUUUGUCUUUCCGUAGCUCGUUGCGUACGUGCGGUUGAAGCUUGGUCGAUAGUAAUCAGGGAACAGCAUUACAUGACUAGCUGAAGAUGGAUGGCUAGCUGAUGCAUCAUGCUAAUUAAUCAAGAGCACUUACGAGAGGGAGACGUACAUGAAUAACCAUGCACAUGAUUGAUGUAGGAAGACCGUCAUCUGAACCGUCGGUUUCAGAUCCAGCGCUCACGGCGAAGCCCAGGAGCAAUCAUGCAGCACCUUUGCAAGUGUAGAGGGAUGACGUGGAACGUAGACGCAACACCUACAGACAAUUAGAAGCUGUCAGAUGACAUGCGCAUGGAUCGGUCGGCAAGUCGCCAAUAUACGCAGCAAAUAACGGAGUUUCUGUAGAAACAGACGAACGAUGAGUACGUAUACGUAAUACCUGACGCGAGUACCUAUGGCAGGCGCCGCCUUCUCGAGUAUUAUACUUCCUCCGUUGUCAAAUAUAAAUUUUUUAAGAUAUUUUAUUAGAAGUCUACAUAGGAAACAAAAUGAGUGAAUCUGCCCUUUAAAGUAUGUCUAUAUACAUUCGUAUGUAGUUCAUUAAUUAAUGAAACAUUUUUAAAGAUUUAUAUUUAGAAAUGGAGGAAGUAGUUGCAUCUCGACUUGUUAAUGUUAUCAUGCCGUCUCUGCUUCAACUUUGGCGGUUUCAUUUCUACGUGGAUCUCAUCCGGCUGCGGCCGGUGUAGUUGGCCGCACAUGCAUGACUCGCUGGCAGAGGCAGCCAAGCUUGCUCUGAUACGUACGUUCUGGCUCGCCAGGAUCACGCUCGCAGGAGCAAAAAGCCAAAAACACAAAUUAACAAAACAAGAGCCGUCCAGAGCUAUAAACCAGAAGCGAAGGAGUACCUAGGAACUGAACUACUCCCUCCGUCCGAAAAUACUUGUCCUAAAGAUGAACGUAUUUAGACUUAUUUUAGUCAUAGAUACGUUCAUUAUAUUCAUUUCUAAGACAAGUAUUUCCGGACAGAGGGAGUAGUUUAUAAUAUUAUGCACUAUAAAAGUAGUACUACUCGUCCAAAUGUAUAGGGCAUGGGCGUAGUUUUAGAUUGUCAAUUUAACUAGCUAAAUACUAUUGUAUCAUAAAGGCGAGGGAGGGAACCCUCUUAAUUUAAUUAAGGACUUAACUAGGGAGCGGCGCAGCACAUAAGUUUUCCCAUGCGGCUUUCUUCCAUCAAUUAUUUGCAUGCAUGCAACAUUACACAAGCAUGACAUCAUUGAAUAUUCUUUUCUUAUAAUGCAUUUAAAAAGAUUUAUCUUUCAAACCGUUAUCUCAAUUAAUUAUCCGCUUUCACCAUUGAUUUUUCGUGACGAGAUCUUCAAAACUAGAUCCCAUGUCGCUACGUUUCGAUAACUUUUAUUUUCAUUGGUACUUGCCAGAUUAUUAUCUCUUACUUGUUGUAUUAUUUGUCACAUAGUUCUCACAUUAAAUCAACUUGAUUAUCAGGCUUAUGAAUGUCGAUAUACCCCACUAAAAACUUGAUUCAUCGUACUUGUGCUAGUUCAUGCAUUUACUUGUUUAUUGUUAGUGCUCUAAUACCCACUUUUAGCUUCACAUAACAUUGCAAUGCUUAACAAGUAUAAAAUUAUUGCCCUGAUAACUAUGUAUAAUUUUUGUGACAACUAUACACUCGUAAGAUGACAACUAUGAUGACAUAAAUGUGGCAACUAGAAACCACGAAAAAAUCAAUAAAACAUGUUAACAUGAGAUCUUAUUUUGAAGGUCUCGUCGAGACGAACCUAACGGUGAAGACAGAUCUCCAAUCAAAUUAUUAAUCUGUGAGAUAAAUCAUUUCUAAAAUUGAAAAAGGCAUUUAAUGCGAUGAUGUAAGCAUGUGGUGAAAGAUUUUUGCAUGCGCAUGGAGCCGCUGCAUGAGAAAGCUAUGAUGCGGCGUUUCUCAAUAUAAUUUCCCUUUAAUUAAUAUAUCGAGGUGAUACAACUGCAUAAAAGAAAAAUGCCCAGCCUUUACAUAGUAAGGUGCACACAUUCAACAAGUCCAACAGACGCACAAAUAAUCAUCGUUCUACAGUGAAAAUGAAUCAAUCCUGACUAGGGUGCGGUUCCUAUCUAGAGAUUAGUGCAUCUCCAGCAGACCCUAUAAAAGGGCUGAACCCGUAAAAUUCCGGCGAGUAUAUGGGUUCGGUCCGUUUUAGUGGUCAGACCAGACCCCGUAAAAGGGUCGAACCCGCAAUUUUUUUUACCGCGGCCCGCAAAAAGACCCAUCUAGCCGGCAUAUAUGCGGUUUCACGGCGCGUUUACGGGUCAAACCCUAUCCUCCGCCGCGAUUCAACGACUUCUCACCGCCGGCGAGAAAAAAAACACCAGCAGGCCGUCCCGACCACGGAUGGCCACGGAAAUGAAGGGGAUGACGCCGAGCACCGUCGCCGCCGCGCCUCCGACGCCGAACGCAAGUGGGUAUCGCGGAGGUGGCUGAACUAUGGCCUCUGGUCGGCGCCGGCUUUCGAACACCGCGAGCUCUAGGAGUACGAGCGCGAGGUAUUGUGACUCGGUGUCACAGAAAGAAGCGCCCGCAGUUAGGCUUCGAAAAUGCAGCCAUAUCAAUGAACCUCGUUAAUAUAUAUCGACGUCGUUGCUCAUGUCUCGAAUGAUCGACUACGCGCCCUUAGAUUUAUUCUAACAAUUUGCUAUACAUCCAAUCUAGUACAAAAUGUUACGCGCCCAUCGGAGGCACAAAAUGGCAAACGAUAGUCUAUGUAACACUAAAGCUGUUUGUAAUGAAAAGUAUCAUAUACUAGUAUCAUGCAUAUGGUACUAGUGUAUGUUACUACAUCCGUAAUUCAUAUUAUCAUGUGUUAGUAUCAUAGGAUAACUCAUUUAUUACCAUGCAUGACAUAUAGUAGCACAACCUUUAAUAUAAUACAGUAUCAUAAUACGAUACUGAACUCUUUUUUUCAUUUAAUUCUAUACCAUCUUAUUAAAAUUGUCUAGUUAAUAUGCAUGAUACUAUAUAUAUGAUACUUUCAUUACGACCAGUCUAAUGCUACAACUGCAUAUGAGAAAUCAUUCAUAUGCUGUUCCGUGUUUCAGAACAAUCAUGCAGCCAGGUAGCUGCUGGCCACGCAACACGUGGAUCCAACAAGGCAUAGUACUACAAAUAAAGGGGCCAAGAAAGAAAGAAAGAAAGAAAGAAAAAAAGGAGAGACUACAAAGGCCAGGAUAAGAAGCUUGCGGUUCAGGCUCGCCUUGUGCAACUGUGAAACUGAAAACACAAAGAAUCUCGGUCCACGCUCGCCUUGCAACUUCUCGCGGUAGCGGAUUGCAGUGACCACGAAAGAGCAAAACGAGACAUGUCCAUCUUGCUUGUACUGACGCUCCCAGUACACUAGCUAGUGCUAUUGCCGCUCUCCAUAGUCCAUGGUAGUCGAGGCAGCUGUUUCUUCUCUCGGGCGAUUGUGUAUUUCCGUGUGGGUGGCCAGAUCGGCUGGAUUUGCCGUACGUGUGUGAGCCAUUGUGAUGGAUAUAGCCCGGUUUGUGUUAGUUAAUUGGGCAAUUUUCCUUUUGUUAUGAAAUCUAUACUAUUUUUUGAUAAAAGACAUUUAAUUUAAUUAAUAUAUUGAGGUGAUACAACUGCAUAAAAGAAAAAUGCCCAGCCUUUACAUAGUAAGAUGCACACAUUCAACAAGUCCAACAAACGCACAAAUAAUCAUCAUUCUACAGUGAAAAUAAAUCAAUCCUGCCUAGGGUGCGGCAGUUCCUAUCCAGAGAUUAGUGCAUCUCUAACAGACCGUGUAAAAGGGCCGAACCCGCAAAAUUCCGGCGAAUAUAUGAGUUCGGUCCGUUCUAGUGGUCAGAACAGACCCGUAAAAGGGUCGAACCCAUAAAAAAAAAUUACCACAGCCCGCAAAAAGACCCACCCAGUCGGAAUAUAUACGGUUUCACAGCGCGUUUACGGGUCAAACUCUAUCCUCCGCCGCCGCAACUCCGCCGCGAUUCUACUCCCACUACGUCCUGACUUCUCACCGCCGGCGAGAAAAAAACACCAGCAGGCCGUCCCGACCAUGGAUGGCCACGGAAAUGGAGGGGAUGAUGCCGACGCCGAACGCAAGUGGGUAUCGCGGAGGUGGCUGAACUAUGGCCUCCGAUCGGCGCCGGCUUUCGAACACCGCGAGCUCUAGGAGUACGAGCACGAGCAUGCGUCUCGAUGCGUCGGCUCCUCCGGCUCCUCUGCUGCUGGGAGUUCGUCCGCGGGUGUCUGGUCCUCGCGGACCAUCACUCCAUUGAAGAGAAGGGCGGCCCCGAGGACGACGUCGGACAGCUGCGUGGAGGGGUUAUCGGCCCCGAGGACUACCUGCCCUUGGGGCAGGAGGAUCACCUGAUGCGCGCCAUCAUGGAGCGCUCGGUGAGGGAUGCGGCGGAGGAAGCCGCGUGCAACCGCCGCGAGCUCGAGAUCGAGUAGAUCUUCCUCGACCAAGGGGUCACGGUGUCGCAUGCGAGCGCGUCCAAGGAGGCGGACAUGCGCACCCUGAAGGCCGAGCAGGACAAGAUCUGGAUCGACCUCUACUCCGAUGAGCGCCGUCAUCCCGCCGCACCCAUCGUUUUUGGUAGCAUUGGCUCGGGUACGCUGCACGGCCCGCACGACCCCCCCCCCCGACCUAUUAGUAGUAGAAGAACUUAUGUAGUUGGAUUAAGAACUGAUUUAGUUUGAUGAAGAACCAUGUUGUAGUUUGAUUAAUGAUGUAGUUGUUGCUUCCCGCGAACCCUUUUUUCAAAUUUUACAGUUUCAUAUAUACAGGGUCUGAUCUUUGGCGCACGAAAUGGCCCUGCAAAAUCGCUCCGCAACUGCCUAUAAACCCAUUUUGCAGGUCGCUGCAUGCUCCAACCGUCUAGACGCCAUCAUAAAAAGGUUUUCGUCCUCCGGCCUCUACAUGAUUGACCAAGCACGGAACCAUCGCGUAUAUGAAUGAAUAACCUACACAAAACGUGAAACACAUUUAUUAUUAAAAAUCACACCAUCCUUGAUAAGCCAUAAUGCCCAUCAUAAGAUGAGCCAUGCAAAUAGUGUGGUAAUAAGCUGGAGUAGUACCUAUAGCAAUAAUGUGCACUCUUAUCACUUCAUGAUAACGAAAACCACACCGGAUCAGGUAUGAGGUGACUGAGAUGAAACACAAAUACUAUCAGGAUCAAGAAGAAGAUCCAAGCAAAUAGUGUGGUAAUAAGCUAGUAGCUAUAGCAAUCUAGGCCGUCAACUCAAUCAGGUGUGUAGAAAUAAAAUUACCUAAUUGAGCUACAUGAUAGCCAAUGCAAUCAUGACACAUCUCACCCAUCCAAUUUUUAUUUUGUUAAACCUUAGAUCUGCUAAGCUAGGCUAGGCACCAAGGCGAGCCAAUUGUCGCCCAUGUGUUGUGAAAGCUGCCGGCAGGGACAAGGUGGGUAUGCCAAAUUCCGAUUUAUCCUAGUCAACUCGGGGUCCUUUUGGCAAAACGCUGAAAGUGCCGGCUCCAACCAAAGGUAAUUCAAUGUGCGAAAACAGUAACAGUGGAAAGAUGAAAAUAAUUAUAGCCAAGCCAUGAAAAUAUAGGCUCCAUCCCAAAGGUAAUUCAGUGUGCACAAACAGUAACAGUUGAAAAAAGAAAAUAAUAUAUAGUCAAGUCUUGUAAAUACCGGCUCCAUUCCGAAGGUAAUUCGGUGUGCGAAAACUGUAACAUGCAAGAAAGGCAACAAAAAAAUAUAGCCAAGCCAUGAGCAGUCUAACCAGAGGCUAUCUAGCUGAAGUCAGCAAUUAUAUUACUAGGUAAUACUACCUCCGUCUUCAAAUAUAAGAUAUUUUUAUACGCUAUGUGAAAUAUAAAACUUUUUUUGACGAAAGUAGUCUAAAAAAUGUCUUAUAUGUUGAGACGGAGUACAUAGUAGUCAAUAAAAGGUUUUGGGGAGUGAACAACUGUUGUCGAUGACCCUCAGUUUGGGACAAAAACUACUCGUAAACUGUCUGCUCCCUAGGGCUUCCUGCGCUCGUGCGACGGCGAACUAGGGUUCUGGACUUCCUUGAGAUCUCGAUCGCGGUCGAUUUCUCUGCUUUCUCCCGUUAUUCCACCCUCCAGCGACCCCUCUCUCGGCCUGCCGCCUCUCCUUCGCAAUCCAUUGCCUGGAUUCGGGCGAUCACAGGGUUCUCUUGUAGAACUGCCUGCCCUUGGUCUUCGGUUGUGGUUUGGCGAUCAUGGCGACGGGUUGUAAGGAUAAGGGACCGAUCGGGGAGGGGGUGGCGAUGGUUAAUGUGCGUGUCACUAAGAUGGAUGGUGUGCUAACCCAGCUGACCGUGAUGAGAACGGGGAUCUACCUUACUCGGCUAAACGGCUUUCUGUGGAUGAUGGGCUGAAGACGUCUGGUGGAUCACAUUCGGGAUCAUUUGCAUCACAUGGGACUAGCAAUGUUCCUGGUUCACGUGGCUCCGCUGGCUCGUCGGCUCGAGGAGUGCUAGAUGGCGGCAGAGGGGCAGGCAAAGGACAGUGGGAUGCUCAGGAAGUGUCUUCUUCCCAGAGGGGAGGGAUUGGAAGAGGCCGGGGCCGGGCAUCUCGGGGUCGGGCGAGAGGGAUGAUGGACUGCAAUGAUCUACCAAUUACCAAUCCGAUGAAGAAUACAGUGGGUCUUAAGAGGAAAGCACCCAAGGUUCAACCUACAUCACCUCUACUUCUGGAGGACAAUCCGGAGCGGGCGGUUGUCUUGGUUGGUACUUCCGCGUCUCCUCUUGGGGGAGAGGAGGAUGUUACAUGCAAUGAUUCUAACAAGAAUCUAUGGACUACUAUAGAUGGAUCGGCGGAUCAGGCGGCGACUGCAUCGCAGUCCCGCCAGACACAAUGAGUAUCUUAUGCUGGAACUGUCGCGGGUUAGGGUCUGACGCGACAGUGGGGGAACUUCGCUGGUUAGUGAAGAAGUACAGACCCGGUAUCCUGUUCUUGUCUGAGACGAAGAUGAGGGAUGCCAGAGCUAGGAAUUUCAUGUGGUGUUUGGGCUACACGGGGUCCUAUGCUGUCAGUUGCGAGGGCCGGAGUGGAGGCCUUGCGCUAUUUUGGAAGUUGCCUUUCAUAGUGUCUCUAAAGGGAGCUAAUUCACACUUCAUCGAUGUGAUGAUCUCCUCUGCUGAGUCCGUGGUCUGGCGUGCUACCUUUGUGUAUGGGAACCAAGAAGAGAGUUGCGUCAUUUCUUCUGGGAUACUCUUGCUCGGCUGCGUCGGGAGUGGAAUGGCCCAUGGUUAUGUUGUGGAGAUUUCAAUGAGGUGCUACUCCAGGACGAACAUUUUGGCUCCUUAGAUAGGUCGGAGGUUCAAAUGGGCCUAUUUCGGAAUUGUCUGCAGAUUUGCAAUCUUACUGAUCUUGGCUUUGUGGGUCCGAAGUUCACAUGGUCCAAUAAACAAGAUGCUCAGUGUAAUGUUCGGGUUCUUCUUGAUCGUGGUGUGGCGAAUGGCGCCUUUUCCGAGCUGUUUUCGGAGUGUUAUGUGCAGAAUGUGAUUACUUCUUCAUCAGAUCACUAUGCUCUCCAUCUCAUCCUCACAAGAGCUCCGAUGGGGGAGGAGGGGCCUCCAGUUCAGCAAGGGUUUCGGUAUGAAGCGGCUUGGCGGCGUGCUGAUGAUUAUCAUGCUGUGGUUGAUGCUACUUGGGAUUGCCAUCGAGUGGAUGAAAAUCCCAUACAUUCGGCCUGGACAAACUUAAAUCAUGUGGCAGGAAAGUUGAAGGUUUGGAGCCGAGCGUCCUUUGGGUCCGUUAGUUGUGAGAUAAAAUGCUUGGAAAGGGCCCUGUUCUAUCUACGACGAGAUUCUAUGUCUGGGAGUAACUUGCGGGAGGAGCAGCAGUUGGAGCGCCAGCUGUGCGAGUUGUUUGAAAGGGAAGAAAUCAUGGCCAGGCAACGUUCGCGGGUGGAGUGGCUUCGCGCAGGUGAUCGUAAUAUAGCUUUCUUCCAUUCCAAGGCUACUUCUCGCACGCGAACUAACAGGAUAUUGGCACUAGCGCGGGAAGAUGGUUCAGUCUGUACAAGCCCGACAGAGAUCAAAGGUAUGGUUCAUAAUUGGUGUGAGAAUUUGUUCACUGCUGAACCCAUUGCUUCCAUGGACGCUUCUUUGGAGGCCAUUCCGACACGAGUGGAUGAUGCCAUGAAUGCUGACCUGUGCAAAGACUACUCUAAUGAGGAGAUCAAGGUGGCGCUGUUUCAAAUGGGCCCAACUAAAGCCCCGGGUCCUGAUGGCUUCCCAGCUAUGUUUUACCAGGUUCAUUGGGAGCUUCUGAAAGAGAUGGUGUGUGAUGCAGUCCGUAGUUUCCUGGGAGGGGAUGCAAUCCCUGAGGGUUUCUGUGACUCUGUCAUCGUCUUAAUUCCCAAGGUGUCUAAUGCUAAACAUUUGUCUAAAUUUAGACCAAUAAGUUUGUGUAAUGUUCUUUACAAGAUUGCCUCCAAGGUUGUUGCUAAUAGGCUGAAGCUGGUGUUACCGGAUAUUAUCUCGGAGUUUCAAAGUGCUUUUGUCCCGGGGAGGAUGAUCACGGACAGUGCACUUAUUGCUUAUGAGUGCUUACAUUCUAUUCGCCGUCAGAGUGGUCGACAACCCUUCUUUGCUCUUAAGCUUGACAUGAUGAAAGCGUAUGACCGCAUCGAAUGGGAGUAUCUCCAUGCUUGUUUGCUGAAGUUGGGUUUUGCUGAUGUUUGGGUUAAUUCCGUUAUGCGGUGUGUUACCUCAGCAAGAUAUGCAGUCCGGGUGAAUGGAGAGCUGACGUCUCCGGUGGUUCCUUCGGGGGGAAUUCAUCAAGGGGAUCCUAUUAGUCCUUAUUUGUUUGUGCUCUGUACGGAAGGGCUUUCUUGUUUGAUGCAGCAGAAGGAGGGGCUUGGUGAGCUACAAGGAAUACGCAAUGGUCGACAAGGGCCCUCUAUUUCUCAUCUACUUUUUGCUGAUGAUAGUAUCUUCUUUGAUUGAAGUGAUCAAAGGACAAUGCAGGCUCUCAAAUCGGUCAUCAAUUCCUAUUGUCAUGCUUCUGGGCAGAAGGCCAAUUUACAGAAGUCUUCCAUUUUUUUUGGUAAUAGCUGUCCUCCAACUAUCAAAGCUGAGGUGAUGCAUCAAUUGGAGGUCACAACCGAGGGUAUGCAGGAUUUCUAUCUCGGCAUGCCCACUGCUGUGGCUCGGGCAUCUACAUCAUCUUUCAACUUUUUGACUGAUCGGGUAUGGCGGAGUUUUACGAGCAAUACUGGCCGGCCGCUUUCUCGAGCUGGAAAGGAGAUAUGGCUUAAAGCUGUUGUGCAAGCGAUCCCCAAUUACAUCAUGAGCUGUUUUCAGGUCCCUGUUACGACAUGUGAUAAGAUGGUUGGAAGUAUUGCGGAUCAUUGGUGGGGAUUCGAGGAUGGACGCAAGAAAAUGCAUUGGAAGUAUUGGGAGUGGCUGUCCUCACCCAAAGCUCUUGGUGGUUUAGGCUUCCGGGACUUUGGGAUCUUUAACCAAGCGAUGCUGGGGAAACAAGCCUGGAGGUUAGCUAUUGAUCCCACUUCUUUGUGUGCUCGUGUUCUCAAGGGGCGCUAUUACCCGGAUGCUGAUUUUCUGUCUGCGGGGAAACCAAGAUCAUCUUCUUUCACUUGGCGCUCUAUUAUCUUUGGGCGAAAGUUAUUUAAAAUUGGUAUGAGGUGGAAUAUUGGCAAUGGGGAGAAUGUCUCUAUUAUGAGAGAUAAUUGGAUCCCAGGAUUCCGUCAAGGUUCUUUCAACUCGCUGUUUCCCAUUCCUGAUUCUGCCAAGGUUCGUUAUCUUAUGAAUGAAGAAGGAACUGCUUGGGAGGAAGACACCGUCAGGGUGUUUUUUCAUGGGGCUUUAGCUGAGGCUAUUUUGCAGAUUCCUAUCAGCCGACGGGGAGGUGUUGAUUUCAUCUCUUGGCCGCAUGAUCGUUGUGGCCAGUACACGGUACGUUCUGCAUAUAAUUUGGCUCGGACGACAAGUUUCUUCUCCACAAAUCAAACUGCUGGAAGGGGUUCAGGUUCGGCCGUGGAGAAACAUUGGAAAAGUCUCUGGUCUAUUGUGACACCGGGCAAAAUGAAGGUAGUUCUUUGGCGCAUGGCCCACGAUUUCUUACCAACUGGACAUUAGUUGGUUCAUCGUCAUAUUCCAGCGGAUGAUCGUUGCAUUUUCUGUGGUGACACUGAGCGGGUUGAGCAUCUGUUUCUAUUCUGCCCAUUUGCACGACGUGUAUGGGAUGGAGUUAAGUUGGUCUACCCUCUUCAUCUUCUCAGGAAGGAAUUGCACAAUAUGAAGCAGUGGAUAUUCGAGUUCAUCAACCGUGAGACGAAGCUUCAUUCUACGGUUCUUGCAGUUACCGCUUGGCACAUUUGGGAAUCACGUAAUGAUUGUCGCAAUAACGAGGGACAGCUCAGUGUGUCACGCGUAGGCUCGUGUGUUGGCUUAUGUGCAGAUGAUUGUGCAGCAUCUCUGGCCUAACCCAUCAAACCAGGCACUUUCGACGGUUGAUACCCCACAGCGAUGGCCUCUACCUCCCAUGGGCUAUGUUUGUGUUAAUGUUGACGCUGCUCUCUUUCCUUGACACUCGUCGCAUGGGCUGUUGUGUGGUUUUGCGAGAUCAUUCCGGGGCUUUCAUCAUGUCUGUGAGCGAAGGUAUGUCCGUAUUUCCUUCUCCAGAGUUGGCGGAAGCAAUGGCUGUUCGUCGGGGUUUAAUGGCAGCUCAGAGCAGGGGUGUCCAUCGGAUUAUUCUGGCAUCGGACUGCCUCUCCUUGAUUCAGCGCAUCUCUUCACCUGGGAUGGAUCGUUCCCCGUUGGGAACGGUGAUAGCGGAUAUCAGAUCGAUGGCGUCGGACUUUCAGUCUUGUACGUUUCAAUUUCAUCGUCGUAAUUUCAAUGUGGUCGCACAUAAAUUGGCUCGGAAUGCCGAGCCGACAUCUUGUAAUAUUUAUGUUGGUGUUAUUCCGAGCUUGAUUCGGGACGAACUUUGUAAUGACAUCUCUUGAUCAAUAAAGACCAUAUUAUCUAAAAAAAAAAAAAGUUUUGGACAAAACUGCGUGGGGCACUGUUGUUAAACGUUAAAGUUCCGUAAUAGCUAUAAGACCUGACACUGUGACCUCUCUCCGCUGCAAAUAGGUAACCAGUCAUUGCCAACGUCUCUUCCUGCCUUUUAAGAGCACUGAGAAACAAAGGAACACUGCUAUGGCUUAGCUAGUGACCGCACUAUCUAAAGCGCAGCGUGUUGUUUGUUGGUGCGUGGAAGCGCAAACAGUCGAUACCAUGGAUGGAUCGUCUGGACAAAUGUCAAACGCGUACUCACUUUGUAGAGUGAUAUAAGACUUGUUUGUAAAGUGACAAAUGUCAAACACGUACUCACUUUGUAAAGUGAAAUGAAAAAUUAUUACUUUUGCCAUGGAAUGACAUUUAUGAUGUAUUGUUAAAAAAUAAGUGUCAAAAGUGAAAUGUCAAUUGCUAGAGUUGUAUAAGCAAAAUGGACAAAAGCUAGAAUGCUAAAACAAAGUUUUCCCUUUUAAAAGCACCGAGAAACAAAAGAACACUGUAGAUGUUGGCCAUCAGCGCGGGAUCACCCUCCCCGUGUCCUGUCACCAGUAGAAAUAAGGGCUUUCGUCCCAGCUCAAAAAACACAUUAGUCCCGGUUCCUUUACAAACCGGGAGUAAUGUUAGUAUUAGUCCCGGUUCGAGCGGCAAAGGCGCCGGUCGGGCAUUAGUCCCGGUUCAAAUGGGACCUUUAGUCCCGGUUCAUAUCUCGAACCGGGACUAAAGGGAUUGGAGGAUUUAGUCCCGGUUCGUGUCUUGGACCUUUAGUCCCGGUUCGUGUCUCGAACCGGGACUAAAGGGUUGGAGGAUUUAGUCCCGGUUGGUGUCUUGAACCGGGACUAAAGGGUAGACCUUCAGUCCCGGUUCGUGACACGAACCGGGACUAUAGGUGUUCAGAUUUUUUUUUCUGUUUUUAAAUUCUUGUUUGUAGUUUCUGUUUUAAAUUGCUUAUAUCUUUUAGGAUAUUUGAUGUUUUUGAUUGGUUCUUUUUGCAUUAGAUUCAAAAUUUUGUCUAGUUUCUAUUUGUGCCAUUAGUUUUAAAUUUGAAUGGUUUAAAUUUGAAUUUGUUUAAAUUUGCUUCAAACCCACUUUUUGAAUAACUUGAGUUUACAAAUAGUUUUUAAUUUAAUUCUUUUUGCUCCCACUCAUGUGUUAGAUUGUUGUCACAGUAAGAUUUAUUUGGUUAUUUUUAGAAUAAUUUAAAUUAGGAUUUUAAUUAAAGAAAUAUUGUUUUGCUUAUAUAGUUGUUUUAGUCAUUUAAUUGUUGUUUUUUAUUAUUUUUAGUUAGUUAUUUCUGUAGAUUUUAACAUGUUGCAGUAUGGUGCAUAUUUAAUGCACAAAAAAAUCUACAGUUCAAUUAAUUUUUAAAAAAUGCCUUCGUAGCAGAUGGGUUUUCGUCUGAAACCUUGAUACUUUGAGUUUUGUAGAAAAUAAACAAAAAUGAUAAAAUCAUCAAAAAAUAAACAAAAAUGAUAAAAUCUUCAAAAAAUAAAAUCCUUUGAGAUGUUGUUAGGUUUUAGUGUCUAGUCGGUAUAGAAAUUUUGAGAUAUGAAUUUUGACCGUUUUUGCAAAAAAAGGAAAAAAAUAAACGGCCAUAACUUUUGCAUACGAUGUCCAAAAAAAAUUAAUAUAUAAAAAAAAUAGAAAAAAUUGGUACUCGAUUUCAGCCGGGCUUGCCCGGUGAAGUUUCCUCACAUGCUCAAAAUUCCAAAUGGAAAAAAAGUUAUUUCAAAAAGAAGUUUUUUCCAAAAAAAAAUAAUAAUUUUAUUUAAAAAUAUUGGGUUGUUUUCAUUGAAAUUCACUAUUAUUGUUACUUAUUAAGUUUAUUUUAAUAAUUAUUUAUAAUUCAAAAAAUUAAAUCAUGUGACAUGACAUCAAGACCCAAAUUGUUUAGGAUUGAUAGCUUACUAUUGUUAGGAAAACAAUAAGUGCACACUUGGCAACUAGGGGCGAUAGAACCAGAAAGUUAAGCGUGCUCGGGCUGAAGCAGUGAAAGGAUGGGUGAUCGGCCGGAAAGUUUGACGAUUUGAAAUGAGUGAUCCACGCUAGAGCAGUGAGGAUGGGUGAUUAGAGAUUAAAUUGUCAAAUAAUUCAAAGAUUAGAAAAUUGGAAUAAAACAUAAAAAAUAUUCAAAAAUAAAAUUUGAAUUUUUUUUAAAAAAAAUCUACCUUUUCGGGUCAAACAAACAAAAAAACAGACGGAUCCUUUAGUCCCGGUUCGUAAGUAGAACCGGCACUAAAGGUACUCCCUCUGAGGCGGCCACGUGGAGCACAUUUGGUCCCGGCUUGGAACAGGGCCGGGACUAAAGGUUAGGCCUUUAGUCCCGCCCCUUUAGUCCCGGUUGGUGAACCGGGACUAAAGCCCUUACUGGCCGGGACUAAAGGUUAGGACUUUAGUCCCGGUUGGUGAACCGGGACUAAAGGUUAGGACUUUAGUCCCGCCCUUUAGCCCCGGUUGGUGAACCGGGACUAAAGACCUUUACGGGCCGGGACUAAAGGUUAGGCCUUUAGUCCCGCCCCUUUAGUCCCGGUUGGUGAACCGGGGCUAAAGCCCUUUACGGGCCGGGACUAAAGGUUAGGCCUUUAGUCCCGCCCCUUUAGUACCGGUUGGUGAACCGGAACUAAAGCCCUUACUGGCCGGGACUAAAGGUUAGGACUUUAGUCCCGCCCCUUUAGUCCCGGUUGGUGAACCGGGACUAAAGCCCCUUACGAGCCGGGACUAAAGGCCCUGUCCCCACUAGUGUGUGUCCCAGGACUUGGCGCUUGCUAGCCAGCCAACGACUUGGCAUGGCGUGUUAUUUAUUUGUUGACCCUCACGGUGGCAAAUUUGGCGUUGUUUAGGCUGGUUGUAAUGAUGAUAGUAUUAUAAGUAUGUAGUAUCAUACAAGUAAUUCUAAUAAAAUGAUAUGAAAUUAAAUGAAGAAAGAGAGAGUUGAAUAUCAUAUCAUGAUACUGUAUCAUAUUAAAAGUUGUAUUAAUAUGUGUCAUGCAUGUUAAUAAAUGACAUAUCCUAUGAUACUAAUAUAUAAUGCUAUGCAUUGCGGAUGUAGUAUCAUACAUUAGUAUUAUAUGCAUGAUAUAAUAUAUAAUACUCCUCAUUACAAUCAGCCUUAGCGCUGCAGCGUACGUGCGAUUGAAGCUUAGCCGAUAGUAAUCAACGAACAACAGUACAUGACAACAGUACGUGAGCUUUACAGAUAUGGAUGGCUAGCUGAUGCAUCAUGCUAAUUAAUCAAGAGCACUUACUCUAUUAUGAGAGGGAGACGUACAUGAUUAAUCAUGCACAAUUACUAUGUUUCAGAUCCGGCGCUCCCAGAUCAAAUCGAGUCAGACUCUGUCCAAAGCAAGCGCUAGCAUUUGGCUACCUGGUUUUGAAAACAAAUUUGACGAGAACAGUUUAAAGCAGACCUCGAAUGAGGAGGGAGGGAUUGAUCAAUUACGUUAAAAGAAUGGUGACAAGUGAUCGUCGGCCGGCCGGCCCAUGCAGCACCGUUGCAAGUGUAUGAGGGAUGACGUGGAACGUAGACACAGCACCUACGUACAAACAAUUAAAGUUGUCAGAUGGCAUGCGCCAUGCCCGAUCGAACCAUACGUGCAUCAACCGAUCCAUCGGCAAGUCGUGUCAAUAUAUACACGCAGCAAACAACGGAGUUUCUGUAGAAACGGACGAAUGGUGGGUACCUGACGCGAGUACGUAUGGCAGGCGCCGUAUUCUUGAGUGUUGGUUGCACCCCGACUUGUUAAUGUUAUCCCUUCAAUUCCCCACCUACCAAUGAAUGAAUGAAUGAAUGCGAGGAGACGGAGACGUGCCGCUCUCUCCUUUCAAUUCCCCAGCAACCAACAAAACCGGCACACUCGCACGCUCUGGAGGAACAAAAACUUCAGUUAACAAAACAGAGCCGCCCAGAACUAUUUCCUAUAUACUUCCUCCGUUCCUAAAUAUAAGUCUUUUAAGCGAUUUCACUAAGGGUCCACAUACGGAGUAAAUUGAGUGAAUCUACACUUUAAAGUAUGUCUAUAUACAUCCGUAUGUAGUCUUUUAGUGAAAUCUUUAAAAAGACUUAUAUUAUGAAACGGAGGGAGUAUACAUCUAGUGCAAAAUUCUACGCCCAUCAGAGCCACGAAAUGGCAAGUGAUAGGCAUAGAGUACAACUUGCUGAUGGAUGUGUAACAAUAAUGCUACGACGACUGCAUCUGAUAAAUCAUUCUUAUGCUGGCUCCGUGUUUCACAACAAUCAUGCAGGCAGGCAGCUGUUGGUCACACAACACAUGAGUGCAACAGGACGUAGUACACAGAAAAGUGACCAAAGAUAUGGACAGUUUAUCUUAUGUACCCCGAAGGCCACGAUAAAAAAAAGCUUGUGGUUGUGGAUAGGAAGAUAACUCUCCACCAUUCAUAUGCAUGUUUUGUGGUUCAGGCUCGCCUUGUGCAACUAAAGAAAAAAGGCCAAUAACAAUAACUCUAAGAAAUCAUUCGUAUGUUGGUUCCGUGUUUCAGAAAGAGAAAAAAACAAUAACCGUGACACAUGCCUCCCUCGGUAGCAUGAGAGAGGCAAAUAUUUAAAAGACCUUGACACAUCUACUUGGCACCUCGAGAACUCUAUUAAGGAAUAAUGGGUAAAUAGAUCAAACCAGAGAUAACAAUAAAUAUAUCUUACAAUGGGUCAUCUUUUAACCUUAUCUUCAAUAACUAGUUAUUUUAAAAAACAUGAUGAGACAUAUUGUGCUAAGAGGUCAUCUUUGUUAUCUCUUAAAUAAAAGAAGAUAAAUACUUUCUUAUAAGUUCUACCUCGUCCACCUCAUUAUUUAUUCUACAUUACACCGCUAAGACAACAUAUUAUUUAUUCUACAUUACACUGCUAAGACUACAUCAUUGUACAUGUCAUAGGGAGUACCUAAGAACUGAACGGAUACACCACCGCCGCCUUUUGUGCUAACGUACGUGUCAGUGAGGUAUGAACGGAUCCCCAUCCGGCCGCUAUAAGUUGAGCAGCACACAGCAGCGGCCUCCCCUGAGUUCCCACAGCGCACUACUCCCAUCCCAUCCCAUGGCGUCCGGACAGCCGGCCGUGCAGGUACACCAUUUUGCUCCGCUCCCGUCCAUAGAUGAAUCAGUUGCUCUUUUUGACGUACGUCGUGUUUCUUGGAUCUGCUGCGUGCAGACCUUUGUUCUGAGGGUGUCCAUCCACUGCCAUGGCUGCAAGAAGAAGGUCCGCAAGGUGCUCAAGAGCAUCCAAGGUACGCAGCUAGCGUCAGUCACUCUCUUCUUUCAUCCUCGCGUUAAUUAACUACUAAGUGUAAGUGGUCGUCGUUUUGUUCUGGUUGGGAUGUUGGUUCAGGCGUGCACGACGUGAAGGUGGAUGCCCAGCAGCACAAGGUGCUGGUGACGGGCACCGUGGACGCCGAGACGCUCGUCAAGACGCUCUACAAGUCUGGCAAGCAGGCCCUGCCAUGGCAACACACGCCUGCCAAGAACCCCGAGGCCCCGCCGCCGGCCGAGGUCAGCAGCAACGAUGCUGCUGCGGCGGCGGACAAGAACCCGGCGGAGCCUGUGAAGGAGCCGCAGGCCGACGACAGCUCGGACAGGACGCCGGAGCAGGAGGAGACGGCCCCGGACAAGACGCCUGAGACGGAGAAGGAAGCAGAGUCUGAGAAGAAGGAGGAUGAGAAAGAGGAGGCGAAAGCCACGAAACCAAGCGCUGAGGCAAAGAAAGACGGCGGCGACGGCGAGGGCCCGGCGGCCGAGCCCAAAGCAAAGGAGGACACAAAGGUGGCCGGCAAUGACCAGGGCGAGGCCAAGGAGGAACAGAGCAAGCCUAAGGAUGCAGCUGCGGCGGACAGGUCCCUAUCUCCGGCGCCGACGCCCGCGCACCAGGAGUUCAGCCCGUACAACGCGCCGCAGCCGGUGACGAGCUACCACACGGCGCAUCCGGCAGCGAGCGUGUCCUACUACGCGCCGCAGCCGGAGCAGGGCUACUCCAUGCGGCAGCAGCCAUCGCAGCCGCAGCCCGGGUACUCCUCCCUCAUGCAGCCGCAGCACCCACCGCCGGCGCCGCAACAGCAAUGGUCGCCGUCGUACCUUUACAUGCCGUACCCGCACGCGUCGCUGGAGUCGUACUACCCGGAUUACUACAGCCCGCCCGGGACGCACACGCCACCGGCACCGCCACCUCCGCCGCCGCAACAGCAAUGGUCGCCGUCGUACCUUUACAUGCCGUACCCGCACGCGUCGCUGGAGUCGUACUACCCGGAUUACUACAGCCCGCCCGGGACGCACACGCCACCGGCACCGCCACCUCCGCCGCCGCUCCAGGACUCGUACCGCCUCUUCGACGACGAGAACCCCAACUCGUGCAGCGUCAUGUGAUUUCACCGAGACAUGGACACGUAUGGCGCGGCGUAGCUCCAGCUAGCCACCGGCGGCAGAGUAGCUAAGAAAAGGCGGCUUAAAGCUCUCCUUGACCAAUCCAUUUUUCCUCUUCUUCUUUAUUAUUGUUAUUAGUGUUCUAUAAACAGAGCAUGUAAUUGUAAUGAGAUAAGCCUUUACAUGUAGCAUAGCAUCAAUGAAAUCUUCCCUACUCCCUCCGUCACGGUUUAGAAGGCGUGCAUACAAAUUCUCUAGGACCUAAGUGGUUAUUGAUUGGCUCUGAAAUAAGUUAAAAAAUAGCAUUCACACUACGCAUGCAUAUAGAAGUAGUACAACGGAGUACUAAUUAGCUGCUAGGAGUAAAUGCAACGCGCCUUAAUCUUUGUCUAUUUUGGAAACGCAUGCAAGUCUAACUGUGCCUUCUAAACCGUAACGGAGGGAGUACCAUAGAUAGGAUUUUGCACAAUGUACUCCCUCUGUCCCAAAAUAAAUGACGCAAAUUUUAUACUUCUUCCGUCCCAAAAUUCUUGUCUUAUAUUUGUCUACAUAUGAAUGUAUCUAGUCACGUUUUAGUAUUUAGAUACAUUCAUUUCUAGACAAACUUACAAGAAUUUUAAGACGGAGGGAGUACUAAGUUAAUAUAAAUUUUGUACUAAAGCAGCGACACUUAUAUUGAGACGGAGGGAGUAAAACAUAACAUAAAUGUCGUCCUUUCCCAACCCAAUCAUAUCUAGAGGAUAUCCUUCUUUGAUUCUUCUCGCCUACUCAUGAAUAGCCUCGACACCAUAUGCAUGGGACCUUAUCGAAAAAUGAUUUUUUUUCACUUUCGUAUUACAAAGCAAGCAACACCGAUACAUAAAUCGCUCGAACGAACAUCACAACAAACCCAAAAGAAAAAGAAGAAGAAACAAAUGCCAACAGCGGCAGCACGUCAAAGUGCGCCCACCGGAAACAAACCACCAUACGAGGCUAUGAUCCUCCGUGUACCAAGCAGCACCUCCAAGAAGGAAUGUGACGCCGACGACGCUGCUGCCCGGACGGAUCCUAGGGUUUCCCCCGGCACGCGGAGGGCUGAUGGGGAUGGAUACCACCGACACCCUCCAGGAAGGAAUGGUGGCACCCGCACGCGUCACCGCAUCGGAGCCGAAGACCGGCAAGGAUUUCUCCCGUACUCCCGACCCCGCCGCCCAACCGAACUGGGGCCGACCAGUCAAACCUCCGCCCACCACCAUGCUACAUCUCGGUUGCACCACCACCCACGUCGCCUCACUGCGAACACCACGACGAGGCCAAGAGAACCGACGAGAGGCACCAAACGGCGGAAGCAACGGCACCGUUACUGAGCAGGAGGGAACCACCUCCAACACCGACGAGCAGGAGGCCCGAGCCCCCGACAUCGUCACGGUCGCCGUCCAGACGCGGCAGCGGGGCACACCAGACCACCCCUGGCCCGGCCAGGCCCGAACAGGCCCGCUAAGCCCCGUAGGCCACACUACAGCAAUUCGGCAUCCGCACCACCAGUUCCCAGCCGCUCGACGCCGCACCCCGCCUCCUGGAGGUCGUGCCAUGGACCCACCCUGCUUCCGGCCCGCCCGGACCCAGAUGGGGCUCGAAGGGCCCAGAUCUAGGCCGAUCGGGCCCGCAAGGCGGCGCCGCCGCACUACCCGGCUGCCAACGGCGACACCACUGUCCAACCGCCGCGCUACCCCGCCGCCAACAGCGCGAGUACCCCGCCGCCACGCCGCCGCCUAGCGACACCCCCCGGCCUGCUCCGUCCGGCGCUAGAUAAACCCGAAAGGGGAAUGACGAAGGGCCGCCGUCGCCAGCGUCGCCCGGGCCAGGCCCGACGGCGAGCGCCGACGAUGGUGGCGGGGGAGGAGGGAGGGAGGUGGGAGCUGGAGGAGGAAGGUUUGGGGACGCGAACGAUCGCCCGUGGGGGCGACGCGGUCGCAAGAGCUCUACUUCCUUCACCAACGUCGUUUUAUCAUGCAUGGGACCUUAGAGCAUCUAUAGCCAGAUUUAGAAAUGUGACUGUUAUGAGCCCCUAUUUGUUUGUCUAUGUAAUCACUAUUUAUAUUUUCUUUCUCAUAUGUCAUGUCUCUUACACGUGAUUGAUGAAGAUGAAAGAAAAAAAAAGAAUAAGAAAAACGAGUACAGAAAGAGAACAUGUGCUGAGGGGUGAGCCAUGUCCUAUAUGGUAGAUUGAUUGAAUACGUUUGGACUUGUCCGUGAGCCCUCCUAUUCUUUCUUCAUUUGUCUUUGGGACGAGGGUUUAUGGAUAACCUAAACGUAUAAGAAUAAUAUGAGCGAUCCCGUUAGCUGACUUUCCUUCUCUCUUCUGUCUGGUCGAUGCUUCCGUGGAUAUUUGAGAAGAUAUGAGAAUACCUAUUGUAGAUGCUCUUACCUAAGCCGCUGUCCAUAGAUUUACUCUUUAGAUGAUUCUAGUUGUCCGCAUGCCAUAAUUUACUUAACUGAUAAGGCCCAAUGAUCACCUCUCCUUUUUGCAACCGAUGAUGUGAGGACGAUGAUAAUCUUAGUUGUUUAGUGUGAUAGCUCAGAAGUUAAAUUUAAGCUCGUGAUUGGGGUGCACUAACGGAAUAACCAACUAUGCCAACGGCCCAAGCCGUCAGCAUAGGUCCAAAAACCGUCGGGAUAGGCCUACAUCGAUGAUGGCCGUCGGCAUAGCCUCGUCGGCAACUUGUACGUCGGCGCACCCAAAGUCGCCUGUCAGCAUAGCUUUUUAUAUCAACGACACCCAUACAACCGUCGGUAUAAAUACACCGUCAGUAAAUUUCUACACUCACGGCCAUUGACGGUGUUGUCGUCAAGUUGGCGCCUAUCAUAUCGUGCCACGUGGCAGCUGCUAGUAGCUCCUGGUGCACGUCAAUGCCGACGGCACAUAACCGUCGAAAUAGUGUUAGAUUUAUGCCGACGGCCUAAACCAUCGGUAUAGUGGUGCACCGGGACUGCCCAGUCGUCGCCAUGUGGCGGCCAUUGGUAGCACGGCGCCAUCAAUGCUGACGGUUAGGUCGUAGGCAUAUACUCUAUGCCGACGGCAAAACCAUCGGCAUAGCUUGGAACACGUAUGAGAAAAAAAUGGUUGCCCGACAGCCGGUGAGCCCAGUCAGCCAGCGAGCCCAUGCCAGUCAGCCGGCAAGCAUGGACAGCCAUGUGCAGGUUGCUGUUGCAGUAUGUCAAAAUAACUUUGCAAUAGCAUUGGUCGCCGUCGUACCUUUACAUGUCGUACCCACAUGCAUUGUCGGAGUCUUACUACUACAACGCUCCAGGGAUGCACGCGUUGCCCCCGCCGCCACUCCAGGACUCGUACCACCUCUUCGACGACGAGAACCAUAACUCGUGUAGCGUCAUGUGAUUUCAUCGACACGUGUGGCACGACGCGGCUCCAGAUAGCCACCGGCAGCAAAGUAGCUACGAAGGUUGGGAGGCCAAAGCUCUCCUUACCAAUCCAUUUUUCCUCUUCUUCUUUCUUUGUCAUGUGACAACCCUUUACAUGUAGCAUAGCAUUAAUGAGAUCUUCCAUCCUUAGAUAUGUUUAUAAGCUAAAACAUAAGAGAAACAUAUAAAGAAUUAGAGAUACUCUCUCCAUUCACAUAUAUAGGGCCUAAUACAUUUCUCAAGAUUACUUUUCACCAUGAGUUAGCAAUAUACAAUAAGACAUGCAUGUUAAACAAACCAUACCAUCAAAUUCAUAUGUGAAAUGAAUUUCUAAUGAUGUAACUUUUAUAUCAUAUACUUAGAGCAUCUACAGUCGGAACACUCAAAUCCGGACCCUCGAAUGCCCACGGACACAUCCGGACGGUCCCUCAUAUUUCGCUCCAUGCAUCCAUAUACUUCACAUCCCGACUCUCAAAAUCAUACAAAGCCAUGAACGUCGAUCAUCUCAUAGUAAACAUCGCACAUAAAAUAAAUGUUGGUACCGAACAUAAAAUUGGUUUAGAUCAAUUUUAUUUGAACUGCACAAUCAAUCAUCUGCUCUUUGAUUUCCAUUAUGGUUCCACAUAUGGUCCAUCACAUCAUUGAGUAGUUGCAUGUGCACGUGAUGAUCUCAGAGAUUCUGAUGCAUCUGCAGAAAAUUUAUAAGAUGCAUUGCAUUUUGAUCUUCAGGGGUUUCAACUUGUACUCCAUGUGUUUCAAAAUCGUUGGUUUGGGCUACACCAUCAACCUCGUCCUCGACGAUCAUAUUGUGUAAAAUAGCAUAAUAUGUCAUUACCUGGCAUAAAGUUUCUUGUUCCCACAUCAUUGAAGCCCCACGAACAAUUACCCAAUGCGCUUGCAGCACUCCAAAAGCCCUGUCCACAUCCUAGCUAAUUCCUAGCUGAUUCAUGCAUUGUUGCGAAGUGCUUUUGUUUUCUGCCAUGUGGUUCGGAUAUGGCCUUCACAAAUGCAUCCCAUUGAGUAUAUAUGCCAUCGGCAAGAUAUAUAUUAUCCCAUGUUGUAGUCUUGACCGUUGACGGUGUAGUUGUAUGGAGGUGAUUCCCCGUUGCAAAGUCUCCUAAAUACCGGAGAUCGUUGAAGCACGUUGAUGUAUUUAUGAGAACCUGUCAUUCUAAAGAAAACACGUCAAAUCCAUAAGUCAUGUGAAGAUAGGCCCUCCGCCCGAGGUCGCCGCCCCAGCGCACCCAAGGCCCUCCACUCAGGUGACUAAGCAGCCGAGACCCCGCCGCCAUCCUCAAUGUCCACACGGGCUGGUCCGACGGCUGCCUCCUUCGAUGACGAGAGGGGAGGUGGAUGAGGACUGGCAGCGCGGGGGGAAACGGAGAAAACCUAAUCGCCCUCGGGUCGUCCGCAAGGAGCGACGCGGGCCAUAAUUUACUUAAUCAAUAAGGCCCAAUCAGCCCUCCUUUUUCCCACCUAUGAUUAUUUAGUGUGAUAGCUCAGCAGUUCAAUUUAAGACGGUGCUUUGGGUAAGGCCAAACUGGCCGGUUUGUUUCAAAGCUUUUGAAUAUUGGUAUUGUUAAAUUUAAGUCGACUGAGACUUAUCGAAGUCUCAAUCAAUGCUAUACUAAUAACAUCUUACGUGAACAUCUGUGUAAAUAAAAAAAAGAGAAAUUCUUCUUCUUUUUUAUAUGUUGUAUAACUUGAGUGAGACUUAGACUGAAAUGUAGUCACGCCGUUUUGAAUAUAGUUAAGCAAGGGGGUUGUGCUUCUCCACAUGUUAAUGUUAAUGAUUGGCCCCUGCAUGCUCAUCUUAGCUUAGGGAAUUAUUAUAAGCUAAGUAUGCUCAUUAAGCUAACCUGGUUUCAUUACUGUGGGUUGGCGAGCGCAUACAUAAUGGAAGAGUGGUGGACAAAUCAGUAGCACUGGCGUGGAAGCUAGUGGGCCUUCAGCUGUACCAGAUAGGAGUAAUGCUUUGCUUAGGCUGAUUGUAAUGGGUAGUAUCAUAUACUAGUAUCAUGCAUAUGAUACUAAUGUAUGAUACCAUAACCGUAAUGCAUAGUAUCAUGUGUUAGUAUCAUAGGAUGAUUUAUUUAUUAUCAUGCAAGACACAUAGUAGCACAACAUUUAAUAUAAUACGGUAUCAUGAUAUGAUACUCAACCAUCUCUUUCUCCAUUUAAUUCUAUGCCACCUCAUCGAAAUUGCCUAGUUGGUGUGCAUGAUACUACCUAUGAUACUCUCAUUACGGGCAGCCUUAGUUGUUUAUUACCCACUGAACAGCCCCUUAAAGCAUGGUUAAUAGUAUAGCCAACUGCUGGCUAUAAGCAGUCUUCUAGUCCAUCUUAUAGCUAGCUUGUACAAUAGUUAGCUAUAAAAGAGUACUACUUUUAUCAUAUAUGGCCCAUCUUUCAUUCUCACAAAGCACAUAUGAGCACGUGCUAGAGCUGGCUCUUCACGAAAAGCCCGCUUCCCUUCUCUCUCCUCUUCUCUUUCAUCCAACUCAGCAAAAGUAUAGUAUUUUAAUCCUUACAGCCUGCUGACUGUACCUUAUUGUACUUGCUCUUAGAUAAAAUAGCCAUUGGACAUGCAAAAAAAAUCUCACUAGGGACAAGAUAGAGGACUCCCCUCCCUUUCUGCACCACAGGUGAUGCACAUGGCAUGCCGAGCACCGAACGACGAAAGGUCCCUCGAAUUUGGCAAGUUUUGAUUGCCUACAGAUUUUAGCAUUUUAUGUUUGAAUAAAGAUGAAGAUCCUUAAUCAUGUUUUUACCUUGUAUUCCUGCACGGUUGUGCUCUCUAUGAAUUUUCUUACCUGGUUAUAUCAUCGUCAGAAACAAGCCAUGGACAACUGAGCAGCACUACAACACUUGCCCCCGUCACUCUCAUGUAGUACCACGUGUCACUGUGUCAGAUUGCUUGGGAUUUGGGACGAACAGGGCCGACCAAACGGGUCCGGCCAGCCCACGUCAAAUCCGUUCCCCAGGUAACUCGAAACAAGUGCUGGAAAAUGUUUGGAAGCAAUGCCAUUCUUUUUUGCACGCUCGAUCUGCAAAGUAUAGCCUUUUGAGUUAUCUUGAUCUUGGUUAGCAUGGUACUGAUCCAACCAAAGGAGGAAGAAGAAGAAGAAUAUACAACAGCUAGCAUCAUCAUCGUCGAAGGAAUUGGAGGUUUGGCAUUGUCUAACGACUGCUAGGUUCCCUCCAUGACUGUUAGUUGGCGCAUGCCUUUUCGAGGCUCCCAUGCCGUCCUCCUAGAACUAGAAAUAUGUACUAGGUUGAAAUCAUGAAACUUUCAUAAAGAUUUAUGGCGCCGGCAUUUCUCCAAGAAAGCAAUGUUUGGACCUACUUAGGUUUCAUCCACUCAAGGAAAUUUGAAAGAAAAAAAAAUGAAUCCAAAGUUGGAUCUAGGCCAAAAUUCACGUGAUAAUACCAAGUAACUUUCAUGAUUAAGUUUUAUAAUUUUUUGUGUCAGUCGGAGUUAUCUUGUCGACCAUGGUGUGCCAAACAUCACCCAAAAUAUGACCAACUCCCUCAGUACCAGUACAAAGAUGAAAAGCUACAGCUGACCAAACGCGAAAAGCACAUGGUUUUGGAGCUGUCAAGGGGAAGAGUUUUGAUGCGUAGGGACAUCGGCCAGAAUGCAUGAUUAGCCAUAUACUUAACCGGUUGGUCCCUCCCAAUGUACAUACUUGGCUUUCAGCAGGACCUUAUAUUUGUACUAAUUAACUAAAGCGUUGAUCACUCACAACUCUCUGGUCUGGAAAAAGCCAAAACCUCGCAAUCUGCUAGAAGGAAACCCGUGGCAUCCCUGUCGCGGACGCCGCGCACGGCAUUGUCUCUACAAUGUGGAGAACAUUUCCUUUAUUGUGAAUUGUUCGUAAUUUUGCUUUCAGAAUUAUUGGUGAUGCUGAUAACACCGUAACAAUAGAUAGUGCAUGUAACAUCGGGAUGAUCGGUCGACCAUGAUGUCCGAGCAGGAACUCUGAUUCAGACUAUUUAUAGUACUAGCAGAAAUGCUUCCAAUGGAGCUGAAUUGGCAGUUUUAUGCGUUGACAUGUCAGCAGAUUUGACCUGUACGUACCGGUUACACCUGAUGCUCCAUUUUCUGUGUAUCCUUUCCCUUAUAUUUAAGACCAACCUUUUAUGAAUGGAAGUGUACAAGUGCCAUUUUAACGAAUGGUAUGCUUGAAACUGUCAGAGUAUUCCUGGAUGGAGUUCGAAAUCUGGGCCACUCAACAUCAUCAACAACAACAAAGCCUAUAGUCUCGAUCAAGUUGGGAUAGGCUAGAUGUAAAACCCAUCAGAUCUUGCGACCAACUCAUAAUUUAGUAUUUCUGAGAGAUAAUCCUUGGCACUGCUGUCCUCCUAUGCGGUUUAUAUUUGAGUGGAAUGGAAUAUAUGAGUCCUUGUUAGAUGCACCGUUGUCUCACUUGUUGAAAAUGCUCUGAAGCGCGAAAUGGUUAACUGCUGAAGCAGCAAUUAUCUUCUGUGCGACGCGUUUCUUUUUUAAAAAAAAAAUAAGUAUAAAGAUGUACUAAAUCAGCGACAAUUAAUAUGAAUCAAAAUGAGUACGUAUAAUCCACCUGGCCAAGUAGGAAUAGAAGUACUAGAGAUAAAGAAAGAGGUGACAUCUAUCUAAUUUCCGAAUGGAAACACAAGACGGUGACCAAAUAGGAGAAUGGAGGUGGAUACAGGCUGGACCUUUUGGUAGGAGAUCCUUUCAGAGCUGAAUCAUGAGAUGGAUGGUGCAAAUUCCAAAUCAAGUAGUAGGUGGUGACUUUACACGUGAAAGAGGCGCAUGGCUGACAUGGAGCUGUGUAGGUGGCAAUAGCGAAGCACCGGCCUCCAUGACUUACUACUAGUCACGAUGGAUGAUCUUAGUUUCUCCCUACCUUAACAAUUAGCGAAAAGCCCUUUCGGAGAGUGAUCUUGCGGGGUUUUGGCCAAUCAGAGCCCUCGGUUUGUAGGCCUAUUCCCUUCUUCCUUUUCUUGAAGCGGAGGCAAAAGAUUUACACCUCAUAUGUAUGUUAAAAGGGGAAUGAUUGUGAAAUACAGGCCCCUCGAUACAAAAGGAUUAGUUCCGGAAAUGAUUGAUCGCAUUUUCUUUGCACCCAUGGCAAUCCAAAGACGAGCCUCGCCUUUGACGGAGCUGAGCAGGAUUGGCAGUAGGCUACACAUGUGGUGGAACAAGCGGGCGCUUUCAUUCCAAAUAGACCAACACAUGAGCAUGCGUGGUGAGGGAGGUCAUGUCCUUUCUAUUGGCGGUAGAGGAGUCGGACCGCUUGAUCCACCAAUCUUUGACGGAUCUCUUAUGGUGCCAAGAGGAGGUGUUGAUUCUCUCAAGGUGAAGCCAUUCGCCCGCCAGGCUCCAAAGACGUAUUGUGUAGUGACAUCUGAAGAAGAGGUGCUCUCCAUACUCUUACACCUGCUAGCAAAGAAUUUGGCCAGCUUCGGUUGGGCAAUCUAUCGGCGGUGCAAAGCCUAUCUUGGAUCGCCAAUCAUGUAAAGAACUUGACUUUUGGGGGUUCCAAUGUUUUCCAUAUACCACGUUCUCGAAGGGAUAUUAGAAGCUUCUUAGGUAUUGUGCUUCAUAGGCGGAGGUCGCAGAGUAUUGCUCAUCACUCAUGUGCUUCUAAACAAUCUCAUCCUCGGCAAGCUCCUCAAGGUGAAAGUCAUGAAUGGUUGUCCACAAGGUCAGAAAUUGAUGUAAGUACUCGAAAGUCAAGUUGGCGAAAAUCUUGAUCUUGGAUACCCGAGCAUUAUGGAAAAGGGCUGCUUUUUAUCUUCCUCAUUUUUUCUUGUUGAAGCUUGAUGGAUGGGAGGGGCAAUCUCCGUUGGCUUCCCAUUACUGGACCAUGUGCAUCCCAAAUGGGUGUCCCGGCACCAUUCCUAACGGUGAUACUGGUUGAUACAUAGAAGAGGUUACGGUCUUGCAUCCAUCCGAAACUUACAUCUGGACUAUCGUACUAUUUAAACAGGUCUCGUUGCUGGUCUCUAGACGAGGUGGUACUAAAGUUUGCCGAGAGCCAGAUCGUUACCGAGAGGCACCGUCGGCAAAGAAGUGUAACUAUGACCGCACCAUUAAUCACCAUUGGAUGUGCCACGUGGCAAAACUUUGCCGUGUGGUGGCUUCUUGGCUCUCAGCAUAUAUAUUUUUUUUUAGAAAAGGAGGUUAAACCCCCGGCCUCUGCAUCAAUCGGCGCAUGCAGCCAUUUUAUUAAUUAUUCCACAAAGGUCUAACAAGACUAUACAUCAGUCUACCCAAAGCCACCACUCACACCUACAAACUCGAGAAUGUAGAGUGCUCUCACUCCACAUAUCUAAGACCGGUGUUGUUUCUAAUCCAUCCACAUAACGUAUCGGGAACAACAGCCAGUGCAACACACCUAAAACGCACACCUCACGCACACGUUUUACCAGCCGUCAUCAUCCUCGAACCACUGACCCAUCUUCAGGAAAGAGAUCCGCAUCAUCCUUGCCAGUCCAAUCAUCUGUCGACGCCACCACGGCGCCCAACGGAUCCACCGUCCUGCGCUCAUCCGUCCAGAUGCGAAGACUUCGGAAGAUCUGUCGUGCGUAGCACCUGCCAACCAGGCAUGACUCAGCGUAGCACCUGUCGGCCAGGCAUGACUUGACAUCUCCACCGAAAUUCCAUACAAGACGAAGCCGCUCCACCUCCUGCCUCAGUCUGCCAGCGCUGCUCCACAAACGAUGCUUCCAAGAGAGAAACGACACCGCAAUACCGCCAUCGUCCGAUCUGGAAGACCAGAUCCUAGGGUUUCCCCCGAAGCAGUGCCCACCACCAGCAACCGUUCAGGACCCACACAGUGCCCACCACCGCUCAACCCUCAAGGCGACGCUUCAGGAAGGUCACGACAUCAAGGACGCCGCCGCCGCCCACCGGAGUUAGGGUUUUCACCCGAGAGGCAAGGAAGGUGAGCAGAGGAGCAGAUGUAUACCGACAUCUCCAAAAAGCAGAAAAACGGCGCCCUUGAGCGUCGUCGUCGGCGCGGCCGGCCUGGGCCAACCAAGGGGUUUCCCCCAAUCCGAAUCUCCUCCACCAGCUUCACACGCAGGUAGGGCCCCGGCAACCACGCUGGCACCCUAAGAUUCCGCAGGAGAGAAGCCCACAUAUCAGGACCUGGGGGCGCAGGUGGCGGUGCGGGCAGCGACCGGCGAAGGGGAACAACACACCUCCACAAUGACGCUUCCAAGAAAGAUAGCGGCACCCACGAGCGUCGCCGUCGUGACUUCGAUGAAGACCGGAGCAAGGAUUUCUCCCGGUGCUGUGCUGGAUAUCCACCGCCACGGACCGUUGAGCAUGGCCGCCACACCAUCACGACCCCCAGCCAAGGCCACUGCACCGCGCGCCCUGGACACUGCUCGUGCCCAGCCGACCAGCGCAGCCUCGCCCGGCUGCCGCUCUACCACCAGGGCCGAGUGCCCCGCCAGAUCCGGCCAUGGAGCCCUGGAUCCGCCCUCCGCCACUGCCGAUUGGCGAGAUCACAGCGCAUCCCGCAUCCGCCGACGCGAGGCGCCGCCGCCAGAGCCCGAGGGCCGAUGGGAGGGGCCCCGCCACCGCCAUCCCCGGGCGCGCGCGGCUUCGUCGGCGUCCCCUCCGGCAGCGGCGAAGCGGGAGGGGGCGGAGAUGGGGUCCGGUGUUCCUGCUGGAUGUGCCGCUAGUCGCCGGUGCGAGGAGGCGCUGGAGAAGGCUCGGUGUGAUUCGAGUCGCGCGCACGGGGACUUGAUCCUCAAUAAAUGGAAGAAAACUUCAUGUGCAUCACGUGUCAAUUCUAGAAAUUGAACUCGGGUCAUUGGGCUGCACAAACUCAUGCCCAACCACUGAGUCAAGGCUCUCUUUGCAUAUAGUGCCUUUGCCGAGUGUUUUAGCUUUGCCGAGUUCAACGCUCGGCAAUUUCAUGUGUUUGUCGUGAUGUGUCUGACACUCGGCGUAUACGAAAAUUCCACUGGUUUAUCAUAUACGAAUUGACCGCACAUCCAUCAUAAUUUAAAAACUUUAAUUGGUAAUAAAGUUGCAUCCCGUAAACAGUUAUGAACGAUUGAGCUUGGGAUAAUCAUCUGCACUUUUAUCACUCCAUGAUAAUGGAAACCGCACCGUGUCAGAUAUGAGGUGACCGAGAUGAGGCACAAAUACCAUUAGCUAGGAUCAAGAAGAAAAGCCAGGCAAAUAGUGUGGUAAUAAGCUAGUAGCUAUAGCAAGCUAGGCCGUCAACUCAAUCAGGUGUUAGGACAUAAAAUUACCUGACGGAGCUACAUGAUAGCCGGUCUUCAGAUAUCACGACUGGACCUGAUAUCUCACCCAUCCAGCAUUUAUUAGGCGACAUGACCGAGAAGAUACAAGUGUCGUGAAAGCUGCCGGCAGGAACAAAUGGGCAGUUCAAAUGCCAAUUUAUCCUACUAGUCAACUCGGUGCCCUUUUGGCCAAACUCUGAAAAUGCCGGCUCCACCCGAAAGGUAAUUCAGUUUCAGUGAUCGCAAACAGGAUCUGACACUCUGAGCAAAUAGUUAAGCGGUCAUUGCCAACGUCUCUUUUCGUAUCCUGUAGCAGCUAUUGCUUAUCUAGUAACCGCACUAUCUAAGGCGCAGCGUGUUAUUUGUUGGCGCUCACUGACGCCACUACAAACAGUCAUGAACGAAUCGCAAACAGUCGAGACCAUGGAUCGAUCGUUUCGGCGCCGGUGAUUGUCAAUCACGUACUAUUGUGUUUGUGACGGCGCCAGUGUUUGUCCUGCGGAUUAUGAUUCAUGUAGAAAUUUAGUGGAGAGUUUGUAUUUGUGACAGUGCGGAUUAUAUUGCGGAUUAUGAUUCAUGUAGAAAUUUUGGUGGAGAGUUUGUGUUUGUGACAGCGCGAGUGGCCAAUUUGGCGCCAUUUAGUGCUAUCUGUAGCUCGUUGCAUACAUAGUGGUUGAAGCUUCAUGGAUAGUGACCAGCCGAGUGCAGGACGUGACCAAAUGGCUAGCUAACUCAUGCAUCUCGAUCCAGUUUUUGCGGGCGGGCUAGGGUCCUCCUGUGACGACGCAGCGGCGGUGGCUUGCCGGAUUUGGCCGGUUUCGGCCGGGUCCGGCCCAUUAGCGUUCUGUUUAGUGGCGAGGUUUGAUGGCGACUCCUGCAUGGUCAUGGCGUGAUGGCUUAGUGGGAGGCGUGCGUGCUAGCGGAGAUGUUGUGCGUGGGGUUGUAGUGUUGGGAAGUGCUCCGGGCGAAAGCUUGUCGGGCAAAAUCUUGCCGGCCGACGGUGUCGGCGUCUCUGGAUGUUGUCUCACCUCCUUGGAGGUAUCGUUGAGAAAUUCUCUCCCUACACACCCUCGAAUCCAGUUCUUGGGGUGAAAACCUUAGGCUCGGUUGGGUCAAAUGACGGCGUCGGCAUCGUCGCUUCCUCCUUGGGGGUGUCGUCUUGAAGAGCUUUGGAUCUUGUUUGCACUCUCCAGGGGCUAGACGCUCACGACAUUGCGGUCGGCUGGGGUUCGUCCGGCAAUGUGGAUGAUCUGCACGGCUUCUUGUGGCAACGAUGGCUCCUUCAAGCGGAGUAGGAUUUGUUGUUGGGUUCUGUUAGUCGGUCUCAUCCGGUGUGUUCGAGGGGUCGCCGUGCCUCUCUUAUCUUCUGAAGUUGGAGAUGUUUGAGGAGGAACCUUGCGGCGACGAUGACGUGAAGACGGGUGGUCCGUUCUGGCGCUGGCUCGGCGCAGGUCCAGUACUUUUUAUCCUAUAAUGCUCGUCCGCUGAGUCGAAGCUGCCCGGUCAUCGGCGUGUGUGGUGGACUGUUUGGCGUUGUCCGACGCAGGCCUCUACGCACGUCUGCGGUCGGGGCUUCAUCGGUGGUCGUCGAUGGUGAAGUUGGAGUCGCCCUCGCGGAGGAGUGAUGAUGAUGACGCCGGAUUACAACCUUGGCGGAGCUCUUCCCCUUGGCGGCGUGUGUGCGUUCUUGCAUAGGUUGCCAGGUCGCCCUGUGUGUUUUGAUAUGUCAGCGCAUUGUGACGGUUUUAGCCCGGUUUUUUGAUUAUUAACCGGACAACUUUCUUAGACUUCUUUAAUAAAAUCAGUACCUAAAGGACCGCGUUUUAAAAAAGAAUAGACAUAGUGUUGGUGCUAUAUGAUCCUACUGUGUUUAUAUAUUAUCAUUUUACCAUCUUUUUUAUUGUUUUUAUUUGACUGUGUACACCUUAGCUAUGUAAAAACAGGAUGUUGGUCAUCAUGUUUUAUAUCCAUUUAAUGUUACAUUUUAAAUUAAUAAAUUGCUUUUCUAAUUCAAAAACGAAAUAAUAAGAACAUCUUGACGAUGUACAUGCAUGAAUCAUGGACAUAAUUGAUCUAGGAAGACUGCCAUAUGAAACAGUGUAGAUGUUGGCCACUUGGCCGUGAGCGCGGGAUCACCCUUCCGUACGUGUCCCAAACAGAAUUAGAAUUAGGGCUCCUUUGAUACAAAGGAUUUUAUUGGAUUUUUGGAGGAUUUGGAUCCUUAGGAUUUUUUCCUAUGAUGGUUGUUUGAUUCGUAGGAUUGAAAUCCUUUGGAAUUUUUUCAUAGGAUUCGUUUGUAGAAUUCUUUUGUUUUUUCUGUGCUAUCAAACAGACUUCUAAAUCUUAUAGUGUAAAAAAAGACAUGUCACUCUAUUCCUACGUUUUUCUUAUUCCUGCUCGUACGAAUCAAAGAGGCCCUUAGUUAGCUAGGCGAGCAAGCUGCCGUUGCCGUUGCCGUUGCGAGAGGCAGGCAAUCAAAGGGGCAGCGUGUUAUUUAUUCGUUGGCCCUCACAGUGGCCAAUGUGGUGCCGUUUAGUGCUGUCUGUAGCUCGUUGCGUGCGUGUGGUUGAAGCUUAGCCGAUAGUGAUCAGCGAACAUCAGUACAUGACAAUGAGUGCGCUUUACAGAUGGAUGGCUAGCUAGCUGAUGCAUCAUGCUAAUUAAUCAAGAGCACUUACUCUAUUAUGAGAGGGAGACGUACAUGAUUAAUCAUGCACAUGAUUGAUGUAGGAAGACCGCCAUCUGAACCGUGGGUUUCACAUCCAGCGCUCACGGUGAAGCCGGCCCCAGAUCAAUCGAGUCGGCCCUGUCUAAAAAGCAAGCACUAGCAUUUGGAAGGCUACCUGGUUUUGAAAGGAAAUUUGAUGAGAUCAGUUUGAAGCAGACAUGGAAUGAGACGUACGGCCGGGCGUCAAUCAGAGGGAAGGAUUGAUCAUUUUUUAUUAAAAGAAUGGUGAGAAUAAUUCAUGCGCGUCGCCGCCGGCCGGACAUGGACAACAUCUGCAAACAACAUUGUGAGUCAUGCUCGAACCGAUCGGACGGCAAGUGGUCAAUAUACGUAGCAGCAAAUAACGAAGUUUCUGUAUAAACGGACGAACGAUGAGUACGUAUACGUAAUACCUGACGCGAGUGUGUAUGGCUUGUUAUUGUUGGUCGCGCAUGAAUGAAUGCGAGGAGGGAAAGACGUGCGGCUCUCUCCCUUCAAUUCCCCAGCAACCAACAAAACCGGCAGACUCGCACGCAGCCACAUGCGACAAAUUUCACUGUUUUGAUCUUUUUACGAAAGUUCAGUCAAAUUUGACCUCGGUUGGAAAAAUAAAAUCGGAUCGAACCCUUUUGCUAUCGACGGGGACCUUAACGAUAGGGUACAACAACCUACCGCCAAGGCCCUUGACGGUAAAAAAAUGACCUGCCAUCAAAGAGGCUGCCGGUAGCGCAUGUGACCCUACCGCCAAGGGAUCCGACGAUAGGCACUCGAGCGUAUUGGAUCUGCAACUUAGAAAUCUUUUUACAGUAGGUGUGCAACCCUACCGUCAGGGGCCUUGACGGUAGGUUGUUAUAACCUACCGUCAGGGGCCUUGACGGUAGGUUGUUAUAACCUACCGUCAAGGACUCCGACGCUAGCAAAAGGGUUAUAUUUGUGCAAAAAAGAAGAAGAGAGAAAAAAAAGGGUUAUGUUUGAAAAAAAAUUACCAGCCGGGAUGAGAUCGGGCUAAACUUACGUAAAAAGGUCAAAACAUGAAUUUUUGCCGCCACAAGCUUGCUUUCGUACGUUCGCACCAGGAUCACCCUCGCUGGCAGGAAUGGAAACUUCUUCCUCCAAACAGACUUUCACCCCGCUUUAUACAUAAAGCAAAGAACCGCGGUACACGUCCAAACGAUACAAUAUGGUGGAAGGUCCCCUUACAUAGUAGAUCAAAAAAAUACAACAUAAGCUUAGAGCAAGCCUAACACCUUCCCAAAGCCCGAACAAAGAUCCCUGAGCUCAGUAGAUAAAGUUUUUACCGUGAGCCUAACACCUUCCCGAAGCCCGAACAAAGCCGAACACCUUCCCGAAGCCUGAACAAACGCCCCAAGGAGGGUGACGACGCCGAGUCUGAGAAUAGAUAAAGUUUUCACCGUGAGCCUUGGUACAGGAUGGAGGUCCGCUACGCCGUCUUUAAGAAACAAGCGGCACCCACGGACGUCGCCGGCGCCGGUGCCAGAAGCUCGGAGCUUUCACUCAGACACGCGCAUGCACCACUAAGAGGAGCGCAGACCGCCACCUCGAUGAUGGCCAACUUGCCCACCUCUCGAUCUGGGCACUUGCAUAGCAGACCAAGGCCGCCCGCCACUCCAAUCCUAGUCGCCCACACGAGAGAUGGAGCAACUGUUGGAAAUAUGCCCUAGAGGCAAUGAUAAAAUAGUAAUUAUUAUAUUUUCUGUUUCAAGAUAAUCGUUUAUUAUCCAUGCUAUAAUUGUAUUGAAUGAGAACAUAAAUGCAUGUGUGCAUAUAUAGACAAAACAAUGUCCCUAGUAAGCCUCUAGUUGACUAGCCAGUUGAUCAAGGAUGGUUAAGGUUUUCUGACCAUAUGCAAGUGUUGUCACUUGAUGACUGAAUCACAUCACUAGGAGAAUGAUGUGAUGGACAAGACCCAAACUAUAAACGUAGCAUGUGAUCGUGUCAUUUUAUUGCUAUUGUUUUCUGCGUGUCAAGUAUUCAUUCCUAUGACCAUGAGAUCAUGUAACUCAUUGACACCGGAGGAAUACCUUGUGUGUAUCAAACGUCGCAACAUUAAUGGAUGACUAUAAAGGUGCUCUACAGGUAUCUCCGAAGGUGUCCGUUGAGUUAGCAUGGAUCAAGACUGGGAUUUGUCACUCCGUGUGACGGAGAGGUAUCUCGGGACCCACUCGGUAAUACAACAUCACAUAUAAGCCUUGCAAGCAAUGUGACUAAAGUGUUAGUCACAUUUUGUAUUACGGAACGAGUAAAGAGACUUGCCGGUAACGAGAUUGAAAUAGGUAUAGGGAUACCGACGAUCAAAUCUCGGACAAGUAACAUACCGAAGGACAAAGGGAAUGGUAUACGAGAUUAUAUGAAUCCUUGACACAGAGGUUCAACCAAUAAGAUCUUCGUAGAAUAUGUAGGAUCCAAUAUGGACAUCCAGGUCCCGCUGUUGGAUAUUGACCGGGGAGUGUCUCAGGUCAUGUCUGCAUAGUUCUCGAACCCGCGGGGUCUGCACACUUAAGGUUCGGUGACGUUUCGGUAUAGUUGAGUUAUAGGUGUUGGUGACCAGAGGUUGUUAGGAGUCCCGGAUGAUAUCACGGACGUCACGAGAGUUUUUGAAAUGGUCCGAAAACGAAGAUUGAUAUAUAGGAUUGUUUCAUUUAGGUCAGAUCCAGCAAGAGAGAUGGAGAAAUAGAUGAGACGAGGAUGACACACGACCUGCACCCCAUGCCAGGGCCAAAUCCAACCAGGCUUGGCUGGAUCUGACCCGAGGAUGGCACGCGUGAAACCACCAGGGACGCUGAGUAGAGGCGAGCUUAGACCCAGCAACCACCCGCGGACCACCCCUCGAGCCCCGCAUGAAGCCGGGCCGCCUGAGUCGACUACCAAACCGGAAUGGCCCGAUCUAGCACAGGACCCGGACACAUCCCCAUCGCCCACAGCCCCUUCACGCCACCGCCGGCACCCAGUGCCUUCGCCAUCGCUGUUGUUGCCGUGCCGCCACGCCCUAUGUCCGCGCAACAGCACCGCCCGAACCCGUCAGCCCGCGCCGACCGGUCCCAAGUGGCUGGUAGAAAAGAGCCCCGCCGUUGUCGAUGCUGGCCGGGCUUCGCCGGUCAGCACGUCGAGGCGGCGGCGAGGGGAAGGCCUGGGCCAGCGCCCCUCGAAUACAGGCUCACGGGAAUAAAAACUUCAAUCAAUAAAACGGAGCUGCCCAGAACUAUUUCCUAUACAUCUAAUGCAAAAUUCUACGCCCAUCAGAGUGAUGGGAAUAGAGGUCAACUUGCUGAUGAAUCUGUAACACUAAUGCCACGACGACUGCAUCUGAUAAAUCAUUCUUAUACGGGUUCCGUGUUUCAAGCAGGCAGGCAGCUGUUCGUCACCCAACACAUGAGUGCAACAGGACGUAGUAUACAGAAAAGUGACCAAGGAUAUGGACAGUUUAUCUGAUAUAAGAAAGAAGGAAAGAACGAAAAAAGUCCAAAGGCCACGAUAAAAAAAGCUUGUGGUUGUGCUAUCGUUCACUUUCUUAUUCACGCAAAGACAGGCUGACGCUUACGUUUUUUUUUUUUCCUUUCUUCUCUGUAUCUUCUUUCUCUCGCCUCCGUCAGAUUCAUCUCGUUUUCCAUCAAAUCUAUGACGAACGGAAAAGCUACCUCCGGCUACGCAAGAGCUGGAACCGACAAAUGGAGGAGCUUCUGUAGAAAACGGAGUUUCUGUAGAAAACAGACGAAUGAUGAGUAUGUAUACGCAAUAGUACGUGACGCAAGUACUUAUGGCAGGCGCUGUAUUCUUGAGUGUUGGUUGCACCCCGGCUUGUUAAUGGCCGGUAGAUGGAGGAGCUGCAAACAACAAGACGGCGGGGGACGGGUAAUCCCAUGACCAGCAGAUGAGCUUGCUGCAUGAGGACCUGCAGGAUGGUUUCGCGACAAUCAUGCAGGCAGGCAGGUAGGCAGCUGUUGGUCACACAACACAUGAGUGCAACAGGACGUAGUACACAGAAAAGUGACCAAAGAUAUGGACAGUUUAUCUUAUGUACUCCAAAGGCCACGAUAAACAAAAGCUUGUGGUUGUGGAUAGGAAGAUAACUCUCCACCAUUCGUAUGCAUGUUUUGUGGUUCAGGCUCGCCUUGUGCAACUAAGAAAAAAAGACAAUAACAACAAGUCUGAGAAAUCAUUCGUAUGUUGGUAUAUUUUGGAAGGAAAAAAAAUAACCCCAUACAAGGCUUAUAUUUUGAAACGGUGGGAGUAUUGCUCAUGCCUCCCUCGGUAGCACGAAAGUGAGGCAAAUAUUUAAAAGACCCUGACACAUCUACUUGGCACCUCGAGAACUCUAUUAAGGCUGGUCACAAUGGGGAGUAACAUAAGGUAGGAACCUACACACUUUUCUAGACUAUGUUCCUACCUCCACAAUGGGAAGUAACAUAUAUGUAGUGUCAUGCAACAAUGCAUUUAUUAGGCUAUAGACUCAUUGUUUGUUGGAGUGUGUGAUGUUCCGAUAACUUAGCUAGUUACCACAAGCACCUCUCUCUUCAUUAAAUAUGUGCCACAUAAGCAAAGUUGUAUUGGAGUGUGUGAUGUUACUGUUAAGUUCCUCCCCAUUGUGACCAGCCUAAGACUAGUCAUAGUGGGGAGUAACUAAGUAGUAACAUCAACGCCACGUGGGCAAAAAAUCUGACGUGGCAAGUAUUUAAUGUGGAGAGAGAUGGUAGUGGUAACAUAGCUAGUUACCAUCACAUCACAUAUUUCAAUGCACUAUGUGUCUACAACCUAAUAAAUGUUUGUUUGCAUGACACCACAUGUAUGUUACUCCCCACUAUGAAGAUAGUAACAUAGACUAAUAACAACAUCAUGUUACUAUUCUUAGUUACUCCCCACUAUGAGCAGCCUAAGGAGUGAUGGGUAAAUACUCACAUGCGGUACACCAUUAAUGGAAUGGACCGAAUUCAAUGGAGUAGAUCAAACAAGAGCACAUCCAACCGAAAGUCAUGGCCUUCCUCACCACAUUAAUGGAAUGGACCAUUGGAACGAACGGAACGCCUAAAUACCGAGAGUGUGCCUAUAUACCGUAGAAUUCCUUCUCGACGUUUGGUACCUAUAAACCGGAAGGGAGGGAGGACGUAGGAACUGAAUGGAUACACCACCGCCGCCUUUUGUGCUAACUAUGUGGUCGUACUCCAUGCAUCCCCAUCCGGCCGCUAUAAGUUGAGCAGCACACAGCAGCGGCCUCCCCUGAGUUCCAAGUCCGUAGAGAGCACUCCCAUCCCAUGGCGUCUGGACAACCGGCCGUGCAGGUACACCAUCUGGCCUCCAUUGAAUUCGGUUGCUCACAUGCUGUCACAUUUUUUUGACGUACCUCGUCUCUCUUGGGUCUGCUGCAUGCAGACCUUGGUUCUGAGGGUUUCCAUCCACUGCCAUGGCUGCAAGAAGAAGAUCCGCAAGGUGCUCAAGAGCAUCCAAGGUACGUACCUAGCUAGCGUCAGUCACUCUCUUCUUUCAUCCUCCUUCUCCUCGCGGGCUUAUGAUUAACUAAUUAAGUGGUCGAUCGUCGUUCAGGCGUGCAGGACGUGGAGGUAGAUGCCCAGCAGCACAAAGUGAUGGUGACGGGCACCGUGGACGCCGAGACGCUCGUCAAGAGGCUCUGCAAGUCUGGCAAGCAGGCACUGCCAUGGCAACACGAGCCCGCCGCGCCUGCCAAGAACCCCGAGGCCUCACCGCCGGCCACUCCGGCUCAGGACGGCGGCAAGGACGAUGCUGCUGCGGCGGCGGACAAGAAGCCAGCGGAGCCUGUGAAGGAGCCGCAGGCCGACGACAGCUCGGACAAGAAGCCGGAGCAGGAGGAGACGGCCCCGGAGAAGACGCCUCAGACGGACGAGGAAGCAGAGUCUGAGAAGAAGGAGGCUGAGAAAGAGGAGGCGAAAGCAAGCGACGAGGCAAAGGAAGACGCCGGCGACGGCGAGGGCCCAGCGGCCGAGCCCAAGGCAAAGGAGGACAUAAAGGACGCCGGCAGUGACGAGGGUGAGGCCAGGAAGAAACAGAGCAAGCCCGACGCCGCACCCGCCGCCGACAGGUCCCUCUCUCCGGCGCCGGAGCACGCGCACCAGGAGUUCAGCCCGUACAACGCGCCGCAGCCGGUGAUGAGCUACCACACGGCGCAGCCGGGAACGAGCGUGUCCUACUACGCGCCGCAGCCGGAGCAAGGCUACACCAUGCGGCAGCAGCCCGGGUACUCCUCCGUCAUGCAGCCGCGGCACCCACCGACGGCGCCGCAGCAGCAAUGGUCGCCGUCGUACCUUUACAUGCCGUACCCGCACGCGUCGCCGGAGUCGUACUACCAGGACUACUACAGCCCGCCGGGGACGCACGCGCCGCCACCACCUCCGGCGCCGCUCCAGGACUCGUAUCGCCUGCUCGACGACGAGAACCCCAACUCGUGCAGCGUCAUGUGAUUUUUUCACCGACACGUACGGCGUACGGCACAGCGCGGCUCCGGCUAGCCACCGGCGGCAGAGUAGCUAAGAAGACGGCUUCGUAAUAUAUAGAGACCUCUCUGGUUGUAGCUAGAGUAGCUUGUUACCUCUUCCACGAUUGGGAGGUCAAAGCUCUCCUUGUUCCUCUUCUUUUUUAUUAUUGUUAUUACUGUUCUAAAUGUAUAGAGCAUGUAAUUGUGGUGGAUUGACGGACGUAUUCAGACGUGUCUACGAGUCUUUAUAUCCUUAUCACAUUUGUUCUUGAUAUAAGGGUUCGCUGACAACCUCAACGUAAGUGAAUGAUAUGGGCAAUCCGAUUCCAUAACUCGAGUUGCCCCCAAGUCAUAAUUUACUCUUUAGAUAAGGCCCAACCAAUCACCUCUCCAUUUUGCCACCGAUGAUGCUGGCACAAUGAUAAAUCUUAAUUGUUUAGUGCGAUAGCCCAGCAGUUGAAUUUAAGCUGGUGAUUGGGAUGAGGCCUAGCUGGCCGGUUUGUCUGUAGGCUUUUGAAUAUAAUUAAGCAAGUGGGUUGCUGG